GGAGGUUUACCAAUUGGGGUUGGUGGCUUGUGUUCUGGGAGUGGUUUCUCUCCCUUGGGAGGUUUAGUGGGUGACUUGUGUUCUGGAGGUGGCUUCUCCACCGAAGGCUUGUGCUCCGGUGGUGGCUUUUUGGUUGGAGGGGGCUUGGGGUAAUCAGCAAGAGAUGGGGUGGUGAGAACCACCAGUCCAAGGAACAACACUAGCAAGUAUGUGGGAGACAUUUUUGAGUUUGGGCUGAUCAGAUGAUGCAAAACUAAAGCAUUACGUGACCUUUUAUAGCAAGUAGCUCCCAAUACCUACUUGACACGUGUUACUGUGACCCAUAAAUAUUAUGGGGUCUAUUUGUGCCCUACCGGGUUGAAAACUUGGACAAUUGGGCAAGGACCCGCCUGACUAUGGAGGACUACUGAGGUGUGAUCACAGCUUUAGGAUUUUUCUUCCUCUGCAGCCGUCUUGCCGUUGGCAUGAUUUUCUUAAUCUCAAAUAAAGGCAUAGUUAUAGAGUUGUUUAAUCUCUAAAUGGGAUUUUAUAUAUCUUCAGAUAGCCAUUAAUACAUUUGAUGAAGAAAGAAAGACAAGUGCAUACAACAUGUAUACGACUAGCUUUCAUGGAGUUCAUUUAUGAUCAGUUUUCCUGUACAUGUAAACCAAGAUCAUAUAUGUUUUUGUUCCACAACAAUUUUGGAAUCUUGUUUAUCCGUUUUUAUCAUUAUAAUGUCACAUAGGCUGCCAACUUGGGCGCUAAAUUAAAGAUCCAGUUGGGCAAGUUCGUUUCAGAAUUUCAAUGGUGGAUUCAGGAAUUGUUUUAUAAGAUAUGCAAAAUAGUAGAGGGAUGAAUAGUGUUUCAUUAAGAAAAGAGCCCUGUAAAAAUAUUGUUUAAAGGUGCCAUAGAAACUAUAAUCAAUAAAUAACUUUUUUUCCCCAUGGGUGGUGUUUCUUGUGGGGAUCAGUGACUGGUUUGAGUCAACGCCGUGUCUCUUUAGUCCAGAAAUCAACUAUUUUAUGCAUUGAAUACAUCAACAAAGAAAAUAUGAAAGCCAAAUGACACCUCCCCCGCAAAAACUAAACCCUGGUUGCUAACUUUCUAUGUUUCAGUUCCAUUCACACAAGAAUAUUAGUUCAAGUUUGAGAAAAAUGGCGACUUACCUAGUGAUAACUCGGUCUUGGUUUGCGAUUUGACUUUAACGUCAUGGGUUGAAGCCUCCUACAAUCAUCGUGUAUGCUAGUUCAAAGCUCGUGGAAGAAGUUAUACAGGGAGGGAGAAACCUCCACAGCAAGCUCCAAAAGAGAAUUAUCACAUUGAAAGCUCCAGUUGAACACUGGGUGAAAGCCAUAACAAGAUUGGUUUUCUAUCGCUCUUUUAAGUAAUGGAAGAUUAUUAUCUCUGCUUGUCACUACAACCGUGCAUGCUGCUAGAUCUUUCUAGACACUUCAAACAGUGAAACCAAGUAUGAUUCUUUUUCUCUUGAGUGGGUCCACUUGCAUGCCAAUGAACGAGUUGAAAAGUUGGACAAUUGGCCACAGCGCGCACUUACCUUCUGGAACCGAAGGUCAGUGAAGUGGGGUUCCUUUUGGCCCCUUGUGUUUCUGUUCCAACCUACUCCAGGAACCGAAGUUCAGUGAAGUGGGGCUACUUUUGGCCUCUUGUGUUUCUGUUCCAACCAAACAAAAAUGGGAGGGAAAAAUAGCAUUAUGCUUGUGCUAAAGAUCAACGCAUGAUAGCUGAAUAAGGGAGAAAAAGGCAUUGCUAUCUCAAUUUCAUAAACUUGAUAAGUAGUGACAUUAAUAGUCUUCCUCAUAGAUGGAUACAUGGUUUUAUUUUAUUUAUUUAUUUUUAUUUUUUUGUUUUAUGUCAAUGCUAAUGAAUGAAGUGCAUUAGCUUGUUUUGUGACUAGAACUACAAAUGUCCAAAUUGGAGCUUCUCCAAUAUAUUUCUCAGUGAGUUAUUGAUUAGAACUCUUGGAUUGAGUUCCAAGAUUUGAAUCAGACCCCUCUAGCAGCUUCAGGGGUACGUAGCAACCUAUAGCAUAUUAAUGAAGACUUAGGAUUUAGACUUAGGAAUACAAAUUAAUAUGUACCUCAUGCUCUGACUAGCUUCCCUGCGUAUGCACAAAAUGGAGAUGACUCCCAAAAAAAUAGCAGAAUCGCCUUAGUAUGUUUUUGUGGUUAAGAUGAUUCUCCACUUUAUAUAUCCACAUUGGUUCAUUAUGCAAAUUAAUCAACUAAGCUAUUUUUAUUUUUUCUUAAAUGUGAAAUAGGAGCUCCAAAUUAACCUAACCAUUGGCCUGAUUGAAUUGAUUUCACUUGCAUAAUGUUAUAGUAGAAGUCCGUAAUUUGAAUUUUAUUUUUGCAAAAGGUAACGUAAAUGAAGCAUUGUAAUUAAAUUUAUUUGUAAUUACAAACUAAUUUUAUUUUAUUAAGAAUUAAUUUAAUUACUCAUUUAAAAUAAAAAUCAGUUAUACUUUUACCAAGAUGAUAAUAUUCAUAUUUUUCUAGUUAACAUAUAUAAAAUAGUACACUUUUUCAUAUAAAAAAAUAAUUUAUGAUUUAUUAUAAUGUUACUAUUCACAUUUUACUAAAUUGAUGGUACAUGAUAGUGAGAGAAGGGGGUGUCACACUCAGCUAAAGUUCUUUUCAAAAUAUUGCAUGGUGUUUAAUUUUAUGUGUCGGCGCGCGUGUGAAUGGAACCUGCAAAAGUCCAAAUUGGCGUUUCUCCAUUUUCCACAUAGGAUGGUGACGUUAAUAGACAAAGAUACAAUAUCUGUAGACAUUGCUUAAAAAUCGAUGUGAAGUAUUAGAAAUUACAGGGCACUGUACUGGGGGAGCGGCUGCCCCGCCAAAGGAGGAAGAAUGUAGCAAUUUCUUCUGUUAGCCAGGCCUUAGGAUUUAUGCAUGGGAUGCCUAAUAACAAACAGAGAAAAUAUACUUUUGGGGAAGGUAUCCAACAACAGACACCAUCAUUCAGAUGGUGGGAAGGUAUCCAACAGAUGCCAUCAUUCAGAUGGUAACAUAUAUAUACAUUUAUUAGUGAGUUUUUUUAAUACCUAUAAAAAAAAAUAUACACUUUGAUAUUGUGGCUGAAUCCAUUACAUACUCAACUAACCUUGCUCAUUAGGGAUUUGACUUAACAAGGGCAACGUUGCAGUACAAGCUCAAAACUUUAUGCAGGUGACAUUACAUUUGGUAAAGAAGAGGAAAAUAACGAAAGCCAUCCAUAAAAGCAAAAUUCCACAUGGGAUGAAAUUCACAAGCUUCAUUUACGAUAGAGUCGCAUCCAGGCAAUUAAUUCCACAUUAGACCGCCUGUUGACAUGUGUACCAAUCUUUUUUCAAAAAAUAUUUAUAAAUAAUUGAUACUCACAAAAAUAAUUUAAUAUUUAUAAAGGAUAAAAAAAUAUUUUCAAAUCUAUAACAAUUUAUAAAAUAUUAAUAAAAAAUUAUCUCUUAAACUUAGUAUAGUUUUAUCAGAUUAAACUUUUAUUUUGAACAAAUAAUUUUAAUCUAAGUUUUAAAUUCUAAAAUUAUUUCCUUAAAAUAAAAUUUUAAAAUUCAACACUUCAAUUGAAAUUGUCUUUUUAAAAAAUAUCUUCUUAUUUUAAUCCUUAUAAACUAUAGUUGAUUGAAAAUACUAUUGAAGUUCUCUCUUAAAAAAAAGUCUUAUUUUAAUCUUCAUAAAUUGCCCUUGAUUUGAAAAUAAAUUUUCAGUUAUCAUAUUUUAAAUAAUAUCUAUAUUUAAAAUACUCUAUUUAAAAAAAAAUGAACUAAUUUUAAUUAUAUUAUAUUUUAUUUUUUUAUAUAUUUUUAAUGAUAAACCAAACAUAGAAAAUCAUUUUUCUAAAUAUUUUAAAAUUUCUAAGCAACCAAACAUAAUCUUCAAAAUAAAAGGAAAAUAAGGAGGGACAUUUGAGAAAUGGCGAUUAAAAAAAAGUGUACAAAAGCUCAAUUAAUUUUCUUCUAGUCUUUUAUAUAAAAAAGUAAAGGAAUUGAAAAGUAUUGAUAUGUAAAUUAAUAUUUGGAUUUUAAUAGUAUUUUAUUUGUCUUUCUCUAUCUCAUGUAAAAGAGAAUUUAAGAUAUUUCCUAAAGCAAAGCAUUAGUUAUCUGCAAUCAGUGGUGAUCAUGCCCCAUGUCAAUUUCGGACCCAUAUCUUAAAACUGUAUAAUUUGCAUUCAAACAUUACUGAUUUCUCAGAUGUUUCAUACUCCACAGAAGAGCAUUGUUUGUGAAAGCAUGCAUUUAUGUUGGAUUUUGGAUGAUGUGGGAACUGGGGCAAGGAUCAUAUGGAAGAGUGGUCGAUUUUGUUCUGUACUUUAACAUUUGAAAUAGGAGAAGCUCGGGCAUUUGUGGGGCUUAAUUGAUUUUGAAGCCUGAAAUUGCGUUUCUGUCAUUUUGUAAAAAAUAUGGCAGAUUCCAUGCUCUCAUAUGUUUGGUCUGUGGCCAUGUAUAGAUGCCCCUUAGUGACCAGUUUGUAACUGUCAAUCAUAGUGUUUUGACUCUGGCUCAACAACAUCAGCCAUUGACGGAUUUUCAUACUUGCAAAUCAAAUAGUCUUCUUCCUCCCUUAGGAAUUUCGGUUUAAAUGUUAUUAAGCAUACAUUUGGCUGACAAUUAUUAACCACUUCAUGAUAUGGUUUCUUACCCUUAAUCAAUGGUUUCUAAGUGAAUAUAUGCAGAAGGAAAUCUGAACUGUAGACAGCAGUAUUGAUAACUCUCAAUAUUCUUUAUAUAAGAGAAUAAACAACGUCAUAGUGAUCGUCGCCUACAAGAAAGGUACAUUUCCCAACAAGAUGUAGUUGUGACUGGUACAUGGACGCAAUUAACUCGUACAAAAGAAUAAGACCAGUGCACGGCAGCUCUUAUUUUACAUGCUAAUUAUGCUAACCAAAGUCACUCAGUUGGGAUGGGAGGGAGAUGGAGGUUUGUGCGGUGGCUUGUGGGGCGGAGUUGGUGGCUUCUUUUCAGGAGCUUGUGGCUUUUUCGGAGCUGAAGGAGGCUCAAUCUUAUGAGGCGGCUUGUACGAGUCUUCUUUACUCUCGACAGGAGGGUGGCCAGGGUUGUGACCAUAAUGUGGUGGCUUCUCUCCCUUAGGUGGCUUGCCAACUGGGGUUGGUGGCUUGUGUUCAGGAAGUGGUUUCUCUCCCUUGGGAGGUUUACCAAUUGGGGUUGGUGGCUUGUGUUCUGGGAGUGGUUUCUCUCCCUUGGGAGGUUUAGUGGGUGACUUGUGUUCUGGAGGUGGCUUCUCCACCGGAGGCUUGUGCUCCGGUGGUGGCUUCUCCACCGGAGGCUUGUGCUCCGGUGGUGGCUUCUUGAUUGGAGGGGGCUUGGGGUAAUCAGCAAGAGAUGGGAUGGUGAGAACCACCACUCCAAGGAACAACACUAGCAAGUAUGUGGGAGACAUUUCUGAGUUUGAGCUGAUCAGAUGAUGCAAAACUAGAAGAAUUACGGGACCUUUUAUAGCAAGUAUCUCCCAAUACCCACAUGACACGUGUUACUAUGACCAUAAAUAUUAUAGGGUCCAUUUGUGCCCUACCGGGUUGAAAACUUGGACGCUUGGCCGAGGACACACCUGACUAUGGAGGACUAUUGACGUGUGAUCACAGCUUUUGGAUUUUUCUUCCUGUGCAGCUGUCUAGCGGUUGGCAUUAUUUUCUUAAUCUUAAAUAAAGGCAUAGUUAUAGAGUUGUUUAAUCUCUAAAUGGGAUUUUAUAUAUCUUCAGAUAGCCAUUAAUAUAUUUGAUGAAGAAAGACAAGUGCAUACAACAUGUAUACGGCUUGCUUCAAUCGAGUACAUUUAUGAUCAGUUUUCCUGUGCAAGUAAACCAGUUUUUUGUUCCACAACUAUUUUGGAAUCUUGUUUAUCAGUUUCUAUCAUUAUAAUGUCACAUAGGCUGCAAACUUGGGCACCCAAAGAUCUAGGUGGGCAAAUUUGUUUCAGACUUUCAAUGGUGGAUUCAGUAAUUGUUAAAAGGUGUUUCUUCAUUAAGGAAAGAGUCCGGUAAAAAUAUUGUUAAAAGGUGUCAUAGAAACUAUAAUAAAUAAAUAACUUCUUUUCCCCAUGGGUGGUGUUUCUUCUGGGGAUCAGUGACUGGUUAGGGUCACCCAAAAUGAGUCCAGAUUAAAAUUGGUUCGAGUCAAAGCAGUCUCUUUUGUCCAGAAAUCAACUAUUUUGCGCAUUGAAUGAAUCGAUAAAGAAAAAAUGAAAGCCAAAUCACACCUCCCCUGCAAAACCUAAACCCCGGUUGCUAACUUUCUAUGUUUCAGUCCUAUUCAUAUAGGAAUAUUGGUUCAAGUUUGAGAAAAAUGGCAACUUACCUAGGGUUUACUUGGUUUUGGUUUGCGACUAUUUACGCAACCAACCAUGAGUUUGACUUUAACGUCAUGGGUUGAAGCCUCCUACAAUCAUGUAUGAUAGUUCAAAGCUCGUGGAAGAAAUUAUACAGGAAGGAAGAAACCUCCAAAGCUAGCUCCAAAAGAGAAUUAUCACAUCGAUAGCUCCAGAGAUUCCCAAGGGAACUGAAUCAAAGACAAGUUCCUCACUUUUUCUUCUUUUGAGGCCAAAUAUGAACCAAGGAUCACACGACCUCAUUCAACUUCAUAAGUUUGAUUUCAUGCAGUUGAACACUGGGUGAAGGCCAUGACAAGAAUUGAUUAAAAAAUUCUACCACUCUUUUAAGUAAUGGAAGAUUAUUAUCUCUGAUUGGCACCACAACAGCACAUGCUGCUAGAUCUUUCUAGACACUCCAUGCAAUGAAAGCACAAUGGAUCUUGUAAUGAUAGAAACUAAGCCAUGCUACAGUACUAGAUGAGGGGGUAAAACUAGUAGACAUCUUUCUAGACACUCCAUGCAAUGAAAGCACAAUGGAUCUUGUAAUGAUAGAAACUAAGCCAUGCUACAGUACUAGAUGAGGUGGUAAAACUAGUAGACAUGGCUGGCAGUUGAUUACUACUCAAAAAGUACUCUUUUAUAGCUUGAAACUAACUGUUUUAAACACUUUUGAGUAGUAGUUAAUACCUUUUAACUUAAUUGGCACAUUAAGGAACCUAGCAAGGGUUACUAAUCAACAUUUGGCAAGUUUUGAUGUUUUUGGUAGCUAUUUGAUCAUUGAAACAAGCCAAGAAUGAGGGGGAAUUUUGUGAAGUCCAUGGCAAUGCAAGUUAAAGCUCAAAUACAUGAAGAAUCCAAGCUUUGGAGCACUUCAUAGCCCUUUGCCAAGCCAAUCAAAGAUGCAAGGAAGAAAACCAAAGGAAGAAAUCCAACAAUCAGCAUUUUGGCAUGGCUAUGUGAAAUUUCGCACACCAUGCGAAACCACAAGAGGCAGCCAAAGAAUUUCGCAUGGUAUGCGAAAUCUUCUUGUGCACUGACUCUGUUAGAUUUUUAUCUUCAGAUAUUUUGUGUAAUUUCCUAGUUUCUCCUUGUAACCAACUUAGAUAUUUUCUUUUAUAUCUUUUUUUAUAUUUUUUAGGUAACAUCAUAUAUAAGAGGAGAGACAUAAGGAGGAUAUGGAUGUUUUUCAUAGAACACUUGUAAAUUUUUGGUAGUAAGAAAUAUACAAAGCUUUUUGCUCUGCCUUACCUUCUCAAGGGAUGAGUGGCUAGGUUUUCUUGGAGUGAGGGAAGCUAGGUGAAGGACCUGAAUGCAAAGGUGGGAGUUUUCCUUACUUUAAAUGAAAGUAGUUGUUAAACAUUAAUGGUUUUUAUUUUAAGGUUUAGCUUUAAAUCCCUGAAAAACACCUUGAAUGGCCAAUACUUGGUAAGCUUUUUAGAUUCUAUGGAUGCUUAUUGCUAGAUCCAUGGAUGUCUAUUAGUUAUCAUUUACGAGCCAUUGGAAGGUGAUUCAAGGUGAGGGUCUUUAGUGUUUGAAGCCAUUAAUGGGAAGCAAUUACCAUUUUUUCAUGAAUCCUUUGGAUCAAAUCUUAAUUGCUAAAUAUAAAACCGGUUUCGAGAGAUAACCACCAUCCUUUAUGUUAUUAUCCCCAACGCGAGGAGAAGAUCCGAAAUCUUCCUUUUUAUCUAAGGAACCCGAUCCUAGUGACCUAAAGCUCCAAGAUACCUUUUCUUUGUAGUUAACUUCAUUUAUUGUUUUUGCUUAACUUAAAAUCAAUCUUUGCAACCACAAUUCCAUUUUCUUUAAAAGCUAAUUUUUAUAAGGAAAAACACCAUUUUAUUUCCUUCACUAAGUCAACUGUACGAUGAAAACCCAUCCCUGUGGACGAUCCUAGAGCCACUAUACUAUGUUAGCUAUGCUACCCUAGUGUGAGGUGAUUUAGGUUUUAUAAAUUUUUUUGAUAACACCCAUCUGAGCCAGAAUCAAAUGGCACGACUGAACCAGGGACGAAUCAAAUGACGCCGCUACCAAGGAUGGUGCCAAAGUACAUUGACAUGACUUUUGGUGAACACUUGUGAUCUUCACCACAAGUUUGGUGAUUUUUCUUUUACUAAUUUUUUUUAUUUUAGCUUAUCUUUUAUUUAGUUUUUAGUUAACCUUAAAUUUUUCCUAGAAUUGUAUUUCUUUUGUUUUCUUUGUUUUUGUUUCAGUGAUCUUUAGUUGUGCAUGCCCUAUUGGAUAAGAGAUAUUGAGGGAAUACUUGUGAAGAUUGAAACUCCUCGAGAAACUGAGUUAGAAGUGUGCUUGAACAUCAUGGAUGUUCCACCUGAAGACCAGAAUAGCCAACAUGGUUAAGAGGAUAAUUUCAACACAUACCGAUCCAUGAGGAACCGCAUACAUCCACCUUGUAUGAGUGCACCGUCAGGCAUAAUGCCUCCCACUGAGCAGCUAGUAAUCUGACCUCACAUUGUGCCACUCCUACCUACUUUCCAUGGGAUGGAGAGUGAGAAUCCCUACUCGCAUAUUAAGGAAUUCGAGGAGGUUUGUAAUACAUUCCAAGAAGGAGGAGCUUCAAUUGACUUGAUGAGGCUCAAGCUAUUUCCUUUCACUUUGAAGGAUAAGGCCAAGAUUUGGCUUAAUUCUUUAAGGCCAAGAAGUAUCCAAACUUGGAUUGAUUUGUAAGCCGAGUUUCUUAAGAAGUUCUUCCCUACCCAUAGGACCAAUGGUUUGAAAAGGCAAAAUUUGAACUUCUCAGUUAAAGAGAAUGAGAAAUUCUAUGAGUGUUGGGAGAGCUACAUGGAAGCUAUUAACGUUUGUCCUCACCAUGGCUUUGACACAUGGCUCUUAGUGAGCUAUUUUUACAAUGGUAUGUCUUCUUCAAUGAAGCAACUCCUAGAAACUAUGUGUGGAGGAGACUUCAUGAGUAAGAAUCCGGAGGAAGCCAUGGACUUUUUGAGUUAUGUGGCUGAAGUUUCAAGAGGAUGGGAUGAACCAAAUGCUAGAGAGGUGGGAAGAAUGAAGUCUCAACCUAAUGCUAAGGGUGAGAUGUAUGUUUUGAAUGAAGACAUUGACAUGAAAGCAAAGGUUGCAGCUAUGGCAAGGAGAUUGGAAGAGCUAGAAAUGAAGAACAUACAAAAAGUGCAAGCCAUUUCUGAGACAUCAAUGAAAGCUAUGCCUUGUUCCAUUUGUCAAUCUUAUAAGCACCUAGUGGAGGAGUGUCCUACAAUUCCAGCAGUGAGAGAGAUGUUUGGUGAUCAAGCAAAUGUUAUUGAUCAAUUCAAGCCUAAUAACAAUGCUUCAUAUGGCAACACCUACAAUUCAAAUUGGAGGAACCAUUCAAAUUUCUCUUGGAAACGAAAGCCACCUCAAUACACACAACCUACUCAAGCACCUUAGCAAUCCUCGAAUCUUGAACAAGCUAUUGUGAACCUUAGCAAGGUUGUGGGAGACUUUGUGGGAGAUCAGAAGUCCAUCAAUGCUCAACUGAAUCGGAGAAUUGACAGUGUGGAGAGUACAUUGAACAAAAGGAUGGAUGAGAUGUAAAAUGAUCUGUCUCAAAAGAUAGACAAUGUCCAAUACGUAAUCUCAAGGCUUACCAACCUCAACACAGUGUAAGAGAAAGGAAAGUUUCCUUCUCAACCUCAUCAAAAUCCUAAGGGUAUCCAUGAAGUAGAGGCUCAAGAGGGAGAAUCUUCAAAGGUGAGGGAAGUCAAAGUAGUUAUCACCUUGAAGAGUGGUAAAGAGGUUGAUCAACCCACAUCCAAGCCAAAGCAUAAUGAAGAGAGUGUAGCAGAAAAAGAAAAGAGAGGAAAAUAAAGGAAUUAGAAUAGAGAAAAAUACAAAGAAAGAUGACCAUGAGUCUAGUGUGGAUGAAGAGCCCGAGAGGAUGGUGAUCAAGGAAGAUAUGAUGAAGAAACACAUGCCUCCACCUUUCCCCUAAGCUUUGCAUGACAAAAAAAGAACCAAUAAUACAUCAGAAAAUUUUGAAGUAUUGAGGCAAGUGAAGGUCAAUAUCCCUUUGCUAGACAUGAUCAAACAAGUGUCGACAUAUGAAAAAUUCUUGAAGGACUUGUGCACUGUAAAGAGAGGGUUGAAUGUGAACAAGAAAGCUUUAUUGACCGAGCAAGUGAGUUCCAUCAUACAGUGCAAGUCCUAGUGAAGUACAAAGAUCCGGGUUGCCGUACCAUCUCAGUGAGUAUUGGAAGGACUUGUGUGGAGAAAGCUUUGUUGGACUUGGGAGCAAGUGUGAAUUUGCUAUCCUACUCUGUCUAUAAGCAGUUGGGAUUUGGAGAGUUGAAGCCAAUAUCCAUCACUCUAUCUCUAGCGGAUAGAUCAAUGAAGAUUCCAAGAGGGAUGAUCGAAGAUGUCCUGGUUCAAGUUAACAAAUUCUACUAUCCAGUAGAUUUUGUUGUUCUUGAUAUGGAUCCGGUUGUCAAAUGAACUAAUUAUGUUCCUAUCAUACUUGGAAGACCCUUCCUAGCUACAUCAAAUGCAAUCAUCAAUUGUAGGAAUGGAGUCAUGCAACUCACAUUUGUCAACAUGACAUUAGAGCUCAACAUCUUCCAUUUGUACAAGAAGCAUAUCCAUCAGGAGGAAAAAGAAGGUCUAGAGGAAGUGUGAAUGAUUGACACUUUAGUGGAAGAGCAUUGUGAUCGAGAAUGCAAAAAGAUUUAGUUGAGAAUUUUGGGGAUCUUGAUGAAAGGUUACUUGAACCCUCAGAUUUGCUUGCUACCCUACUCCAUUGGAAGAGAAGAGAAGAAAUUCUACCCUUAUUCAAUGAGGAGGAGACGCAAAGAGCUGCAAAGGAGAAACCCCCAAAACUUAUUCUUAAGCCACUACCCACAGAGUUGAAGUAUGUAUACUUGGAAGAAGACAAGAAGUGCCCUAUUGUUAUAUCUUCAACUCUUACCAUUCAUCAGGAGGAUUGUCUACUUGAAGUCCUUAGAAGAUGUAAGAAGACAAUAAGGUGGCUAAUUUCUUAUUUGAAAGGGAUCAGCCCUUUAGUCUGCACCCAUCAUAUUUACAUGGAGGAUGAAGCUAAGCUAAUUCAUCAACCUCAGAGAAGGUUGAACCCUCACAUGCAAGAGGUGGUUCGAGCUGAAGUUCUGAAGCUACUUCAGACCAGUAUUAUUUACCCCAUAUCAAAUAGCCCAUGGGUGAGUCCUACUCAAGUUGCGCCAAAGAAGUCUGGGAUCAUGGUGGUGCAAAAUGAUAAGGGAGAAGAUGUCUCUACACGCCUCACUACAGGUUGGAGGGUGUGUAUCAAUUACAGGAGGUUGAAUGCAGUGAUAAGAAAGGACCAUUUCUCAUUGCCCUUUAUUGAUCAGGUGCUUGAGAGGGUCUCUGGGCUUUUUUUUUUAUUGUUUCUUGGAUGGCUACUCCGGGUACUUUCAGAUAGAAAUUGAUGUUGAAAACCAAGAUAAGACCAUUUUCACAUGCCCAUUUGGAACCUAUGCAUAAAGGAGAAUGCCUUUCGGCUUAUGCAAUGCACCCGCAACUUUCCAAAGAUGCAUGUUAAGCAUUUUCAGUGAUAUGGUGGAGCGUAUUAUGGAAGUCUUUAUGGAUGAUAUCACCAUUUAUGGAAGUGCAUUUGAUGAAUGCUUGGUCAACUUAGAAGCUGUUCUGAACCGAUACAUUGAGAAAGACUUAGUGCUUAACUGGGAGAAGUGCCAUUUCAUGGUACACCAAGGGAUUGUCCUUGGGCACAUUAUCUCCAAGCAAGGCAUUGAAGUUGACAAAGCAAAGGUUGAACUCAUUGUUAAGUUGCCAUCCUCAACAAAUGUCAAAGGAGUAAGGCAAUUCUUUGGCCAUGUCGGGUUCUAUAGGAGGUUUAUCAAGGAUUUCUCUAAGCUUGCAAGGCCUCUUUGUGAAAUAUUGGUGAAUGAUGUUAAAUUCAUAUGGGAUGAUGGAUUUGAAAGGAGUUUUGAAGAAUUGAAGCUAUUUUUGACAACCGUACCAAUAGUGAGGGCUCCCAACUGGCAACUGCCCUUUGAAGUAAUGUGUGAUGUCAAUGAUUUUGCUAUAGGAUUUUUUCUUGGGCAAAGAGAAAAUGGAAAACCUUAUGUGAUCUACUAUGCGAGGAAGGCAUUGAAUGAGGCACAAAGAAACUACACAACCACCGAGAAAGAAUUGUUAGCUGUAGUUUUUGCCUUGGAUAAGUUUCGCGCUUACUUGGUGGGGUCCUUCAUCAUGGUUUUUACUGAUCACUUUGCUUUGAAGUAUCUGUUGACUAAGCAAGAUGCUAAAGCAAGGCUGAUUAGAUGGAUUCUCUUACUUCAAGAGUUCAAUCUCCAUAUCAAAGAUAAGAAAGGAGUGGAGAAUGUGGUAGCAGACCACAUUUCAAGGCUAGCUAUCGCACAUAAUUCCCAUGCUUUGCCCAUUAAUGACGAUUUUCUAGAGGGGUCUCUCAUGUUGGUGGAAGUUGUCCCUUGGUACGCUCACAUUGCUAACUACCUGGUCACGGGAAAAGUUCCAAGUGAGUGGAAAGCACAAGAUAAGAAGCACUUCUUUGCAAAAAUUCAUGCCUACUAUUGGGAAGAGCCAUUUCUAUUCAAGUAUUGUAUGGAUCAGAUAAUAAGGAAGUGCGUUCCUGAAGAAGAGCAACAGGGGAUCCUUAGUCAUUACCAUGAAAAUGCAUGUGGAGGCCACUUUGCUUAUCAAAAGACAGCCAUGAGGGUGUUGCAAUCGGGUUUCUGUUGGCCAUCACUUUUCAAAGAUGCCCACACCAUGUGCAAGAGUUGUGAUCGAUGCCAGAGGCUUGGGAAGUUGACACGCAGGAACAUGAUGCCUUUGAACCCCACUUUAAUAGUUGAUAUUUUUUAUGUUUGGGGCACUAACUUCAUGGGACCUUUCCCUAUGUCUUUUGGCUACUCUUACAUCUUGGUAGGAGUAGAUUAUGUUUCUAAGUGGGUUGAGGCAGUCCCAUGCAAACACAAUGACCAUAGAGUGGUUCUCAAGUUUCUUAAAGAGAAUAUCUUCUCAAGAUUUGGGGUGCCCAAAGCCAUAAUUAGUGAUGGGGGUACUCAUUUUUGCAACAAGCCUUUUGAAACUCUCCUAGCCAAGUAUGGGGUGAAGCAUAAGGUAGCUACACCUUACCACCCUCAAACUCAUGGACAAGUUGAGUUAGCAAACAGGGAGAUUAAAAACAUAUUGAUGAAGGUGGUGAACACAAACAGAAAAGAUUGGUCAGUCAAGCUUCUUAAUUCACUAUGGGCAUAUAGAACAACUUACAAGACCAUUCUCGGGAUGUCUCCUUAUCGCCUAGUUUAUGGCAAAGCAUGCCAUCUCCCUGUGGAAUUGGAAUACAAAGCUUGGUGGGCAAUCAAGAAGCUCAACAUGGAUUUGAGCAGAGCUGGGUUGAAGAGGUUCUUAGACCUUAAUGAGAUGGAGAAAUUGAGAAAUGAUGCCUACAUCAAUUCAAAAAUUGCAAAAGAAAAAUUGAAGAGGUGGCAUGAUCAGUUGAUUUCCCGCAAGGAUUUUCAAAAUGGACAAAGAGUCUUACUUUAUGACUCUAAACUCCACAUCUUUCCGGGCAAGCUGAAAUCAAGGUGGAUAGGUCAUUUUACCAUUCACCAAGUGCAUUCAAAUGGAGUAGUGGAACUACUCAACUCCAACAAUAUCGAGAACUUCAAAGUGAAUGGCCACCGUCUCAAGCCCUUUGUGGAGUCUUUUUCUCACAACAAGGAGAAAUUCAUCCUCCUUGAUCCACAUCAAGCUUAACAAGACCAAUUUUCUUGAUGGACUUAGUCUUUCUAAAGACUAUCGAGUCCAUAACUUUUUGUUUUAUUUUUUAUUUGAGAUUUUUUCGGUAUUGUUACUUGUUUUGUUUUUUAUUUUUCGUUUUAAUUUUAUUUGGUUUGAUUUAACUUAGGUUUUUGAUGAUCAAUUACAGGGGGGAUUUCAAAUAGAGGAAAAACCAAGAUAAUUCGCACACCCUACGAAAAUUUCGCAAGGCAUGCGAAAUUUAUGGCUUAUUUUGCAUGGGGUGAAAAUUUUCGUACAUCUUACGAACCAAUUUCGAACACUUUGCGAAAAUAAACCAACCCUGCGAAAUCAUUUCGAUUACUCUACGAAAUUUUCGUAGAGCAUGCGAAAAAUUUAGCACACCAAACACCAUUUCGCAUACUAUGCAAAAACCUAAGGGGUCUGCGAAACCAUUUCGCACCUCCAAAUCCAUUUCGCACAUUGUGCGAAAACCAAGAGGCGCUGUGCGAAAAUGAAAAGUCGCCCUGUCAUCCCUUUUUAAACCCCUCGAGCCCUAAAAUCUCCAUUUCGCAAGCACCCCUGUCCUUGCGAAUCCCUCAUUUUCCUCUACUACCUUGCAACCUCGUCCCUUUCCAUUUGAUAUUGUGCCCCGCGCACAUCUCAUUUCAGAGACUCGCACUCCGCGCCCCCUCAAAGCAUGGACUCGAGACCCACCUUCCAUUUCCGACGUGGCACGGACCCAAGGAGCCCUUUCUGCCCCUUCACUAAGACACACACCAAGGCAGAAAGCCUCCUUUGCUCAAGUGCCUAGUGAUUCUCCAUCUUAGGCCUCAGAGGCCUCGGAGGCCCCGUGGAUUCCACCUUCCGAGGGUAGAGCAGCCAUUGGUCCUUCCUCUUCUACUCCUUAGCGUAGAUACGAGACGAGGAGACCACCUACUACACAAGGGGCGACUACUUCGAGCCUUGAGAAUUCAGUACGAUGCCUUCCUGCCAAGAGGGUCAAGACUUCAGGUCCAAGUGAGUCAUCCAGAGCUUCAUAGCCUAAGCCUCCUGUAGAUUCCAAGGUUCCUACUGACAUAUCACCGGAGUCUAUUAUCAGAAGCCCGAUGCUCAUAGCACCGCCCAUUGAGGGCAACUCAGAUUAUAGAGCGAGAUCUUUCCACUUGGAGCUAUAUUUUGAUCAGGAGGCCAUACGACAGCAGCCUGAGCUCCGAGACUCUUAUGGCUUACUGCAGAGGUACCAUCUUGAGGAACUUAUGACUCCUCGUGAGUUUUUUUAUCCCAGAGUAGCACUAAACUUUUACCAGUCCAUGACUACUCGUGGCGUCCCGAGUCCUACCACGAUUCACUUCACCAUUGAUAGACGUCAUGGUAUCCUCAAGGCCAGACAUAUUACAGAGGCUCUACAAAUUCCUUUCGAGCUAGAGGAUCCAUCUGUUUUUCGCUAAUGGUCCCCAGUAUCUCAGAGGGACAUGGUCCGUAUUUUAUCUAGGGGAACAUCUACAGAUUCGAUCUUUCUACGGAAGGAGCUUCGACCUGGGAUGCUCCUCUUAGAUGUGGUGCUAUGCUCCAACCUCUUUCCCUUACAACAUUCGGUACAUAGGUGAUGAGCUAUUUUGGACGCUUUAUUCCGUAUAUCAGAGGGCUUCUACUUUGGCCCGCACCACUUGAUCAUGGUCUCCCUCAUCCACUUUGAGGAGAAGGUUCAUAGGAAGAAGCUUCAGAGGGUGGACACCAUUCCAUUACUAUUCCUGAGGUUACUUUGCCAGGUCUUGGAGUACAUGGGCUUUCCUACUGAGCCUCGGCUCGAGCUUUGCCGCCUUUGUCGAGAGUGAUCCACUCUCGACAAAUGGAAUUAGUUGGCGGGCUAUUCUGCACCUCCAGGAGCCCCUCCCAUGGUAGCACCUCCAAUGUCCCCACAGGCAAAGUAGGGCGAGCUCCCGGCAAAGACUGUACCACCAAUGCCCACACUUGAGGCUAUUUCUGCUGCUCUGCCUAUGACUCCUACUGUUCCACCAGUUGGUCCUUUUACAUCCGAGCCUUCCAUCACCAUCUCGGCUUCGGAGUUUCGCGCCCUUGUGCAUACCUUUCAGACACUCACCACCACACAUACUCCUCUCUUCUAGCAAAUGGUUGAGAUGUGUGCCCAUCAGGACCGGAAGACUACUAUACUCUGCCAAAUUCAGCAGCACCUAAGACUUUUGCCUCAACCUCAACCUAACCAUCCCAUAUCAUCAGAGCCUCUAGCUCCAACUGAGGAUACUAUUCCACCUGAGAACACUACCACAGUAGAGGUCCGGUUUCCACCACCUUAAGAGGCCACCACAGCUACAUCAGAGGAUGUGUCAUCUCCACUUGAGGCUCCCACUACUUGAUCAUAGGACAUAUCUUUAUCUUAUUGUAUUUACAUAUUAUAUUACUAGAGAUUUGUCCUUGUUUUGAUACUUUAUAUUCUGGGAUUGGAUGUAUUGCCUGAUGAUAUCUCAAUUGUACUUUCUCAUAUUAAUAUAUAGACAUCAAUUUUUUUUAGUAUACUUAGCAUUUUUCUAUUUCCUCUACUCAUUACUCUUUUGUUUUUUUUUACUCAUGUGGUUUCUCUUAUACAACUCAGACUCCAUUUCACUCAGGAGGUACCACUUCCUCCCUUUAUUUUCAAUUGCUCUUGAAAUAUUGAGUGCAAUGUUGAUCUUGGUUGGGGGGAGAGUUGAGGAAGGAAGUUUUGUUAAUAAUGCUAGGUUAAUUUGUUAAUUUAGUUACUUUCUGCUUAAUUUUAAAAGUUUUCACUCUACUUUCCAUGGUUAUUAAGGAAAAAUUCUCAAAAUGAAAUGGGAGAAAUCGAAUUCUUGCAUUUUUACUUGAAUCUUAGAAUUUGUAUCAUGCUUAUUAAAGUUGAUGAAUUAUUGAAACUCCUAUUGAAUUCAACCUUAUUUUUUCCACUUUAAUCUUACCACACACGGUGCACAUUAGGUUCCAGUUAUAAGAUAAAAAACUAUCUCACCCCCUAAACUUAGAAAAAUUUACACUUGGUACCUUUGACAUCGUUUUAAUAGUGUUGGGACACCUUAUAAAAGGCCAAUGAGCCUUUAAAAAAAAAAAAAAAAAAAAAAAGAGAAAGAACAAAGUAUUGCACUUGCCUUGAAACCUGAGCAAGAUCCGAGGGGUAUACAGUGAAAGUCUUUAAAACCUGGUGCCCUAAGCCUUGAUUGGUUGGGAGUCACCGACCUCAAUGCUCGUUAUAAGGGUGAAUAGGUGGAGUUUAACAUAUUGUAGGUGCUUGGGUAUUGAAUUUCAAUCUCAAAAGUCCGGGAAAAAAUCUAAGGAGUUAGUGGUCAAAAGAUCCUUAAAGCUUGAUGCCCUAAACCUUGAUUGGUUGAGAGUCAUUGAUGGAUCCCCGCUACAUGGACAUUUUAGAAAACAAUACCUUUAGCAUUGCACGCCUACAAUGAAAAAAAAAUGUGAAAUAAAAGAGGUGCGUUCUUAGCCUAUUGGAGGUUGGUCAGUUUGCUAAAGUUUGAGAAAUCUAGGUUGGGGGGAGAGAAUAGUCCGACAUACUAUAAUAAAAAACUAAUAACCUUAACACUUAGAUUUUUGUGGAAGAGUAAGGAUUGGACCUUUAGGGGUGGAAAUUCUUUUGAUGCUUAAAUUUGCAUAAUGCCUACUCUUUAUAAAUUAUGAUUAGGCAAGAGAUUUGAUGACUCUUGUUCAAAGUUGGGUUUUUCCUCUUUGAUGUUCCAUGAGAGAGUAUAAUCCUCAUCAUGCCACUUGAAAUCUUUUUGGAGUGAUUAACAUGAUUUUGUAAAUUAUUUUACUGUCUAUUUUUCUUUAUCUCUCUUUUAUUGCUAAUGGACUAGCAAUAUGUCAGUUGGGGGGAGUGAUUACUACUCAAAAAGUACUCUUUUAUAGCUUGAAACUAACUGUUUUAAACACUUUUGAGUAGGUGUUAAUACAUUUUAACUCAAUUGGCACAUUAAGGAACCUAACAAGGGUUACUAAUAAGUUUUUGGCAAGUUUUGGUGUUUUUGGUAGCUAUUUGAUCAUUGAAACAAGCCAAGAAUGAGGGAGAAUUUUGUGAAGUCCAUAGCAAUGCAAGUUAAAGCUCAAAUACAUGAAGAAUCCAAGCUUUGAAGCACUUCAUAGCCCUUUGCGAAGCCAAUCAGAGAUGCAAGGAAGAAAACCAGAGGAAAAAAUCCAACAACCAGCAUUUUCGCAUGGCUGUGCGAAAUUUUGCACACCAUGCGAAACCACAAGAAGUAGCCAAAGAAUUUUGCACACCAUGCGAAAUUUCGCAUGGUAUACGAAAUCUUCCUAUGCACCAACUCCGUUAUAUUUUUAUCUUCAGAUAUUUUGUGUAAUUUCCUAGUUUCUCCUUGUAACCAACCUAGAUAUUUUCUUUUAUAUCUUUUUUUUAUAUUUUUUAGGUAACAUCAUAUAUAGGGGGAGAGACAUAAGGAGGAUAUGGAUGUUUUUCAUAAAACACUUUUAAUUUUCUGGUAGUAAGAAAUAUACAAAGUUUUUUGCUCUGCCUUACCUUCUCAUUUUGUUUUCACCUAUCUUUCUAGCCAAACAACCUCUGAGAAUGAUUUCUCAGGGGAUGAGUAGUUAGGUUUUACGUUUCUUGGAGUGAGAGAAGCUAGGUGAAAGACCCAAAUGCUAAGGUGGGAGUUGUCCUUGCUUUAAAUGAAAGUAGUUGUUAAAUAUUAAUGGUUUUUAUUUUAAGGUUUAGCUUUAAAUCCCUUAAAAACACCUUGAAUGGCCAAUACUUGGUAAGCUUUUCGGAUUCUAUGGAUGCUUAUUGCUAGAUCCAUGGAUGUCAUUAGUUAUCAUUUAUGAGCCAUUGGAAGGUGGUUCAAGAUGAGAGUCUUUAGUGUUUGAAGCCAUUAAUGGGAAACAAUUACCAUUUUUUCAUGAAUCCUUUGGAUAAAAUCUUAAUUGCUAAAUAUAAAACUGGUUCGGGAGAUAACCAUCCUUUAUGUUAUUAUGCCCAAUGCAAGGAGAAGAUUUCGAAUCUUCUCAUUUGUCUAAGGAACCCGAUCCUAGUGACCUAAAGCUCCUAGAGACCUUUUCUUUGUAGUUAACUUCAUUUAUUGUUUUUGCUUAACUUAAAAUCAAUCUUUGCAACCACAAUUCCAUUUUCUUUAAAAGCUAAUUUUUAUAAGGAAAAGCACCAUUUUAUUUCCUUCACUAAGUCAACUGUAUGAUGAAAACCCAUCCCUGUGGACGAUCUUAGAGCCACUAUACUAUGUUAUCUAUGCUAUCCUAGUGUGAGGUGAUUUAGGUUUUAUAAAUUUUGUUGAUAACACCCGUCUGAGCCAGAAUCAAAUGGAACCACUGAACCAGGGACAAAUCAACAGCCUAUAUGGGAGGGACACAAGUUUAAUUGAUUUGCAUUUCAGCGUUAUAGAUAAGUAUGUUUUGGAAGAUUUGUUCUGGAAAUACUGCACCAAGUACGAUUCUUUUUCUCUUGAGUGAGUCCAUUUGCAUGCCAAUUAACGAGUUGAAAAGUAGGAGCACCUACCUCGUGCUCAUGGAACCGAAUGUCAGUGAAGUGGGGCUCCUUUUAGCCUCUUGUGUUUCUGUUCCAACCAAGGCGGCGUAGGGAAAAACAACAAUAUGUCUGUGCUAAAUAUCAACGCAUGAUAGAUGUUUUUUUUUUUUUUUUUGGUAUGUCAAGGCUAACGAAUGAAAUGCAUUAGCUUGUUUUGUGACUAUAACUGCAAAUGUCCAAAUUGGAGUAUCUCCAUUUCUCACUUCGGAUGGUUAACUUUAUAAACAAGAUAUAGGAAACAUGUGAACAUCUUGAGGAACAAUUCAAAUUAUUCAUUAGAAGUCCUGGGUUAAGUUCCAAGAUUUAAAUCAGACCCUUCUAGCAGCUUCAAGGGUACUUAGCAACCUAUAACAUAUUAAUGAAGAUUUAGGAUUUAGACUCCGGAAUACAAAUAAAUAUGUAUCUCAUGCUUUGACUAGCUUCCCUACAUAUGCAUAAAAUGGAGAUGACCCAAAAAAAAUAGCAGAAUCUAGCUUCCCUACAUAUGCACAAAAUGGAGAUGACCCAAAAAAUAGCAUAAUCGCCUUAGUUUCUGUGGUUAAGGUGAUUCUCCGCUUAAUAUCCACAUUGACUCAUUAUGCAAAAUCAACUGAGCUAAUUUUAUUUAUUUAUUUAAUGUCAAAUAGGAACUCCUAAUUAACUGAUUACUGUCGAAAAGUGCUAUUUUGUAGACCUAAUUAUAAGGGUUUUAAGCACCUUUGAGUAGUAAUCAUAUUCAUUUAACCUAAUUAAUUCAUUAAGCUCCUUAGUAAUUAGUUCUAACCAUUUUUAGUGGCAAGUUUACAUGUUUUUCAUCAGCUUAUGAACCAAUUCAAGCAUGCCAAUUGAUGGAGGAGCUACUUGGGCGAGUUAAGCAAGGAUUUUGGACGUUUACAGGCUUGAAUUUCAAGUGGAAACACGAGCACAAGCAAUGGGAACACCAUUUCGCAAGGGGAGGCAAUUCACCUUGCCAAAUGACCAAUUUCGCAAGGGGAUUUUCCUCAUGGUGCAAAAUUUGGUCAUUUCGCACCAUGAAGAAACCACCUUGCAAAAUUUCGCAAGGUGGAUUUAGGCACCUUGCGAAAUGCCAAAUUUCACAAGGUGGCUUUUCACCUUGCGAAAUUUGGACCUUUCAUCUUCCCCCCUUGCGAAAUGCCUUUGAAAUCCCCUGUUUUGAGACGCUGUUGAUGAUAUUCCACUGCCGGUUCUCCAAGAUAUUUUGCUUGACUUUUAGCUUUAUAAAUACCUAUUUUACCCUUGUAAUCAACCAAUGAAAAGGUUGCUUUUGUAAUAGCUCUUGUAAUUUAGCUUUUUAUUGUCUUUAAAUAGAGGUGAAGAGCCUCAGACACGAUCAUCUUGUAACCUGUAACUUUAUAAGUUAUAAGAGCACUUUUGUUCAUACGCUUCUUUUCUCUUUUCUUUCUCAUUUUCUUAGUAGCCAAACAUCCUUGGAGGAUGAAAUCCCCAAGGAUGAGAGGCUAAAACCUUUUAGUUUCUUGAAGUAAUGGAUGCCAUGUGAAGCUCCCGUGUCAGGAUGGAGAUUUCCAAGCCAUAAAUGUAAGUAGCUGAGCGUCAUAAAUGUUUUCAUUCAAAGUAAAGCUUUUAAUCCCUCUGACUUGCUUUGAAUGGCCAAUACUUGAUAACCUUUUGGUCUCAAUGGAUUCUUAUUGUUAGAUCCACUGACGUUCAUUAGUUAUCUCCUACGAGCCAUUGUAUUGCAAGUCGAGGAGAUGACCUAUACCAAUAAAAGAGCAUUUAUGAGGUUCAACUACCCUUUUUGUAAGUUUUCAAGGACUAAAACUCAGUUGUUAAACUCAUACCGGUUCGAGAAGUAAGCAUCACCUUAGUUGCUUCCCCAACUCGAGGUGAAAAGUCCCAAAAUCUCCAUUUUUACACAGUGAGUUAAGCAUGGCUAUCCAAAGCUUUAAGAAACUUCUUUUUCCAUCUUUUAACCUAUUUUCAUGUUAGUUUAGUUUACAACACCUUCAUCUUUUUAUGUUUUCAUCUUAACCUAAUUUUUAUUAAGAAAAGUUCACUCCAUCCUCCGAACUUCACCAGUUAAAGUAAAAACCCUUCCCAGUGUUCGAUCCUAGAGCCACUAUGCUAUAGUAGCUUUGCUACUUUAGUGUAAGGACCUUAGGUAUAAAUUUUGUUGAUACCCUUACAUGCCAAGCUACCAAGAGUCGGGUUAUCAUUAACCUAACCAUUGGCCUGUGUAAAUUGAUUUCACAUGCACAAUGUUGUAGUAGAAGUCCAUAUUUUGAAUUUUAUUUUUGUAAAGGUAAGGAAAAUGAAGCAUUGUGUAAUUAUAAAAAUAACUUCAUUGGAAUUCACAAGGUUCACCCAAAAUGGAGCUACAUCUGUAUUCUAUCCUACAGUAGACUAUAUAGAUUGUACAAUAGUAAAUUGCAAAUACAAUUAAUAAGUCUUGUGCUUCCUUACUAAUAAUCCUUUGACAUGAACAUUGCAGCACUAAGGUCCUCUUGGGAAGACACCUUGCACCCAUGAGAGCACUAAGAGGAAGCAAGGCAGAGUCAUGGGUGCAAUGUCAUGACUUGUUGUUGCACCAAGAGAGGCUUGGUGAUGCCAUGGUGUUGCAGUAGCAAGAAUGUUGCCUUGGCAGGGACACGAUCUAGGGAUAGAUGCCAAGAAAGGCUUAGCACUCACAUGAGUUGCACAAAGAUGAAUGUAAUAGAGCAUCAGAGAGACGUCUUGGCAAGUAAAUGAAUGGAUCCAAGAGACAACAACAUGAGGAGUUUCAAAUGGAUAAGGAAUGACUCAAAGACAUUUGAAAGCUACAAGUUGGAUUCUAAUUACGAUUGCAAUUUGAGUUUGAGUAGGAGUUUAGAUUUUGAUUGUAAUUGUAGUAUGAGUUGGACUAGGAUUGCUUAUCCUUAGUCAAUAUAGGAGCGGUUCGUGUCACCCUAUGAAAAGAGUUUGAGUAGGGACUAGGAUUGCUUACUCCUAGUCAAAUAUGGAGUAGGUGGUGCCACACCUAUAAAAAAAAGGGACAACAUGAGAGAGAGAGAGAGAGAGAAAGAGAGAGUGAAUUCACUAAAGAUAUUGUGGGAGUUUUGCUUUGUUACGUCUUGUAUUAUUACUUAGAAUAGGAAUAAAAUACAAGUUGGGGCUAGAGCCCCAUAAUUAAUCUCGUGUGCCUUUGUGGUUAUUCUUUAUUUGUCAUCUCGUGUGGAUUGGAUUAGGUUGACUUAGAGGGCUUCUAAGCACCACCUUUGUGGGUUAUUAUUUAUUUUCCAUCUCUUGUGGAUUAGAUUAGGUUGACUUAGAGGGCUUCUGAGCACCACCUUUGUGGGUUAUUAUUUAUUUUCCAUCUAUUGUGGAUUAGAUUAGGUUGACUUAGAGGGCUUUUAAGCACCACAUUUGUGGGUUAUUCUUUAUUUUCCAUAUCGUGUGGGUUGGAUUAGGUUGACAAGGAGAAAAAUUAUGUGGGAAAUUUGUGUUGGGACACUUACCAUAACCAAGUAAAAUCUACCAAGUCCUUUGUAAUAUCUUCAACAAAUAUUUUAGACUAGUUCUUUCAGUUAGUGUAAAGGAGGAAGAAGUGGUAUUGAUUCUAGAAAUAGGGUGUGUGUAUUUGAACUACAAUCCUUAUGAUCCUUAGGUCUCUAAACCUUCGUGAUGGGCUCCCUGACAUUUCAUAGGUUGUGCUACACAUGCGUUUGAAAUUUAGAGUGCGUUUGACAGUGAUUCCGGGAAGUGUUUUUGGCCUUUCUUACACUUGAAAAUUUUUAUUUUUCAAGUAUUAGAAAUGCUACAAACACUUUUGAAAAUUACUGUCAAACACACUCUUAGGAGCGCACAUAUAUAGUAGAAAACUAGAAAUUGUGGUUUUUUUAGGAUUUACUGUAAUGUCAUUAGGAGGGUAGUAAGUUGAAAUUGAGUAUGAACAAAUAUUUCUUUCUUUGGGAUGUUCUUCUAGUAGGUGCUGAUGAAACUGUUCUUUCUACUGCCAAUGUCACAUAUCAGCCAGAAAUUGAAAAUUUCAGUCAAGGUGUCCUCUGUUUUAGUGGUGAGGAAAGCUAGAAAUUUUAAGGUGAAGUUUUGUUAAAAACCUUAAGUAGCUGGGAUAUCAGGCCUGUUUUGCUUGAAAAAAAAAGUUGCAAGAUAACUCAUAUGCCAAACAGGUUCUGAUAUUGUGAAUCUAUCGGCAGACAUCAGUAAUCUCAUCUUCUGAGAUGGAUGUUGGGGGUGCAUGUGGUGGUGGAGGGGCAAGGUUUCAUUUGGUUUAUUUUGUUGAUGGAUAUUGUCUAGCCACCUGCGCCAAGUUUGAGGGGUGGUGGGUUGUGAUGACCCUACAAUUACUAUUAAUUUCUUCAUCUUUUACCGAUUAAAGUGUCCGAACAGUCGAAGUUACCCUUAUGCAUGUCAACUUGAUCACUUACCUCUUCAAUGGAGUUUAUGCUGGUUCAUUUAGGAACUGAUUUUUAUUGUUAUGUAUUAUAUGCUGAUGUUUAGGUCUCUCCAUCAUCACUAUAUACAAAAAUUCUAGGUUGAUACUAUAGGUUGAGAUUUAUUUUUUAAAUAAAAAAUAAUAAAAAUAAAAAUUAUGGUGAUGUUUAGUUGUUUUAUGGAAAAUUUUAACAAGUAAAAGUUAUUUUUGGGCAAGUUUUCAAACAAAAAGAAAAGUAAAAGUUGUUUUGACAAAAACAUAUAGAAAAAAAAAUCAUAGAAAAUAAAUAAUUUCCCCAUAUUCUAACUUUUUUGAAUUUUUCUCAAUGGGCAAAGGAAUAUCAAAUCAAGUUUGAGUAGGAUUUCUUAAUUUUUAAAAUAACUUACAAUUAAAAAAUUUUGGUGUUUUCAUUUUUGGACAAUUUUUUAUUAAGCAAAUGGACUCUGAGUCAUGCAAGAGAUAUGGUUCAUUAACCGGUCGAACAAUUUUUUUAAAUUAAUUUAAAAGUCAAAUACAUAAUCAAUUUCACAAAAUUUAUAAACAAAAAUAGGUUUAGAGAAGAUCUACACAUAAUUUUACUUUUCUAAUUUUAUUUUAUUUUAUUUUUUGUUGGAAAAUAGUCUUCAAAUCAUGUAAGAUUUAAUAGGUUAAAUUUGUUAACAAUAAAUUUUAAAUUAUAAAAUAUAAUCUGGAACUCAAAAAUCAAUUCAAGUAAUGCUAAAAAAAAAUCAAAUUUGGUAUAGAAUGACUUUGUAAAUUUUUUUACAAAACAAAUGAAUUUUAAAUCAAGUGAGAUUUAAUGCAUUAGAUUUUUAUCAAAUAUAGUAAUUUUAAAAAUAAAUUUGGAACUCAACAAUAGACACAAUAAAUACCAAAAAAUAAUGAACCAAAAUUGGUUUGGAAUAACUCCACAACCUUUUUUUUUUUUUUUUGGUGCACACGAAUUUUCUUACUAGGUAUAUUGCUUUCAAAUUGAGAAAGAUUUACCAUUUAGAUUUUUUUUUAAUGAGUUUAAUGGUAUUUUAAAAUAAUUCAAAAUUUAAAAAAUUGACUAAUUAAUAUUAUAAAUUGAUAAACCAAGACUAUUUCAAAAUGCAUUGGGGGCUAAGGGGGUUGAAAAUAGGGACAAUGGGAUGGGUUUGGGACAUGACACUCAUAUCUCAUUUCCAUUCCAAUUACACAGUUAUCUCCCAUCCUUAUCCCAAACUUGUGUUGGAGCAAGUUGAUUUGUUCCCAUCUUUGUUGACGAAAUGACUAAUAACCUCAUCCCCUCCUUAUCUUAGAUGUACAUUUUGUCAAAUUUGAUCAGGUAUGAUUGAUCCAAGCCCUAACCCUAAUUGGUAAUGAGUGAAUACUACACCUAAUUGCAUUCUUCUUUCAUUGCAAAAUAAUGAGAUUAUAAUAAUCUAGCAAAUAAGAAAAAAUAGUAUGGAAGUUCAAAUUAACACCAUAACUAUCAAUAAUUUUAAGCUUAUAGAUGACUUAAAUGAUUAAAAACUAAUGCAAAAUCCUAAAAAAAAUAAAAAUCAUAUAAAGAAUUCACAAGAGAACAGAAUGAACAAAAACCAAAUAUGAACAUGGGUCAACAUUAGUUAUGGAUUUGGAUUCCUUUCAAGGCCAAUCUUUGAACCAAGACUUCAUCAAAUCAACUACUUCAAAGGCUUUUGUGUUCUUCUUGGGUUGUGCUCUCAAACAAAGACUUCGAGGUGAUGUUCUAGAUGAUUGAAUUACACAUAUUUAGGGUGGAGAGAUUGGAGAAGCUUGAAGAUGCCAACGAUGGGUACAAUUGAGUGGUCAAUAAGAACAAUGUAGCCUAUGACUAGUUUGAUGUCAUGGUACAAGAGUUUUAGGCAUUGAGGUUAAAGCAAGAGCAACAUGGAAUUGAUUUCGGAGUCUUUCAGUUAGUGUAAAGGAGGAAGAAGUGGUGUUGAUUCUAGAAAUAGGGUUUUAAGUGGUGCGUGAUUACUACUCAAAAAGUGCUAUUUGAUAGCCUUUAAUUAAUCCUUUUUAACACUUUUGAGUAGUAGUUUAGGCCUUUUAACUCAAUUGGCAUGUUAAGGAUCCUUUAAAGCAAUUUUGAUCACUUUGUGCAAGUUUUGGUGUUUUUGUUAGUAUUUUGAUCACCAAAGCAAGUCAAGAAUGAGGAGAACUAUGAGGAAUCAUGGGCAAAGCUUAGAAUUCAAUUGCCAAGAGUGAAUCCGGAUUGCAAGGAGAAAAAGCAAAGAGAAUCUGUCAUGAAGCCUAUUCUUGAUGACAGUCGUAGCAGCCACUUUUGGAGCACUUUCUGAAGUCCAAAUGAUGCAAGCUAUAUACCAUUUCAAAGAUCAGGAAGUCAACAAUCCAAUGCUUCAAACGGUGCGCGAUUCGGAGUUGAAACGAAGAAGUUGCAGCCAUUACAAGCCAGUCACUCUAAAGUGUUGCGGAAUCAGCCUUUUGUUGCGAGAAUUUCGCAGCACUUUUGUACAGUAAGGUGUUUCUCCUUCUGACGAUGCACGAACCAUGCCGCGAGAGGGAAGCUAGGAACUUCAAGAUGGAAGCCAACUUUGCAGCCUGGUGAAGAUAGCUUGGUCUUGCGAAAUAAUUUCGCAGCCCUCUUGGGUGUCUGCGAAAUUUCGCAGGCACCACUUUUUUCCUGCGAAAUGGCUCCGGAAGCCUCCCGAAGCUUGCUACCGACAUUGGGAGAUAUUUUCCAUUAGAUUUUUGUUGUCUAAAUUCCAAAAUACUCCUUGUAAACCACCAAUUACAUGAUUCCUUAGUUUUUAAGUUAGUAAAAAGACCAAAUAUCUAUGUAAUAAUUAGUUUUAUAUUAGUUUGCUAUAAAUACCUCUCGGGAGCAUGUUCUCAGAGAGGAGUUCCUUCUGUAACCAUUUUGGUAAGCAAGUAAAGUCUUUUCUUUCUACUGCCUUACCUUCUCACUUUGUAUUUUCAUUUUAUUUCUAAGUUAUGAAUUCUCUGAGGAGCUUUCCCCAGAGAAUGAGUAACUAAACCUCCAAUUCCUUGGAGCUAAGGUUGCCGGGGAAGGUUCCAAGUGCAAGAAUGCAAAGCUCUGUGGUUUUAGCUAGUAAUGAAGAGGAAGUGAAAUCCUUUAGUGAUUUCAAUGUUUUUAGUUAACUUAAAACACCUUGGAGUCACCUGGGCCAACACUUGGUAAGGCAAGUGAUUUCCAACCGUGGAAAUGCACUAGUUUACCCCUUGCGAGCCUCUGGUAGGUGACUUCAAGGUAGGAUUUUCUGGAAUUACCAACACUUGGUAAGCUUUUGGACUCCUAGGAGACAUCCAUUAGUUAUCUCUUGCGAGUUUGUGAAGGGGAAUCCAAGGUUAAAGAUCACCUUGAAUGGUAAGUGCUCGUGAGAGGCAUGAACCAUUGCAAGUUGUAUCAGUGAGAGAAUUAAAGUGAAAUCUAAUUGAAGGAGUCUCUGUACAUCACCGGUUAGAGAAUUGACUAUAAGUUGAAUCUCUAAUGCGAGGAAAUGAACCAUCUGACCGGAGCUAUGUCUUUUGCAUGAGGAACCACCCCAGUGAACCUAAAUCUCCAAGGAAUGCUUUUCUUCCUAAAUUAUUCCAAACUUCUGUUAAGUUAGUUAGUUUAAGUCUAAACCUUUACCAAUCAAACUUUGUGUUUUAUUUCUUAAGCUAACCGUGAAAUGAAACAAAACCAAUUCACUUGGAAUUGGUAUCCUUGAUUGCUUGCAAAUCAUUCCCAGUGAACGAUCCUUAGAGCCACUAUACUAUAGUAGCUUUGUAUUUGCUACCCUAGUGUAUGGUGUUAUAGGUAUAAAUUUUGUUGAUCACUUCCUCAAUCAAGGAACACCAGCUGAACACAAAUCAGCUGAGACACCAAUUGGGCAUGAGUCAAAUGGCGCCGUUGCCGGGGAAUGAGUGUCAAGAUCAUUGUGAUACCAUUUUUGAGCACUUGUGAUUUUCAUCACAAGUUGGUAAAGUUUCUUUCACUUUACUAAUUUUCAUUCUCUCUUUGUUUAUUUACAAUCUAAGUUUAUCUUUUUAAAAUUUAGUCUAGUUUAAUUUUGCUAUUGUAGCCUUGUUUCUCUUGUUGUCCUCUGUUCUUGUUGUCCUCUGUUUUCAUUUUAGUUGCAGCUGAAUACUAGUUGUGUAUGCCAAAGUGGAUACGAGACAUUGGAGGUAGGCUUAUUAAGUGUGAUACACCUCAGAGAGGAGAAUUGGAAGUAAUCUUGAAUAUCAUGGAGGCUGCACCUGAAGAUCAGCAUAGUCACCAAGGUCGUCAAGACAAUCUCAAUGAAUUCAGAUCAAUGAGGGACCGUAUGCAUCCACCUCGUAUGAGUGCACCAUCAUGUAUAGUGCCCCCUACAGAGCAACUAGUGAUCAGACCAUAUCUUGUUCCACUUCUACCAACUUUCCAUGGGAUGGAAAGUGAGAAUCCGUAUGCACACAUCAAGGAAUUUGAAGAUGUUUGUAAUACAUUCCAAGAGGGAGGAGCUUCAAUUGAUUUGAUGAGGCUUAAGUUAUUUCCUUUUAAUUUAAAGGAUAAGGCCAAAAUUUGGCUUAAUUCUUUAAGGCCAAGGAGUAUCCGCUCUUGGACUGAUUUACAAGCUGAAUUCCUCAAGAAAUUUUUUCCUACUCAUAGAACAAAUGGCUUGAAAAGGCAAAUUUCAAACUUCUCAGCUAAAGAGAAUGAGAAAUUCUAUGAGUGUUGGGAAAGAUACAUGGAAGCUAUAAAUGCUUGUCCUCACCAUGGCUUUGAUACUUGGCUACUGGUGAGUUAUUUUUAUGAUGGUAUGUCCUCCUCAAUGAAGCAACUCCUCGAGAAAAUGUGUGGAGAAGAUUUCAUGAGCAAAAAUCCAGAGGAAGCUAUGGAUUUCUUGAGCUAUGUAGCUGAUGUUUCAAGGGGAUGGGAUGAACCAACUAAAGGAGAAGUGGGAAAGAUGAAGUCUCAGUUGAAUGCUUACAAUGCAAAGGCUGGGAUGUAUACUUUAAAAGAGGAUGAUGACAUGAAAGCAAAGUUGGCAGCUAUGACAAGAAGAUUGGAGGAGCUGGAGCUGAAAAGAAUGCAUGAAGUGCAAGCUGUUGCUGAAGCACCAGUGCAAGUGAAGUUGUGUCCCAAUUGUCAAUCGUUUGAACAUUUGGUAGAGGAAUGCCCUGCAAUUUCAGCUGAAAGGGAAAUGUAUAGAGAUCAAGCAAAUGUUGUUGGACAAUUCAGGCCCAAUAACAAUGCUCCUUAUGGAAAUACCUACAAUUCAAGUUGGAGGAAUCAUCCAAAUUUUUCAUGGAAGGCCAGAGCAACUCAAUACCAACAGCCGGAUCCACCAUCUCAACAAUCUUCAAGUAUUGAACAAAUAAUAGCUAAUCUCAGCAAGGUAGUGGGAGAUUUUGUGGGAAAGCAAGAAGCCACCAAUGCUCGAGUGGAUCAAAGAAUGGACAGAGUGGAUCAAAGAAUGGACAGAAUGGAGAGUAUGUUGAACAAAAGAAUGGAUGGAAUGCAAAAUGAUAUGAAUCAAAAAUUUGAUAACAUCCAAUAUUCAAUUUCAAGGCUUACAAAUUUGAAUACACUGCAAGAAAAGGGAAGAUUUCCUUCUCAACCUAACCAAAAUCCCAAAGGUGUCCAUGAAGUGGAAAGCCAUGAGGGAGAAUCAUCACAGGUGAAAGAUGUGAAAGCUUUGAUCACUCUAAGGAGUGGUAAGAAAAUUGAGCAGCCAACACCCAAGCCACAUGUUGAGAAAGAAGAAGAGAUGAAGAAAGGGAAGGAAAUGGAAGAUAAAGGCAGUGAGAUCAGUGAAGAAAAGAAGGACUCUGAUGCAACAAUGAAAGUAAUUCCAGAGAAGGAGCUUCUGAAGGAAGAAAUGCUGAAGAAAUCAACUUUUCCACCUUUUCCUCAAGCAUUACAGGGGAAAAAGGGGGUUAGAAAUGCAGCUGAAAUCCUAGAAGUAUUGAGGCAAGUGAAAGUUAAUAUUCCACUGCUGGAUAUGAUCAAACAAGUUCCAACGUAUGCAAAAUUCCUAAAGGACUUGUGUACUAUCAAAAGAGGGUUGACUGUAAACAAGAAAGCCUUCUUGACUGAGCAAGUAAGUGCAAUCUUACAGUGUAAGUCUCCUUUGAAGUACAAAGACCCUGGAAGUCCUACCAUUUCAGUCAUGAUUGGAGGAAAGGUAGUGGAGAAAGCCUUGCUAGACUUGGGAGCAAGUGUGAAUUUGCUUCCAUAUUCUGUCUACAAGCAACUGGGACUUGGAGAGUUGAAGCCAACAGCAAUCACUUUGUCUCUGGCAGAUAGAUCAGUGAAAAUUCCAAGAGGGGUAAUUGAGGAUGUAUUGGUUCAAGUAGAUAAUUUCUACUAUCCUGUAGAUUUUGUUGUUCUUGAUACAGAUCCUACUGUAAAGGAAGCUAAUUUAGUUCCUAUCAUCCUUGGAAGGCCAUUUCUUGCAACUUCAAAUGCAAUCAUCAACUGUAGAAAUGGGCUUAUGCAACUCACUUUUGGUAACAUGACACUGGAUCUAAAUAUUUUCUAUAUGUCUAAAAAGCAAAUCACUCCAGAAGAAGAAGAGGGUCCAGAAGAGCUAUGUAUUAUUGAUACUUUGGUGGAGGAGCACUGCAAUCAACAUAUGCAAGAUAAGUUGAAUGAAAGUUUUGUGGAUAUUGAGGAAGGUUUUUCUGAAUCUCCUAAUGGGCUUGCUACUCUACAAAGUUGGAGAAAGAUAGAAGGAAUUCUACCUUUGUUCAAUGAAGAAGAGGAGGCAGCUGUUGAAAAAGAAAUUCCAAAACUCAAUCUGAAGCCUUUACCUAUGGAGCUGAAAUAUACAUAUCUUGAAGAAAAUAAUCAAUGUCCUGUCGUAAUAUCUUCAUCUCAAACCAAGUCUCAAGUGAAGGAUGCAAGCUUCAAAUGGGAUCCGGGCAAACUGAAUCAGGAAGGGCAAAAAGUUUUGAUGUAUGACACAAGACUCCAUAUCUUUCCUGGGAAGCUCAAGUCAAGGUGGAUUGGUCCAUUUGUUAUUCACCGAGUAUAUUCCAAUGGAGUGGUGGACUUAUUGAAUUCCAAUGGCAAGGACAGCUUUAGAGUCAAUGGAUAUCGUCUUAAGCCGUUCAUGGAGUCAUUCAAAUCAGAAAAGGAGGCAAUCAACCUCCUUGAACCUCAAAAAGCCUAAGUGAAAUGGGUUUGCUGGACGUGGUUUUACCACAGUCCAAAAAUUUUUGUAAAUUUUGUAAAUUUUCAAGUUGUUUCCAUGCUUUUAAUCUUAGUUUUUGAUUUUAAAUCAUGUUUUUAGGUGUGUUUUAAUCGUUUUAUAUGAUCCCAGGCGGAAGAAAUUUCAAGGGGAUUGAAAAGAAAAAAAUCGGGUCGAAAUUGGAGCCGAAACAGAGCAAAAACAGGGGAAAAACAGAGCUCUGCGAAAUUUCGCAGGGUGAAGGAAACUUCUGCGAAAUUGGCAUUUUGCUGCCAAACCAUUCCGCAGCACUGUAGAAGCCUCUGCGAGUGUAUUUCGCAAUUGCGAAAGUGGAUUUGGCACACGAGUGCCACUUCGCAGCACAGUGACAUCAAUUUCGCAGCUGCGAAACUCACUGCGAAGUUGCUGCGAAAAUGGCAAGUUGCUGCGAAAUUGGCGUUUUGUUGCGAAACGUAAUCUGACCCCUGGGCUUCCGUUUUUCCUAUUUAUACCUGUCAAAAGUGCUGCGAAAAAGGUUUCAAAAAUUAGAGCACCAUUCUCGCAGCCCUUUCAUCUUCUUCGCCAAGCCACGCCGUCCGUUUCUCCGGUCGUCUUCUCCGUUUAGCAGCGCCGGCCAAAGAUCGAUAGCCCAAAAAUGGCACGAACGCGAGGGGCAAAGUCUUCAUCCCCUUCGAACCGCAAAAGGAGUCUGCGAAAGGAGCCAAGUUCAGGCUCUGUUCCAGAACCUGCUCCAAAGCCUUCGCCGUCGAGACCACAACCUUCUCCAGUGAAGCCGGCGCCACCAAAGCCGCCGGCAAGGCGAUAUUUAACCAGGUCAGGUGGUCAGCCAUUGAAGAAGAAAGCCAGAGUUGAGAGCUCUGAACCAAUCGAUUUGACUGAGCAAUCCCCUGAGAAAUCACCAAAUCCUUCACCGGUACAAAUUCCAGUGCCAUCACCGGUUCCCUCGCCAAUUCCCUCACCAGAAGCAACUCCAAUUCCAUCGCCGGUACCAUCUCCGGCACCCCAAGAAAAAGCUCAGGAGCCUCAAGCGCCAAUUCCAGAGCCCCAAAUUGCAGCUGAAGCACCUCUGGAAGAAGUGAUCCGAAGGCCAAUGCUGCCUCAGCCCCCAAUCGAAGGAAACCUGGAUUGCCGAACUCGGGCAUUCCAUUCUGAGCUUUGCUUCGAUUUAACAGCAUUCAGAGUGAGGCCAGAGCUUGCCCAAUCCUUCCAACUGCUGAGGAGAUAUCAUAUGGAGCAUCUGCUAGCUCCAAGGGAUUUUUUCUAUCCCCGGGUAGUCACGGAUUUCUACCAAACCAUGACAACCAAAGAAGUAAGAAAUCCAACUCUGAUUCAUUUCAUAAUUGAUGGAAGGCAUGGUAUUUUGGGAGCAAGACAUAUUGCUGAAGCCCUGCAAAUUCCUUUUGAGCCAACUCAAUUCGACAAUUUUAAAGCUUGGACAAAUCCUACUGAGUUAGAGAUGGUUAGCACACUAACCAGAGGAGCUGCAAAUCGAUCGCAUUUGUUGAGGGGGGAGCUACCUCCAGUUAUGUUUUUGAUUGAUGCCUUUUUGAGGCAUAAUAUCUAUCCCCUGCAGCAUUGGACCCAAAGAAGGGGAAUUCUCCUAGAAGCCUUGUACAAAAUGUCUGAAGGAUUCUUCUUUGGGCCUCAUCAUCUGAUCAUGGCAGCCCUUCUAUACUUUGAGGAGAAGGUUCACAAGAAGAAGCUUCAAAGAGCAGAUUGCAUUCCACUCCUCUUCCCAAGGCUGCUAUGCCAAGUUUUGGAGCAUCUCGGAUACCCCUCUGAGCCUCAGCAGGAAAGAAAGAGAAUAUGCCGUGAGCCUUUUACCCUUGAUAAAUGGAAUAAUAUGACGGCCUACAAAAUUGAUCAGCCUGGGCAGCCUCAGCCAGCAGCAAGGAGAGUCUCCCCAAGACAUAUACCUGAAGGUAUAACACUUGCUACUCCUGCCAUCCCUCGAGCUCCACCAGCUGCACCUGCUCCAUCACAGCCAUCCACAUCAGCUGAGCCGAGGAUGGCCAUCCCUAUAUCCGAAUAUCGAGAGCUGUGCCGUGCAUUGGAGACUCUUACAGCUUCUCAGAGCAAUCUUGCUCAGGAGUUGGCAGCCAUUAAAGCAUGCCAGGAGCAGAUGUUAGCCUCUCAGACUCAACAAGCUGCCAUCCUAAGGCAGCUUCAAGUCCAUUUCGAUCUGCCACAAGCUGUAGAGCCCUCUAUUCCUACUCCACCAGAGCCACACUCUCAGCCUUCAGAGUCUCAUCCUCCAGAACCCGAAGCACCAGCUGAUCCACCUACUGAGGAGGCAGAUCCUUCUGCCUAGCACCAUCACCCCCCUCAUCAGACAUUAUAUAUAUAUUUGCUGUUUAUGUUUUUAUGCAUGUUUGUUUUGUUUUAGUUGAAAAGAAAUCCCAGUAUUUUGGUACUAUAUAUGGGAUUCCUUGUGUUACUUGUCUUUAGUAUUGUAAUCACAUGAACUCAAAGUAAUACAAGUUGACUAUUUCUUGUUAAAAGUUAGCAUUAAAGUUUCCUUAUUUCCUUUUCUCACAUAUUCUAUUCUUUUUGAAACAUGUGGUUUUCCCCAAUCAAUAUUCGAAUUUGAUAUCAGCAUGGAGGUACCACUUCCUCCCUUUUAUUACAGUCACUCAAAUCACAUUGAGGACAAUGCUCAGUUCGGUUGGGGGGUAUGAGGAAGGAAGUAUUCUAAACCUUUUUGGUAUUGCAAUUAUAUUGGUUAAUUAGUUGUAGAUUUUACUUUUUACUAGUGUUACUCUAUUCUCCAUGAAUUUUGAGGAAAAAUUUUCAAAUUAAACCAAGAGAAAUUGAACUGUUGUUUUUCACUUGACUUAGAGUAUGGAUUAUGCUUACUAAAGUGGUUCAAUUGUUGAAACUUCUACUGAAAUUGAAUUGAGUUCUUCCACUUUAAGCUAUCCACACACUGUGCACAUUAGUUUCCGAUUAUAAGAUGAAAAGCUAUUUCCCUCUUGACUUAGUAUAUUUUUGGGACUUGGUAUAUUUGACCUCAUUUGAUAAAAAUUGAAACACCCUGCAAAAGGCCAAUGAGCCUUUGAAAUAAAGAAAGUUGUUUGCUUGCCUUGAAACCCGAGCAAGGUCUGAGGGGUAUAUGGUGAAAAUCUUUAAAGCCUGGUGCCCUAAGCCUUAAUUGGUUGGGAGUCACCGACCUCAAUGCUCGUUACAAGGGUGAAUAGGUAGAGUUAGCAUAUGGUAGAUGCUUGGGUAUUAGAAAUUCAUUCUUAAAAGUCCGGGGAAAAAUCCGAGGAGUUAGUGGUUGAAAGAUCCUUAAAACUUGGUGCCCUAAACCUUAAUUGGUUGGGAGUCAUCGAUGGACCCCCAUUACAUGGACAAGUCAGAAAGAGUACCCCAUAAAGCUACCUUAAAAAAAAAAAAAAAAAAAAAAAAAAAAAAAAAGAUGAAAGUGUGUUCUUUUCUUAUUGAUUUUGGUCAGUUUGCUAAAGUGUUGAAAAGAGAUAGGUUGGGGGGUGAGAUUAGUAGCAUAUUAUUCUCGGAACCUAAGGAACCAAUACACAUAGAUUUUUGUGGAAGAUUGAAGUUUAGUUCUUAGAAAAUGAAAUGAUUUUAAAACUUCAGUUUGCAUAAUGCACUCCCUUGAUUGACAGUGUUUAGCAUAGGUGUUAUGACUCUUGUUGAGAUUUGGGUUUGUAUUUCUUUAAUGAUUCAUGUGAGAAAUAGAUCAUCAUGCCACUUGAGAAUUAUUUUCCUUUUAGCAUGAUGUUGUAAAUUUUAGAUUAGUUUGCUAUUUAUUUUUUAUUUUCUCUCCUAUAUUGCUAAGGGACUAGCAAUAUGUCGGUUGGGGGGAGUGAUUACUACUCAAAAAGUGCUAUUUGAUAGCCUUUAAUUAAUCCUUUUUAACACUUUUGAGUAGUAGUUUAGGCCUUUUAACUCAAUUGGCAUGUUAAGGAUCCUUUAAAGCAAUUUUGAUCACUUUGUGCAAGUUUUGGUGUUUUUGUUAGUAUUUUGAUCACCAAAGCAAGUCAAGAAUGAGGAGAACUAUGAGGAAUCAUGGGCAAAGCUUAGAAUUCAAUUGCCAAGAGUGAAUCCGGAUUGCAAGGAGAAAAAGCAAAGAGAAUCUGUCAUGAAGCCUAUUCUUGAUGACAGUCGUAGCAGCCACUUUUGGAGCACUUUCUGAAGUCCAAAUGAUGCAAGCUAUAUACCAUUUCAAAGCUCAGGAAGUCAACAAUCCAAUGCUUCAAACGGUGCGCGAUUCGGAGUUGAAACGAAGAAGUUGCAGCCAUUACAAGCCAGUCACUCUAAAGUGUUGCGGAAUCAGCCUUUUGUUGCGAGAAUUUCGCAGCACUUUUGUACAGUAAGGUGUUUCUCCUUCUGACGAUGCACGAACCAUGCCGCGAGAGGGAAGCUAGGAACUUCAAGAUGGAAGCCAACUUUGCAGCCUGGUGAAGAUAGCUUGGUCUUGCGAAAUAAUUUCGCAGCCCUCUUGGGUGUCUGCGAAAUUUCGCAGGCACCACUUUUUUCCUGCGAAAUGGCUCCGGAAGCCUCCCGAAGCUUGCUACCGACAUUGGGAGAUAUUUUCCAUUAGAUUUUUGUUGUCUAAAUUCCAAAAUACUCCUUGUAAACCACCAAUUACAUGAUUCCUUAGUUUUUAAGUUAGUAAAAAGACCAAAUAUCUAUGUAAUAAUUAGUUUUAUAUUAGUUUGCUAUAAAUACCUCUCGGGAGCAUGUUCUCAGAGAGGAGUUCCUUCUGUAACCAUUUUGGUAAGCAAGUAAAGUCUUUUCUUUCUACUGCCUUACCUUCUCACUUUGUAUUUUCAUUUUAUUUCUAAGUUAUGAAUUCUCUGAGGAGCUUUCCCCAGAGAAUGAGUAACUAAACCUCCAAUUCCUUGGAGCUAAGGUUGCCGGGGAAGGUUCCAAGUGCAAGAAUGCAAAGCUCUGUGGUUUUAGCUAGUAAUGAAGAGGAAGUGAAAUCCUUUAGUGAUUUCAAUGUUUUUAGUUAACUUAAAACACCUUGGAGUCACCUGGGCCAACACUUGGUAAGGCAAGUGAUUUCCAACCGUGGAAAUGCACUAGUUUACCCCUUGCGAGCCUCUGGUAGGUGACUUCAAGGUAGGAUUUUCUGGAAUUACCAACACUUGGUAAGCUUUUGGACUCCUAGGAGACAUCCAUUAGUUAUCUCUUGCGAGUUUGUGAAGGGGAAUCCAAGGUUAAAGAUCACCUUGAAUGGUAAGUGCUCGUGAGAGGCAUGAACCAUUGCAAGUUGUAUCAGUGAGAGAAUUAAAGUGAAAUCUAAUUGAAGGAGUCUCUGUACAUCACCGGUUAGAGAAUUGACUAUAAGUUGAAUCUCUAAUGCGAGGAAAUGAACCAUCUGACCGGAGCUAUGUCUUUUGCAUGAGGAACCACCCCAGUGAACCUAAAUCUCCAAGGAAUGCUUUUCUUCCUAAAUUAUUCCAAACUUCUGUUAAGUUAGUUAGUUUAAGUCUAAACCUUUACCAAUCAAACUUUGUGUUUUAUUCCUUAAGCUAACCGUGAAAUGAAACAAAACCAAUUCACUUGGAAUUGGUAUCCUUGAUUGCUUGCAAAUCAUUCCCAGUGAACGAUCCUUAGAGCCACUAUACUAUAGUAGCUUUGUAUUUGCUACCCUAGUGUAUGGUGUUAUAGGUAUAAAUUUUGUUGAUCACUUCCUCAAUCAAGGAACACCAGCUGAACACAAAUCAGCUGAGACACCAAUUGGGCAUGAGUCAGUGCGUUAGAGGAUCAAGAAGAAGAAAAAGAAGGAACUGUUGGAAUUAGUAUGAGUGUGAAGAGAAAAGUAUAUAAAUAAGGGGAAGUAAAAGCAAAGUUCAAAAAGCUAUAUUUUUUUAUUGUUGGUGUAUGGUUGCAUGAUUAUCCCUAUAAAUAAUAGGAGUUUUUUGGUAUUCUACUAGUAGUUGAAGCAUAAUUUCAUAAAUUAAUAUUUAGAGCGGGGUGGGGUGAGUUGUGACAAAAUUCAUACCCGUCCCAAACCUUGGUUCAGAUUUUUAAAAUAUUCUCAAACUUAUCAUAUACCCAACUUUUAUAUUUCAUACUUGUCCUAAUAGAGGCACGUUAGGCCGGGUUACUUGAGUAACCUACAUAAUUGUCAUCCCUAGUUGAAAUACACUUUUUGGCAGUGGCCACCAACUGAGCUAGAAGCUUGAUUGAUUGACCUACAAGAUUAGUUCUCAUCAUUUUAAAAAAAGUUCUGGCUUUGGUUGUGAGUGCAAUUGAAUCUAAACUGGCAUUUGCUUAAUGCAUCUACUUCAAUCCUAAACUUCUUACUUCUUAAGCCUCAAUUGUUGUUAGGAUUUUGGAAAACCCAUUUCCUUAAAUUGUAAAUUUAAGAUAAAAUAAAAUAAAAGUGAGACAUUUCUUGAUUGAAUAUUGUUAAAGGUCCCUUGGCAUUAAGACUUGGUUGAAGCCUUGGAAGAUUAGUGGAACUCUCAACAUGUGUUUGAAUCUUGAGGAGAGUGGAUGUAAGCCAAAAUUUUGUCAAACCAUUAUACAAAUUGAGUUUGAAUCCUCAUUUCUUGAUUUCUUAUUUAUUUGCUUUUUCUUAUUAUUACUUGAAUUGUCAUUUGCAUUCAUUAAUGUUAAAAUUGGUUAUAAUUAACCAACACUAAUUCUCUUUCCCCUUCCCUUUCUUGGGUGUAAACCUAGGUUGGAUUAACUAGAUAAAUCUAUUAAGAUGGUAAAAGAAUAAUUAUUCUUAACAUACAUAAGAUCAUCUUCAAUCAAAUGACUCAUUGGCUAAUAUGUUGAAUUUGCUUAUUACUUGCAACUCAAAAUUGUGUUCUAGUUGUGUCAAGUCCCCAGUGUAUGGACAUUAAAUUUGUAGUACGUGAUGAGUAAUUAGAUGGUCCAACUCCAAGAAAGUGAUUGAAAAGUAGUUCAAGAAAGGUGCAAAAGGGAAUUGUUUUGGUAUUUUCGUUUUUAUUCUUGAAGGUGGCAGAGCUAAAAUUUGAGAAAUCAAGCAAAACAUACUGAAAUUACAUUGAAAGAAAGAAGAUGGGAGUUAAUGUCUUGCAGUACAUGAUAAGGACUUCAUGCAUGUAGUGUGACCCAUGUCUUGGACUGAUGCCAACUCACGGUUACACUUAUACCCUUGGUUCUCUCUUUACUACCUUGGCUAACCUAGAUCAGGCUAUGAGAUAGGCUCCUCACCACACCAUUACUUGCCCAUUAAUUAGAGACAUUUUCAAGCAAUGAGGUAACAUGGUGACACCAAGAGGGUCUAUUCCUCGCCCGGAACAAGUCUAGACUUGGUCUCAAAAAAAUGGAGAAAAAUGAGGUGUCGUUAUGUAGAAAUACAACAACCAUGCCUUCCUCAUUACUUAGAUUCAGAAUGUGAAGGUGAAAUUGAGAAACAGAAACUCUUGAAACCAAAAUGAAAAUUGAUACUUUUACGAAGAAUUACAACAACAUUAGAGGAAGACUACAUUCUUCCUCUUUAUUCCUACAUUUCUACACUACUUCUACUCCACUCCAUAUUUCUACAUACAUCUUUAAUCAGUCUUCCCUCCUUUAUAUAGAGCCAUCUUCACACAAAUUUCGCAAGGUAGAAAAGAGGAAUGAAACUUGGAGCAAGGUUCGACUACUGGUUGUAGCUUGUCAAGGCUGGAAGUGAACUUUUCUUGGCUUUCUGGGCAUGGGUAGUAACUUGUGGGUUCCUGUUUGGCAUAAAAAUGGCUAGAACAUGUGGCACUAUCUUGUUGGAUGAUGUGUCAAGCAUGUGGCAGCCAUCUAGUGGCGAUUAUGUCAAUUUUGGGAUGGAGAGUUGGCAUCCAAUUGCAAAGAAAUAUGACGUCUACCAACAUGCAAUGUAAACCUAUGUAGAUCAUAUGAAGAUAGAGAGGAAAAAUAUAGAAAUGGAUAUAUACCUAGAACUAGCUUUUUAUUAAAUGAAACGGAGAGACAACAAUGAAGGAAAAUAAAAUUUUUUGGCUUAUAUCAAAGAGUUCACAUUGUGUUACCCUAGGUUUUCUUAAAACUUACUUUUAUGAUAACAAAAAAGAAAAAACCAUUAUUGUUUAAUCCUUUGUUUUAAACGCAUGUAAGGUGUAAUUAAGUUAGUUCAAUGCAUUAAUUUAAGAAACUUGACCUAUCAAAAGUACAAAAUUAGAUGAAAUCCAUUUCAAUGGUUAAAAUGAUCAAAAUCAAACUUUUUCUAAGUAUUUUUUAAAAGCAUCAAUAGUGAAAGACAAUUUUAUAUUUAGUCGGAGUUUGGACAAAACUGAAAAACACACAAAAUCCAAGCGACCAUCUCUAGCUUGGAUGGUCGCUUGAUCCCACCUAGAGAUGUGCAUGAGUAAAAGGAUUUGAAAAUGGAAAUUGACUAUGUAGUCGAUCAAUUAACUUUGCAACAUCAUAUGCAAUCCUAAUUGCUAGUCAUCUAAUCAAUUAGGUAGUCAAUCAACAGGCCAAAAAUAUGUUUAUAAUGACUAUUUUGUACAAAAACCACCUGUAUAGUUAAAUAUAAUGCAUUUCAUUUAUAAAUCUUCUAAUUCUUGAAUAACGAUCCUAUCAUCCUUUGAAAGUUUUUAUUACACUUUUUUUACUUUUGUUCUAAAACUUACACAUCACCCUUAAUUGUACCAUGAGAACCUAGCUAUUUUUUAUUUUUUUUUUUGUAAUUCAUCAAAGUUAGCUUUUGUAUUCAUUGUUGUAUUAUUUUUAGUAUAACUUAGAAAGCUAGUGUUUUCAAGUGAGUAAAAUUAACUUGUAAAUAUUGUAAAGAUUCAUCGACAUGUAUCUUAAACUAAGUGUACAAGUUAAAACAUUUGCUAGUAGAUUUUCUCAAAAUUUAGAAUAGAGCUUGAGACUAUUGAAAUAGGUGGGGUUGCACCAAACCACAUCACAUCGUUGUUUGCACCUUUUUUCACUCUCUUUUACUUAGUUGCUCUAUAUUUGUUGUCUAGUAAUAUCCUAUAGGCUUGAUGGGUUAGGGAGCAUCCCUUUGUGAAAAAAUUUUAUUCAAUCCUUAGUUGUAUCACGCAUAUAUAAAAUGCCUCAUUGUUUUAAUGGUAUUCAGUCGUGGCAUCACAGAUAUGGGCAUCUAAAUUUUAAAAGUUUGAAACUUUUAUCUAAAGAAAAUAUGGUGCUUUGCCUUUUUGUAAAGCAUGUUGAUGAAAUCCAUGAGAAUUGUGUACUUGGGAAGCAACACCGAGAUGACUUUUUUUUUUUUUUUAUAAUAUUGUUUGUCCAAAUUCCCUACAAAUUAGGCCACCAGAUGUUCAUAAUUCUCCCUUCUUGAAUUUGAAAACUCGGACAAUUGGACAAUGCGACACCUAAGUCCGGUUUCUAAAUGCUAAAGUGAAAGGGUAGGUAUGGACCAUUGAAAUGUGAUCACAACUUUUCUCUGUAGCCAUGUUGUCUCUUUUUUCUUUUGCAUGAUUUUCUUACCUUAACAGAAUCAUAGACUUGUUUAGUCUCUAAAUGGGAUUAAUUUCAUCCAGCUUUAAGCUACUAUAUUAUAUCUAGGUGGAGGACUUUUAAGAGUGCAACCGACAUAGAGCACAUGGAAGUGGGUAUAUGGGACAUGAAAUUUCUUCUUAUAAAGAUUGCAUGAUUUUUAUAUUAGAGUUGUUGAGGCGCUAUGUAUUUAGCUUGUUUUGCAGUUAAAUUAAUUGGAUAAGUAGACAUUGGCGUUUCUAAAUCUACUGUGAAGUGCUUCAUGUACGUGUGAAGUAUUAGAAAUUUCUUUCUUGGCAACUUGUUUUUCUUUGCGGUCUACUGAUAGGUUUGACUAAAAUUAUAUUCCCUGUCAUGCUAAUUAAUUUUCACGUGCAUGCUCAAAAGAAAAGUAUGACCUUAGUGCACCAAAAUCACUUUGAUUAAUUUGUGAUAGGUUUUUGUGCAUCAUGACAUUAGCCUUAUUCAUUUAGAUAAUGUUUAGUUUUUAGAAAGUAUUAAGAAAAGGAAAAUAAAUAUUAAGAAAAAUAUUCUUAUAUUUGAUUGUAUUAUGAAAAAUAUCAUAAAAAAAUCAAAUAUAAUUUAAAUUAAUUAAUAAUUUAUACAUUUUCAAAUUAUUUAAUCUUUAUAUUGAAGAUAUAAUAUAAAUGAAAUGAGUUUUAAGUAUUAUAUAAAAGUGAUUUAUUGAUCUUACAUAUAUAUAUUUCUUUUUUUUUUCCUUCUAUUUUUUCUCUUUAUUUUAUUUUCCUUAUGUUUUCCUCAACAUUUUCCGGAACCAAACAUAGCCUUAGGAAAUCCACAAUUACCUUCAACUGAGUAGAUUCUGUUGUUUUAGCAAUGUUAGGCUGCUAACUUGUGUUGGUACGAACCUAUUAAGCCUAAAGAUGUAAUUAGUUAGGAUAUUCUUUUCCCUCUAGUCUUGUAGCUCCACGUGUACAGUUGGUUAGGACCUCAUUGUAUAUAAUGCUUGCCCUGUUAUUGUAGAAGACAACAAAGAUAAAUAAUAUUAACAUUUUUCCUCUCAUCUCUCUCUGUUUCCCUCUGUUUUCAUCUCCUCUCUCAUCUUGGUAUCAGAGCCUCCAUGGCUUCUUUCAAAGAAACCUCCGAAUCACCUUCUGCUAGCAUUGUUAAUGUGCAAAACCCAUUAUCUCAAUCAAACAACCUUCCUUCACCAGUAGCCACACCCUCUUUUUCUUUCUCGUCUAUGAAUCAACCUCUCACAGUGAAGCUGGAUAAUGGGAACUACCUCAUAUGGAAGAAUUAGCUUCUAAAUGUCAUCAUUGCUAACGGACUCGAUGAUUUCAUUGACGGAUCUCGACCCUGCCCUCCUCGAUUUCUCGAUCUGCAACAACAAACCCUCAAUCCAGAGUACUCAGCUUGGCAGAGAUACAAUCGACUUCUGAUGAGUUGGCUGUACGCAUCCUUGUCCAAAGAUAUAAUGGCUCAGAUUGUUGGGUAUUCAACAGCUAUGGAGAUUUGGAAUGCCCUUAAUCAGAUUUACUCUGCCUCUUCUAUGGCGCGGUUUACUGAGCUUCGCACCAAGCUUCAAACGCUCAAGAAAGAUGGACUCUCAGUUGGUGAAUAUAUUCAAAGGCUCAAAUCCAUUUGCAAUAGUCUUGCAGCAAUAGGAGAACCAGUUUCUGAGAAAGACCAUCUUAUCUAUUUGUUCAAUGGAUUAGAUUGUGAGUAUUAUUCUUUUGUUACCUCCAUUCAAAAUCGAUCUGACCAACCAACUAUUGACAAAAUCCAUAGCCUAUUGCUUAGCUAUGACUUCCGGCUUGAACAACAAAACUCUGUUUCUCUCCAUUCUGCCCAAGUCCAUAUGGCUCAUCUGAACAAGAAACCUUAUAAAUCAACUCCUCAACCUACAUUCAAUCAUAUUCACAUUCAACCUAGAUACUCUUCUCCACCUUUUAAGCCAACCACUAGUCAAUAUCAACCCAACAUUUUGGGCAAACCACAACCACAACCAUGACAGCCUCAACCUCAAUGGAAACCACAUUUUUCAAUCUAAAAUCAAAAGCCUCAGCGCCAAAUUUGUGGUAAAUUUGGACACACUGCUCUUAUUUGCUUCCAUCACACAAAUUUGAACUAUUCACCCCAACCUUCUCCUAAAUCUUUCAAUACUGUUCUCACCACAAAUUCCCAGCUCCCUAAUCCUCCAAAAUUUUCUUACCCUACAAUGGCUCAUCCUGCUGCUACGCAUAACACGGUUCCCGAUACAAAUUGGUACAUGGACUCAGGUGCUACACAUCACUUUACUCUGGACAUCAACGUGCUUGACACUGUGACACCAUUUAGUGGUUCAGAACAGGUGACAGUUGGGAAUGGUAAGCAACUCUGUAUCUCACAUCUUGGUACUGCAAAACUACCAUCUUCGUAUUCUCCUCCUGUUCUACAUCAGGUAUAUCACACUCCAAAAAUUUCAAAUAAUCUUAUUAGUGUUAAAAAAUUGUGUUCUGAUAAUAAAGUUUUUGUUGAAUUUUAUGCCACUCAUUUUCUUGUCAAGGAUCAGGUUUCGAAGAGAGUUCUCCUUUAGGGUCAACUUGAUAAUGGCUUAUACAAAGUUCAGUCGUCAUGCUCUCCUUCUGCUGUUUCCUUUCCUCCUCAAGUUUUCAUAGCCAACAUCAAGUAUCCAAAUCUGUGGCACAAGAGACUAGGCCACCCAGCUUUAUCUGUUGUUAAUCAAAUCUUGGAUUCUUGUAACAUUGCUCGAACACAGAAAAUUUGUUUUAAUUUUUUAAAUUCUUGUCAAUUAGCAAAGAGCCACAGGCUUCCUUUUUCUCUGUCUCCAUCCAUUGCAGAAAAACCUUUUGAGUUAAUUCAUACAGACCUAUGGGGUCUUUCGCUCGUUCGCUCUAUUUCUGGUGCUCUUUAUUUUUUACUUUUCAUUGAUGAUCAUACUCGUUUUACUUGGUUUUAUUUGCUCAAAACAAAAGAUGAAGCAUAUCCUACUUUUCUCAAGUUUCAAGCUCUCAUUGAAAAUCAAUUUAAUACCAAGAUUAAGGCUGUCCAAUCUGAUUGGGGAGGUGAGUUUCGAUCUCUCUCCAUACCGUUUUCAAAUAUGGGCAUUGUCUAUUGUUUAUCGUGUCCAUACACCUCACAACAGAAUGGGCGAGUUGAGCGAAAAAAUCGCCAUGCGAUUGUCCUUUCUUGCUUGCUCUAUGCCCUUAUCUUAUUGGCCUUAUGCCUUUCAAACUGCCACUUACCUUAUUAAUCGUCUCUCUACCCCUGUGCUGCAUCAUCAAUCCUCUUACUUCGCACUCUAUCACAAACUCCCAACUUAUACUCAUCUUAAGGUCUUUGGUUCCUCUUGUUUUCCGUAUUUGCACCCUUAUAAUACCCAUAAACUCCAAUACAGGUCACUAGAGUGUGCUUUUCUUGGUUACAGUUCACACCACAAAGGUUAUCUAUGUCUUGACAUUCAUUCUAGCAGGGUGUAUAUUUCUCGCCAUGUGAUUUUUAAUGAAGAUUCUUUUCCAUUCAAGAAUUUGAAAUCUUCUCUCUCUCAGUCUAUUUCUUCUUCCUCUUCUUUAUAAGUUCCUCUGUUCAUUCUCUUGCCUCCCCUUUCCCCAUCUCCUCUUAUUUCUUCAUCUAUACCUCAUUCUUUUCCCUCUUCUUCUUCUACCUCUAGUACUUGUUCCCCUCUCGUUGCUCCUACCUCUCUUCCUUCCUCUUCACACUCUGUGUCUCCAUCUAUUCCACCUCCUUCUCCACCUUCUCCGAGUGUGGACCUGCUUGCACCUUGUGUGAAUACAAAUUUACAUACUUCUUCUCGCACUCACAAUAUUCAUCCUAUGGUGACUAGAUCUAAGGUUUGUAUCUAUAAACCUAAGUUGUUGUUGAGUGUCUCCAUAGGUUCUCUCACUAAGCCUACUUCCUUUCUUCAAGCUAUUAAAGAUCCUUCAUGGAAGCAAUCCAUGGAAUUCGAGUUUGCUACCCUUCAACACAACAAGACCUGGCAUUUGGUUCCUUCACCUUCCUCAGGCGAAGUAAUCGGUUGUAAAUGGGUCUAUAAGCUAAAGCUUCAGCCUGAUGGCUAAAUUGAGAGAUACAGCCUGCUUAGUAGCUAAGGGUAUCAUCAAAUUGAAGUAUGGACUACUUCGAAACAUUCAGCCUGAUNNNNNNNNNNNNNNNNNNNNNNNNNNNNNNNNNNNNNNNNNNNNNNNNNNNNNNNNNNNNNNNNNNNNNNNNNNNNNNNNNNNNNNNNNNNNNNNNNNNNAGCUUCAGCCUGAUGGCUAAAUUGAGAGAUACAAGGCCUGCUUAGUAGCUAAGGGUUAUCAUCAAAUUGAAGGUAUUGACUACUUCGAAACAUUCAGCCUGAUUGUCAAGCUUUCUACUAUCUGUAUUGUGCUCAGUCUUACUUUUUCCCAGAAUUGGUGUAUUAGACAGCUGGAUGUUCAUAAUGCCUUCUUACAUGGUGACUUAGCUAAAGACGUUUUCAUGGAACAACUGCCUGGAUUUGUUGAUCCUCUCUAUCCUACUCAUGUCUGCAAGUUGGAUAAGUCUCUCUACUGUCUUAAAUAGUCACCUCGGGCUUGGUAUACUAAGCUGAGUACUUCUCGCUACACUUGGGAUUUGUUACUUCUAAGAAUGACUCUUCCUUAUUUAUUUGUCAUUCGUCUCAUGGGUUACUUCUUGUUCUUGUCUAUGUGGAUGAUAUAAUCGUCAUUGGGAGCCACUCUCCUCAGGUUACUCACCUUAUCCAACAGUUGCAUCAUUAGCUUUCUUUAAAGGAUCUUGGUCCUUUACAUUAUUUUCUGGGCUUGGAGGUUCAUCACACCCCUACUGGUAUUCACCUCAGCCAAGCAAAGUAUAUCACUGAUCUCCUUACCCGGGCGGCUAUGUUGGAUGCCAAGCCAUGUCCCACUCCUAUGUCCUCCAACACAUAUCUCUCUUUUCAUGAUGGAGUGGCUCUUGAAAAUGGUUCAGAUUAUCGAAGUUUUGUUGGUGCCCUUUAGUAUUGUACCAUGACACGCCCAGAUAUAGCUUUUGCAAUAAAUAAAGUGUGUCAAUUCAUGCACCAUCCCUCUAAUGUUCACUGGCAGGCUAUAAAACGUAUUCUCCGGUACUUAAAGGGCACAUCUCAUUUUGGUCUCUUCCUACAGCCUUCCUAUGACUUCAACAUCACUUGCUAUACAAAUGCCGACUGGGCUUCCUGUCCUGAUGACAAGUGUAGCACCAGUGGCUACUGCCUCUUUCUUGCCUCUAAUCUGGUUUCUUGGUCAUCUUCCAAACAAAAAGUGGUCUCCCGCUCCAGCGCCGAAUCAGAGUACCGAGGGGUAGCAAAUGGGGCUGCUGAAAUUGCUUGGACUGAAUCUCUUCUUUGUGAACUUUCCAUUACUCCCCCUCCCCUCAUUCUCUGUGACAAUAUCAGUGCCACGUACUUAGCUGCCAAUCCUAUUUUGCAUGCCCGCACCAAACAUGUGGAAAUCGACUAUCACUUUGUCACGGAACGUGUUCUUCAAUGCUCUCUUUUUGUCCAGUUUACACCUUCUGAUGAUCAACUUGCUGAUUGCAUGACCAAGCCUCUCUCCACCCAACGUUUCAUCACUCUACGCUCCAAGCUCACUGUUCUCACUAGACCAAUGAGCUUGAGGGGGGAUGUUAAGCCUAAAGAUGUAAUUAGUUAGGAUAUUCUUUUCCCUCUAGUCUUGUAGCUCCACGUGUACAGUUGGUUAGGACCUCAUUGUAUAUAAUGCCUGCCCUGUUAUUGUAGAAGACAACAGAGAUAAAUAAUAUUAACAUUUUUCCUCUCAUCUCUCUCUCUGUUUCCCUCUGUUUUCAUCUCCUCUCUCAUCUGAACCAAAUGAUCCAUGUUAACCUUGGCUUGGUUUGAUUUGGCUCUAUCUUAGAGAGCUCAAGGAUCACGUCAACUCUGGUUUCUACUAUUCAGGUCCAUUCCCAUAUGAACUGGUUCAAAUUUGAGAAAAUGGUAACAGACCUUUAGUGAUGUUGGUUUGGAGCCAGUUGCCAAACCCGCCCUGAGCUUUACCACUAAUGUCAAGGGAGAAAGCCAUUUGAACAAAAACAAUAGCUUCAAGGGACUGAAUCGUGGAUGAAAUCUGAUCCACAUUUCUUCUCAUUUUGGAAACAAAUGAGAACUUAACUAAGAAGAUUCUACGGCCUCAUAGUGCUUUUCCUGAUCUAAGGUUGGUUCGUUUCCCAAACUGUGAGAUGCACGUGCCAGACUUCAGAACUCUCACGCUCAGGAGUGUAUCCACGUGGUGGACAUAAGAUGGUGGCUUAAGAUCUGGUGUCGGUGGCUUUACUUUACUAGGAGAGUAGUGUGUCUUCAUCUCAUUCACUGCCGGAGGGUGGCGUAAGCAGUGACGCUAAGGUGGGGCACAGUCAAUAUCAUUUGCAUUUGACCAUUAUAGUUUUCUCCCGGCUUUAAAGUAACCUUAUCGUGAUAAAGGAUUACUAGCACUAGUUCAGAUGAUAGUCAUGUUAAAUUCGGACCAUGUUUGUGUCACAUUAUCAGCAACCAUGUGUUUAUGGUUCAUGCUUUCUGCAACUAAAAUUGAUAUAUAACCAGGUGAACUUCAAUCUAAAUUCUGAAAGUACUCAUGUGAUAGAUGGUGCCCGUCUGCAGAGUCCAUCAAUUGAAAAAUGGAGUGAGUGUAUCUAUAAGAGGGAAGGCUUGGAAAAUGUUCAGUUUUCUGGGAAUUCAACAAGGAUCUAAAAUAGAUUGUUUUCUUUGCUGAUUUCAAUGGUUGAAAUUUGAGAAGAUUGUGUCCACAUAACACAACUAUUACUGGUCCUUCUGUUGCAAUUUAUCCUCUAAAGCUCUAGCAUGUCUUCCAAUUCCCACUUCCCUGUUACUCCAGGAAAGCUAUUUCUGUCAUUGUGAAGAAGAAAAGAGAAUGUACAUAUCGAUGCUUUUAAGUGACUGGAGCAUUUAUAUCAGGUGGUCUGCAGCCAUAUAUGCCACUUUGUGAAGAUUGGAACAGUCAAUCACUAGGCUAUAUAUUAGUGUGGCCCAGCCACUUUAAUCAAGGACAAGUCUUCAUACUUAAAGUCAAAUUCUGCCUUUAGUCUCAUUAUAAAUUUCUGUUUAAAUAUUAAGCAAACAUUUGUUUAAUGCGAUUAAGACAGUACUAACUCAAUACCUGUUCUAUUUUUGGAUGCAAAUGCUUGAUGGUUUCAUCAUUGGAUGGGAUAAAGGUGCAUUCAUGAUUAGGAAUACUAGUAGUUAUAUUUUAAUUCUCUUUUUUCUCAAUGAGACUUGUUGGCACAAUUUUGCUGUUGAGAAACCUACCUCUCCAUGGAAAAUAAGUUGUGAUUGAUAGUACUGGAUAUAUUCAAGAAAUCUAAAUAUAGAUAGCACAAAAUAUUAUCGACAUAAAUAGCAUUAACAGCGUACGUAUGUCUCAGUGCUCAUCAGCUAUAAGCAUGGGGCAAACACUUACUAUGAGCAACUUACGUCAAAAUUCCAGAAUAGGACAUAGAAGUGACAGAUAUAGAACAUUGCAUAUGAGUCACAAGAAAGGAAAUUACGGGUGCAUAGCAGCUCUUAUUUUACAUACUACUACUCAUACUGAUCAAAGUCACUCAGUUGGGAUGGGUGGGAGUAGGAGGUUUGUGGGGUGGCUUGUGCGGAGGAGUUGGCAGCUUCUUUCCAGGACCUGGUUGCUUCUCUGCUGGAGUUGAAGGAGGCUUAAUCUUCCGAGGUGGCUUGUAUGAGUCUUCAGCAUUCUCAGCUGGAGGGUGACCAGGGUUGUGACCAUAAUGUGGUGGCUUCUCUCCCUUAGGUGGUUUGCCAACUGGGGUUGGUGGCUUGUAUGAGUCUUCAGCAUUCUCAGCAGGAGGGUGACCAGGGUUGUGACCAUAAUGUGGUGGCUUCUCUCCCUUAGGUGGUUUGCCAACUGGGGUUGGUGGCUUGUGUUCUGGGAGUGGCUUCUCCCCCUUGGGAGGUUUUUCCAAUGGGGUUGGUUUGUGUUCAGGAGGUGGCUUCUCCACUGGAGGCUUGUGUUCAGGAGGUGGCUUCUCCACCGGAGGCUUGUGUUCAGGUGGUGGCUUCUCCACCGGAGGCUUAUGCUCUGGUGGUGGCUUCUCGAAUGGGGGAUGCUUAGGAUAAUCAGCAAGUGAGGGGGCGGUGAGAACCACCAGGCCAAGCAACACCACUAGCAAAUAUGUAGGAGACAUCUUUGGGUUUGGGCUCAGAUGGUGCAAAACUAGGAGAAUUGGCUAGCCUUUUAUAGCGGAUCGUACCCAAUAAUGAAAUGACACGUGUCAUUAUGACCCAUGUGUAAUGGGGUCGAUUUGGGUCCUACAGUGUUGAAAACUUCGACAUCCACUUUUGGCCUUUUGCUUUCUCUACAGCCGCCUUGCUUUUUCCCUCUUUCCUUUUGUUUUCCUCCUGCCCCAUUCUAUCAACUAAACACAAUUAUGUAGUUGUUUAAUUCUUAAAUGAGAUAUUAUCCGUCAAUCGUAUUAUAUUUUAUCAAGAGAGAACGGAGUGCAAUGUGGCUGUAAUUUUAUCGUUUAGUUUUAUCUCUUGGACCACUGCAUUUUUGUUAAGAGGUGCAAUAAUACACGUCUUUAUCUGCCAUUCAAUAUUUACAGUAAAGAGAGGGCACAAAACUCUUCACUUCGCACCAUAAUUAUUUUGUUUUCUGGACACCCCGGGGCCCUUUGGUUGGUUUGGGGGUCAGAAAGUGAACAUCAUAGGGGGUUUUUCCCUUAUGUGCAUUUGUAUCUGAUGGCUUUAACUCGCCUUGUUACUACAAAGAAACUGUCACAGAUAGGAACUUAUUCCAGGCUGAGUAUCUCCUCAUAGACCCUAUAAAAGAAGACAAGUCAUAAUGAACAUCUAACCUUUGUUCAAUUUGAUUCAAUGCCCCCAUUGUGUCCAUCUCACAAAUCUGAAUUAUUAUAUCCAUUGAAUACAUAAAUUAAUGAAGAAAAUAUGAAACCCAAGAUACAUCUCUGCACAACCUCAACCCUGGUUGCUAUGUUUCCCUUCUAUUCACAUGAUUUGAUGCUAAUUGCCAAACUUGCAACAAGCCCUGAGUUUGACACCUAGUAUCGAUGGGCGAAUUUAAAGUCUCCUCCAAACAUAUAUUCCACAGCUUGAAGCUCACAGAAGAUGUUACAGGCAGGGAAAAACCUUCAGAGUUCGCUACCAAAGAUAAUUAUUAAGGAGAUAUCACAAAGAGAAUUCCAAGGGGUCUGAAUCAAAGACAAAUUGGUCGUUCGUGGGGGUUCUUACUUUCUUUUGGGUAUAACUCACUGAGGGCACUGUCUUUGUUAUUUGCAUUUCACAUUUAGAGUUCUGUUCUGGAAACAUAUAAAAGGAGCAUCAUUUUGUUCUUGGGUAACCCAUAGUCGUGAGUGGGUCCAUUUGCAUGCUACUUAGUUGAAAAGUUGGACCAUUUGCUCCGACGCCUACCUCCCGGAUUCCAUGCUCGGAUAAAACAAGAAUAAAAAAAAUAUUUAUAAUUUACAAAUGGGGGAAAGAAAAAAAUGUCAACAACAAACCAGGAAAAAAGAGUAGUAAAAUUCAUGUCACAUGCUAGUGAGAGAAGGGGUUGUUACACUCACUCGAAGUUCUUUCCAAAAUAUCGCAUGGUAUUUUAUUUUAUGUGUCAGCGCAGUUGUGAAUGGAACGUGCAAAAGUCCAAAUUGGCGUUUUUCCUUUUCCCGUGUAGGAUGGCGACCUUUAAUAAAUAUUUAAAACAAAAAACGAAAAAAAGGAGGGAAAAGGGAUCAGAAAAGAUAAAACAAUGUGUACAAGAGCUCAAUUAGUUUGCAAAUUACUGUUUGGAUUUUGAUAGUAUUUUAUUUGUCCAUCUAUAUUUGAUGGAAAAGAGAAUUUAAGAUAUUUCUGAAACAAAAGCAUUAGUGUAAAACUAAAUUAAGGUAUAAUUAAGUUAGUUCAAUGCAUUAAUUUAAGAAACUUGAUCUAUCCAAAGUACAAAAUUAGAUGAAAUCCAUUUCAAUGGUUAAAAUGAUCAAAAUCAAACUUUUUCUAAGUAUUUUUUAAAAGCAUCAAUAUUAAAAGACAAUUUUAUAUUUAGUCGGAGUUUGGACAAAACCAAAAAGCACACAAAAUCCAAGCGACCAUCUCUAGCUUGGAUAGUCACUUGAUCCCACCUAGAGAUGUGCAUGAGUAAAAGGAUUUGAAAAUGGAAAUUGACUAAAUAUUUAGUUGAUCAAUUAAAUUUGCAAUGUCAUAUGCAAUCCUAAUAGCUAGUCAUCUAAUCAAUUAGGUAGUCAAUCAAGUGUUUGUAAUGACUAUUUUGUACAAAAAACCACAUGUAUAGUUAAAUAUAAUGCAUUUCAUUUAUAAAUCUUCUAAUUCUUGAAUAACGAUCCUAUCAUCCUUUGAAAAUUUUUAUUACACCUUUUUUACUUUUGUUCUAAAACUUACAUAUCACCCUUAAUUGUACCAUGAGAACCUAGCUAUUUUUUUUUUUUUUGUAAUUCAUCAAAGUUAGCUUUUGUAUUCAUUGUUGUAUUAUUUUUAGUAUAACUUAGAAAGCUAGUGUUUUCAAGUGAGUAAAAUUAACUUGUAAAUAUUGUAAAGAUUCAUUGAUAUGUAUCUUAAACUAAGUGUACAAAUUAAAACAUUUGCUAGUAGAUUUUCUCAAAAUUUAGAAUAGAGCUUGAGGCUAUUGAAAUAGGUGGGGUUACACCAAACCACAUCACAUCGUUGUUUGCACCUUUUUUCACUCUCUUUUACUUAGUUUCUCUAUAUUUGUUGUCUAGUAAUAUCCUAUAGGCUUGAUGGGUUAGGGAGCAUCCCUUUGUGAAAAAAUUUCAUUCAAUUCUUAGUUGUAUUACGCAUAUAUAAAAUGCCUCAUUGUUUUAAUGGUAUUCAGUCGUGGCAUCACAGAUAUGGGCAUCUAAAUUUUAAAAGUUUGAAACUUUUGUAAAGCAUGUUGAUAAAAUCCAUGAGAGUUGUGUACUUGGGAAGCAACAUCGAGGUGACUUUAUUUUUUUUUCCUUUUAUAAUGCCACACCUAAGUCCGGUUUCUAAAUGCUAAAGUGAAAGGGUAGGUAUGGACCAUUGAAAUGUGAUCACAACUUUUGGCCUUUUCCUUUCUCUGCAGCCAUGUUGUCUCUUUUUUCUUUUGCAUGAUUUUCUUACCAAAACAGAAUCAUAGACUUGUUUAGUCUCUAAGCUACUAUAUUAUAUCUCGGUGGACUUUUAAGAGUGCAACCGACAUAGAGCACAUGCAAGUGGGCAUAUGGGACAUGAAAUUUCUUCUUACAAAGAUUGCAUGAUUUUUAUAUUAGAGUUGUUCACGUGCAAUGUAUUUAGCUUGUUUUGCAGUUAAAUUAAUUGGAUAAGUAAACAUUGGCAUUUCUAAAUCGACUGUGAAGUGCUUCAUGUACGUGUAAAGUAUUAGAAAUUUCUUUCUUGGCAACUUGUUUUUUCCUUGCCAUCUACUGGUAGGUUUGACUAAAAUUAUAUUCCCUGUCAUGCUAAUUAAUUUUCAUGUGCAUGCUCAAAAGAAGAGUAUGACCUUAGUGCACCAAAAUCACUUUGAUUAAUUUGUGAUAGGUUUUUUUGCAUCAUUUAGAUAAUGUUUAGUUCUAAGAAAAAUUUAUAUAAAAAUGGUUUAUUUAUCUUACAUAUAUAUAUAUAUAUAUAUAUUUUUUUUUUUUUCAUUUUUUUUUCUUCUAUUUUAUUUAUUUAUUUUAUUUUCCUUAUGUUUUCCUCACAUUUUCCGGAACUAAACAUAGUCUUACGAAAUCAACAAUUGCCUUCAACUGAGUAGAUUCUGUUGUUUUAGCAAUGUUAGGCUGCUAACUUGUGGUGGUACGAACCAAAUGACCCAUGUUAAUCUUGGCUUGGUUUGAUUUGGCUCUAUCUCAGAGAGCUAAAGGAUCACGUCAACUCUGGUUUCUACUAUUCAGGUCCAUUCCCAGAUGAACUGGUUCAAAUUUGAGAAAAUGGUAACAGACCUUUAGUGAUGUUGGUUUGGAGCCAGUUGCCAAACCCGCCCUGAGCUUUACCACUAAUGUCAAGGGAGAAAGCCAUUUGAACAAAAACAAUAGCUUCAAGAGACUGAAUCGUGGAUGAAAUCUGAUCCACAUUUCUUCUCAUUUUGGGAAAAAAUGAGAACUUAACUACAAAGAUUCUACUGCCUCAUUCAUAGUGCUUUUCCUGAUCCAAGGUUGGUUCGUUUCCCAAAUUGUGAGGUGCACGUGCCACUCUCACGCUCAGGAGUGUAUCCACGUGGUGGACAUCAGAUGGUGGCUUAAUAUCUGGUGUCGGUGGCUUUACUUUACUAGGAGAGUAGUGUGUCUUCAUCUCAUUCACUGCCGGAGGGUGGCGUAAGCAGUGACGCUAAGGUGGGGCACAGUCAAUAUCAUUUGCAUUUGACCAUUAUAGUUUUCUCCCGGCUUGAAAGUAACCUUAUCGUGAUAAAGGAUUACUAGCACUAGUUCAGAUGACCGUCAUGUUAAUUCGGACCAUGUUUGUGUCACAUUAUCAGCAACCAUGUGUUUAUGGUUCAUGCUAUCUGCAACUAAACUUGAUAUAUAACCAGGUGAACUUCAAUCAAAAUUCUGGAAGUACUCUUGUGAUAGAUGGUGCCUGUCUGCAGAGUCCAUCAAUUGAAAAAUGGAGUGAGUGUAUCUAUAAGAGGGAAGGCUUGGCAAAUGUUCAGUUUUCUGGGAAUUCAACAAGGAUCUAAAAUAGAUUGUUUUCUUUGCCGACUUCAAUGGUUGAAAUUUGAGAAGAUUGUGUCCACAUAUCACAACUAUUACUGGUCCUUCUGUUGCAAUUUAUCCUGUAAGGCUCUAACAUGUCUUCCAAUUCCCACUUCCCUGUUACUCCAGGAAAGCUAUUUCUGUCAUUGUGAAGAAGAAAAGAGAAUGUACAUAUCGAUGCUUUUAAGUGACUGGAGCAUUCAUAUCAGGUGGUCUGCAGCCAUAUAUGCCACUUUGUGAAGGUUGGAACAGUCAAUCACUAGGCUAUAUAUUGGUGUGGCCCAGCCACUUCAAUCAAGGACAAGUCUUCAUACUUAAAGUCAAAUUCUGCCUUUAGUCUCAUUAUAAAUUGCUGUUUAAAUAUUAAGCAAACUUUUGUUUAAUGCGAUUAAGACAGUACUAACUCAAUACUUGUUCUAUUUUUGGAUGCAAAUGCUUGAUGGUUUCAUCAUUGGAUGGGAUAAAGGUGCAUUCAUGAUUAUGAAUACUUGUAGUUAUAUUUUCAUUCUCUUUUUUCUCAAUGAGACUUGUUGGCACAAUGUUGCUGUUCAGAAACCUACCUCUCCAUGGAAAAUAAGUUGCGAUUGAUAGUACUGGAUAUGUUCAAGAAAGCUAAAUAUAGAUAGCACAAAAUAUUAUCGAUAUAAAUAGCAUUAACAGCGUACGUAUGUCUCAAUGCUCAUCAGCUAUAAGCAUGGGACAAACACUUACUAUGAGCAACUUACGUCAAAAUUCCAGAAUAGGACAUAGAAGUGACAGAUCUAUAUAUAUAGAACACUGCAUAUGAGUCACAAGAAAGGAAAUUACGGGUGCAUAGCAGCUCUUAUUUUACAUACUACUACUCAUACUGAUCAAAGUCACUCAGUUGGGAUGGGUGGGAGUAGGAGGUUUGUGGGGUGGCUUGUGCGGAGGAGUUGGCAGCUUCUUUCCAGGACCUGGUUGCUUCUCUGCUGGAGUUGAAGGAGGCUUAAUCUUCCGAGGUGGCUUGUAUGAGUCUUCAGCAUUCUCAGCUGGAGGGUGACCAGGGUUGUGACCAUAAUGUGGUGGCUUCUCUCCCUUAGGUGGUUUGCCAACUGGGGUUGGUGGCUUGUAUGAGUCUUCAGCAUUCUCAGCAGGAGGGUGACCAGGGUUGUGACCAUAAUGUGGUGGCUUCUCUCCCUUAGGUGGUUUGCCAACUGGGGUUGGUGGCUUGUGUUCUGGGAGUGGCUUCUCCCCCUUGGGAGGUUUUUCCAAUGGGGUUGGUUUGUGUUCAGGAGGUGGCUUCUCCACUGGAGGCUUGUGUUCAGGAGGUGGCUUCUCCACCGGUGGCUUGUGUUCAGGAGGUGGCUUCUCCACCGGAGGCUUAUGCUCUGGUGGUGGCUUCUCCACCGGAGGCUUAUGCUCUGGUGGUGGCUUCUUGAAUGGGGGAUGCUGAGGGUAAUCAGCAAGUGAGGGGGCGGUGAGAACCACCAGGCCAAGCAACACCACUAGCAAAUAUGUAGGAGACAUCUUUGGGUUUGGGCUCAGAUGGUGCAAAACUAGGAGAAUUGGCUAGCCUUUUAUAGCGGAUCGUACUCAAUAAUGAAAUGACACGUGUCAUUAUGACCCAUGUGUAAUGGGGUCGAUUUGGGUCCUACAGUGUUGAAAACUUCGACAUCCAGUUUUGGCCUUUUGCUUUCUCUACAGCCGCCUUGCUUUUUCCCUCUUUCCUUUUGUUUUCCUCCUGCCCCAUUCUAUCAACUAAACACAAUUAUGUAGUUGUUUAAUUCUUAAAUGAGAUAUUAUCGGUCAAUCGUAUUAUAUUUUAUCAAGAGAGAACGGAGUGCAAUGCAGCUGUAAUUUUAUCGUUUACUUUUAUCUCUUGGACCACUGCAUUUUUGUUAAGAGGUGCAAUAAUACACGUCUUUAUCUGCCAUUCAAUGUUUACAGUAAAGAGAGGGCACAAAACUCUUCACUGCUCUGCAUGUGUCCCAAAAAUGCGAUUGGACAAAUUAUGAUUUGCAUGCUAAAAAGAGGCAAAUGAGGUUAAUUCGCACCAUAAUUAUUUGGUUUUCUGGACACCAUAAAAAGAUGUUAUACAGGCAGGGAAAAACCUUCAGAGUUAGCUACCAAAGAUAAUUAUCAAGCAGAUAUCACCAAGAGAAUUCCAUAGAGUCUGAAUCAAAGACAGAUUGCUCGCUCGUGGGGGUUCUUACUUUCUUUUGGGUAUAACUCACUGAGGUCACUGUCUUUUUUAUUUGCAUUUCACAGUUAGAGUUCUGCUCUGGAAGGUUUGUUCUGGAAACAUAUAAAAGGAGCAUCAUUUUGUUCUUGGGUAACCCAUAGUCGUGAGUGGGUCCAUUUGCAUGCUACUUAGUUGAAAAGUUGGACAAUUUGCUCCGACGCCUACCUCCUGGAUUCCAUGCUCGGUAAAACAAGAAUAAAAAAAAAUAUAUAAUUUACAAAUGGGGGAAAGAAAAAAUGUCGGAAAAAAUAGUAAAAUUCAUGUCACAUGCUAGUGAGAGAAGGGGUUGUUACACUCACUCGAAGUUCUUUUCAAAAUAUCGAAUGGUAUUUUACUUUAUGUGUCAGCGCAGUUGUGAAUGGAACGUGCAAAAGUCCAAAUUGGCGUUUUUAUUUUUCCCAUGUAGGAUGGUGACCUUUAAUAAAUAUUUAAAACAAAAGACGAAAAAAAAAAGGAGGGAAAAGGGAUCACAAAAGAUAAAAUAAUGUUUACAAAAGCUCAAUUAGUUUGCAAAUUACUGUUUGGAUUUUGAUAGUAUUUUAUUUGUCGUUCUAUAUUUGAUGUAAAAGAGAAUUUAAGAUAUUUCCGAAGCAAAAGCAUUAGUUUGCUCUGUGAUGUCCCACAUCGAAUAGGGGAGAAAGUUUCUGGCGCUAUAUAUGUAGAGGCUCCUCUUAACCAAGUAGAUGCGUUUUAAAACCAUGAGGGCCCCCUUAGGUCCAAAGCGGACAAUAUCUACAUGAUUGGGUGUAAGUCAUUACAAAUGGUAUCAGAGCCGAUCCCCGACCCCGGUGUGGGGGUUUGUUUGGCCCUGUAAGGGGUGUUUGUCUGUUUGACCCCACAAUCCCAUGGGACACAACGAGGACGUUGUGUCUGCAUGGGGGGGCGUUUGUGAUGUCCCACAUCGGAUAGGGGAGAAAGUUCCUAGUGCUAUAUAUGUAGAUGUUUCUCUUAACCAAGUAGAUGCAUUUUAAAAUUGUGAGGGCCUCUUUGGGCCCAAAGCGGACAAUAUCUACAUGGUUGAGUGUAAGUCAUUACAUGCUCCAUGUCAAUUUCAGCAUUUCUCAUAUGUUUCACACAUACACAGAAGAGCAUCGUUUUUUAAAGCAUGCAUUUAUGUUGGAUUAAUUUGGAUUUUGUGGGAACUGGGGCAAGGAUCACAUGGAAGAGAGGUUGACUUUUUUCAGUACUUCAAUGGUUGAAAUAUGUGAAGGCUUGAUUGAUACUAAAGCUUGAAAUUGCGACUCUGUCAUUUGUAAAAAAAUAUGACAGCUUCCAUGCUCUCGUUUGGUUGCAUUGUCCGGUCGAGAGGUGCAAAAAGCAUUCUCUCUCUUCUAAUAGUCUUUUCGUUUAAAUCAAGGGAUUUGCCUUCCCGGUCGAGGUCCAAUAGAGGGUAACGGUCACCUACUAAACAUUAAAUGCUCCAACAACUAGUGAACUGAUCGACCCCAGCUCGACUAGUUGAGGUUACUUUUUGGUUUUCUUGUCUCCCGAGGUUAGAAACCUAUAAAUAGAGAGCUUCACUUCAUUUAUGAGUAAGAGAACACCUAAAUUUAUUUGUUUACCUACUUGUUUUUGCCAUAAAAGCUCUCAUUUCUUUUCUUGGUGUAUUAAAUCUCCAUUUGCAUAUCCUUUAGUGCACCUUUGUGAUUCAUUCUAGCCUUGAGUUGUAUUUAAGCCUUUGUUGAGCUAGGUUGAGAGUUUCAUACUUGUUUAUUGAGUGUUAAAGCCUUCAAGUGAGUUAAAACUUGAAGAGAUUGUGUAAGAGCCCAUUGGAGUCGGAAUCCAAGUGUAAAGGUGAUUAAAAGCUUGGUUGAAGCUUCAAGUUAGUGGAACUCUCACUCGGUUAUGAGCUUGAGAAGAGUGGACAUAGACAAGGCAGUGUCGAACCACUAUAAAAUCUGAGUUUGAUUUCUCUAACCUUAUCUCUUUAUAUUUGCUUCUCUUGUGCUUAAAUUUUUUGUGUUUAAAAAGAAUUUUUAAAAACUCAAUUCACCCCCUUCUUGGGAGUUUUUCUCUUUUAAGAUCAGCUUUUAUUUUCUCAAUUGGUAUCAGAACUAUGCCUCUUGUUUAAGACUUAAUCGUCUAAGAGGAAAUGGCUAAUCCAUCAAGUUCAUCUCACAUUGAAAGUUUUGCAACCAAUAGACUUCUUUUUUUUUUUUUGCGGGAACUGAUUAUCCCUAUUGGAAAACUAAAAUGACUUGGUUUUUACAAUCAAUUGAUUUAGAUGUAUGAGAUGCCAUUGAAGAUGACCUAACUUUUCCUUCAAAACUAGUUGAUGGAGUCAUGGUUCCAAAACCUAAGCAAGAAUGGGAUGAGCGUGAUUGAAGAAAUUUUCAAUUAAAUGCUAAAGUCGUUUAUACUUUGCAAUGCUCUAUGGACAGAAAUGAAUAUAAUAGAAUAUGUCAAUGCAAAUCGGUUAAAGAAAUUUGGAGAUUGCUUGAAAUAACUCAUAAAGGAACAAAUCAAGUUAAAGAGUCAAAAAUCAAUUUACUUGUUCAUAGAUAUGAAUUGUUUUUUAUGAAAGAUAAUGAAACUAUUGUUAAGAUGAUCACUAGGUUCACCAACAUUGUUAAUGGUCUUAAAGCCUUGGGAAAGACCUACAAGGAAUCCGAAAACGUGAUGAAGAUCUUGAGGUCACUUCCAUCAAAGUGGCAUACCAAGGUCACCGCAAUUUAAGAAGCAAAAGACUUGAUCAAGCUACCUUUGGAGGAGUUCAUAGGGUCAUUGAUGACAUAUGAAAUCAAUUUGGCAAAGAAGUAACAAAAAGGUGAAGACAAAAAGAAGAAGAACAUAACUCUCAAAGCUACAACUAAGGAAGAAGAAGUUGAAGAAGAAAAACAAAUUGAAGAAGAUGAAGAUUUAGCCCUCAUCACAAGAAAGUUCAACAAAUUCAUGAGGGGUGAAAGGUUUAGAAGAAGAAGGUUCACUUCUAGAAGAGACUUUUCUAAAAAGGAAUCUUCAUCUAAUGGUGACAAAAAGAGAUGGGAAGAGAAAAGAGACUUGGUGUGUUUCAAGUGCAAGAAACCGGGACACAUUAAAUAUGAUUGUCCUCUCUACAAAAGUGAAGUCAAGAGGAAAAAGAAUAAGGCAAUGAUGGCCACUUAGAGUGAAAGUGAAGAUGAAUCAUCCGAAGAAGAAAAUGAGAAAGAAGUGGCAAACAUGUGUUUCAUGGCAAUAGAUGAACUUGAUGAGGUAAAAUCUAACCUUAGUGAUUAAGAUAUACAUGAUGCAUUUGAAGAAUUGUAUGAGGAUUUUUAAAAACUUAGUUUGAAAAAUAUUUCUCUUAAAAAGAAAGUUCAACAACUUGACAAAGAACUUAGAGAAGUAAAAGAAAAAUUUUCAAAUGUUAAAGUUUCUAAAACUCAUCUUGAAAAAGAAAAUGAGAUUCUAAGAAAGAAAAAUGAAUAGUUGAACUCCUCUCUUUCAAUCUUUUCUUCUAGACAAAAAUCUUUUGAAAUGAUUCUAACUAGCUAAAAAUGUGUUUUUGACAAACAAGGGUUAAGAUUUAAAUCUUCAAAAAAUCAAAAGUAUUUUAAAAACUAUUUUGUAAAGGAAUCCACAAGUGCAAGUCCUUCCACUACUUGCAACUUUUGUGGAAGAGAAUGGCACAUUAGUAGUACGCCCUUUAAGAAAUGGUUCUCAAAAGAAUUUAAAUGCAAAAACUAAAAAAGAUUUGGAUUGAGAAAUCCAAGGUCACUAACCCUCAAGGACCCAAAAAGAUAUAGGUACCUAAAUCAACUUGAGUUUUAUGUUGUAAGGUUCAAAGAAUGAUAAGUGGUUCUUAGAUAAUGGUUGCUCAAGACACAUGACCGGAGAUGAAUCCAAGUUUGCUUUUCUUAAAAAGAAAAAUGGAGGAUAUGUUACCUUUGGAGACAAUGCAAAAGAAAGGAUGAUUGGUCAAGGCAACAUUGGUAAUGGCACAUCCUCUCUCAUUGAAAGUGUUUUAUUAGUAGAUGGUUUCAAACAUAACCUUUUAAGCAUUAGUCAAUUUUGCGACAAAGGUUUUUAAGUGAUUUUUUAAGCAUCUCAUUGCAUCAUCAAGGAUAUUCAAAAUGAUAAAACCAUUUUCAUGGGCCAUAGAUGUGAUAAUGUUUAUGCUAUAAAUAUUUCAAAAUAUGAUGGCCAUGAUAGAUGUUUUUCAAGCAUGCAUGAUCAAAGUUGGUUGUGCCAUAGGAGAUUGAGACAUGCUAACAUAGACCUCAUUUCCCAACUCAACAAAGAUGAACUUGUUAGAGGCCUUCCCAAAAUAAUUUUUUAAAAAGAUAAAGUUUGUGAAGCUUGUCAAGUGGGAAAGUAAAUCAAAAACUCUUUUAAAAACAAAAACUUCAUUUCCACAUCUAGGCCACUUGAGUUGUUGCAUAUGGAUUUAUUUGGUCCCUCUAGGACACCAAGUCUUAGAGGAAAUUCUUAUGCAUAUGCUAUUGUGGACGACUUCUCUAGAUACACAUGAGUCUUGUUUUUUAGUCAAAAGAAUAAAGUUUUUUAUGAGUUUUCAAAGUUUUGCAAUAAGAUUCAAAAUGAAAAAGGUUUUUCAAUUACUUAUAUAAGAAGUGAUCAUGGGAGAGAAUUCGAAAAUAUUGAUUUUGAAGAGUAUUGCAAUGAGCAUGGAAUUGACCACAAUUUUUUGGCUCUUAGAACUCCUCAACAAAAUGGGGUAGUUGAAAGGAAAAAUAGAACUCUUCAAAAAAUGACAAGAACCAUACUAAAUGAAAACAACUUACCAAAAUAUUUUUAGGCCAAAACGGUUAACACUUCUUGUUAUGUUUUAAAUAGAGUAUUAUUGAGGCUCAUACUUAAGAAAACUCCCUAUGAGCUUUGGAAAAACAAAAAACCCAACAUUAGUUAUUCCAAAGUCUUUGGAUGCAAUAUUUUAUAAUAAACACCAAAGACAAUCUUGGAAAAUUUGAUGCAAAAUUGGAUGUUGGAAUUUUCCUUGGUUACUCAACUUCAAGUAAAGCUUUUCGAGUUUUAACAAAAGAACCAUGGUUGUAGAGGAGUCCAUCCAUGUUAUUUUUUAUGAAUCUCCAAGAAAGAGAGAGGAUUGAUGAUGAUUUAGGUUUGAAGACCUCUAUAGGAAGAUUGCAAAUCGAAGAUAGAAGACAACAAGAAGAAAAUGGAGAGAAUCCAAAGAAAGAAGGAUCACCAUUGGCACUACCCCCUCAUCAACAAGCGCAAGGUGAAUCAAGUCAAGAGCUUCCUAAAGAAUGGAAGUUUGUCAUCAAUCACCCACAAGAUCAAAUUAUAGGCAAUCCAUCUAGUGGGGUAAGAACUAGAUCCUCUCUUAGAAAUAUUUGCAAUAAUCUAGCUUUUAUCUCUCAAAUUGAGCCUAAAAAUAUAAAUGAUGUUUUAGAUGAUGAAAAUUGGAUAAUUGCAAUGCAAGAAGAGUUAAAUCCAUUUGAAAGAAGUGGAGUAUGGGAAUUAGUACCAAGACCUUCAAAUCAAAGUGUUAUUGGAACUAGAUGGAUCUUUAGAAAUAAAAUGGAUGAAAAUAGCAUAAUUGUUAGAAAUAAAGCAAGAUUGGUAGCCCAAGGUUUUAAUCAAGAAGAAAUGAUAGAUUAUGAAGAAACCUUUGCCCCCGUAGCUAGGUUGGAAGCCAUUAGGAUGCUACUUGCCUUUGCAUGUUUUAAAGACUUUGUUUUAUAUCAAAUGGAUGUGAAAAGUGCUUUUUUAAAUGGUUUUAUAAAUGAAGAAGUAUAUGUUGAACAACCACCCGGUUUUCAAAGUUUCAACUUUCCUAACCAUGUUUUUAAACUUAAAAAGACACUUUAUGGUUUGAAACAAGCACCUAGAUCAUGGUAUGAAAAAUUGAGUAAAUUUCUUUUGAAAAAAAUGUUUUAAAAUGGGAAAAAUUGACACAACUCUUUUUAUAAAAACCAAAGAAAAUGAUAUGCUCUUAGUUCAAAUAUAUAUUGAUGAUAUCAUUUUUGGUGCUACUAAUGUCUCUCUUUAUGAAGAAUUUUCUAAGUGCAUGCAUAGUGAGUUUGAAAUGAGCAUGAUAGGAGAACUCAACUUCUUCCUUGGACUUCAAAUCAAGCAACUAAAGGAAUGAACCUUCAUCAAUCAAGCAAAGUAUAUAAGAGAUCUUCUCAAAAGGUUCAACAUGGAAGAAGCCAAAACAAUGAAGACUCUAAUGAGCUCAUCCAUUAAGCUUGAUAAGGAUGAGAAAGGUAAAUCCAUUGACUCUAUUAUGUAUAGAGGCAUGAUAGGUUCUUUGCUCUAUUUGACCACUAGUAGACCUUACAUUAUGUAUAGUGUGUGUUUGUGUACUAGAUUUCAAUCUUGUCUUAAAAAAUCUCACUUAAGUGUCGUGAAAAGAAUCCUCAAAUAUUUGAAAGGGACAAUGGACAUAGGCUUAUGGUAUCCUAAGAGUGAUAACUUUGAAUUAAUUGGUUUUUUGGAUGCUGAUUUUGUCAGUUGUAGGGUUGAAAAAUAAAACACUAGUGGCACUUUUCAUUUCUUAAGACACUUACUUGUCUCAUGGCAUAAUAAGAAGCAAAAUUUGGUAGCUUUGUCAACAGCAGAAGCUAAAUACAUAGCAACUGGUUUAUGUUGUGCACAAAUCCUUUGGAUGAAAUAAACACUUAGUGAUUUUGAUUUAUCUUUUGAGCAUAUUCCUAUUAAAUGUGAUAAUAGUAGUGCCAUAAGUAUAUCAAAAAAUCUCGUGCAACACUCUAGGACUAAGCAUAUAGAGAUUAGACAUAAUUUUCUUAGAUAUCAUACACAAAAGGAUGAUAUAACACUUGAAUUUGUAAGCAUAAAAGACCAACUUGCCGAUAUCUUUACAAAACCUCUAAGAACAUUUUGUUGAUAUUAGAGGACAAUUAGGAGUGAUUUCUUUAUGAUCUAAUGUGAUGAAUUCUUGAUGAAUAUACUUUUUGAUUGCAUGAAUUUCAUGUCAUAUAUGCAUCAUAUAGAAAUAUACUUAGAUAAUGGUCAAAUUUCGACCAAAAAUCAAAAUUCCCAUGGCAUUAGGCAUAAAAAUUUUGGAAUUUCAACUGAAAAUGGUAGGAGGAGGAUCACAAAAUGAGAAAGUAUGCAAAAAUUGAAAAAUCAAAACGUUGACCAAGCGGUCAAUCGGACUAGACCGAUCGACUAGUUUGUCGAGAUUUAGGAUUUUUAAGAGACUCCAACGCUUCAAUUUUUGCACCGUUCUCCUCUAUUUCUUCACGGUUUCUCUGAUUUUGUCUUUUAGAGACUAAUUUGAGUGCGUUUUGGAUCAAUUGAAGCAUUUUGGAUUGGAUUUUAGGAAGAUUGAAAGUUAAGGUUUCGGAUUUGGGUCGCCUUCUCUUCCUCUCGCGUGUCACAAUCAGCUUUAGCAUUGUUCUCUUUCCAUUUUCACACACCUAGGGUUUCAGUUGUGAGCAUCUCUCUCUCUUUACCAACCACUACUCCCUUGCUUCUUCCAUAUGGCUCCUAGGCGAGAGUCCGCUACUUCUAGGGCACAAGGCAAGCACCCAACUGAGUCGUCUCAGUCAAAGGCACGUCGAAAAGUGAGAUUUGACAUUGCCUUGUUCAGUUCCAUGGAGGACUACCAACUAUACAAGCAACACUUUGCUUAGAGACGAGUAGUUCCCAAGAGAAAUAUUAAUUUUCCUCAACUUCAGCAUUUCGAAUUUAAGGGUCUAUUUACUAGGAUGGUUGGUUGUCUAUUGUCACAAUUUCGGAGCCGGUUUUCCUGACCUUAGUGCGAGUUUUUUACUCGAGGGCGACUUAUGGCAUGGGUGGCAUGAUCAUUUCUACUGUUGGAGGAGUUGAGAUCUGUCUGGACCCAGAGAGCAUCUGCCAUAUUUUCGAUAUUGCUCUGGUUGGACUCAAAGUAUACAAGUCCAAAAUGUGGCCCAUUGUGCCAGGAUUUGAGCUUAGAGAGGUCAUUCAGAGGAUUUGUGAACUUCCAGACGCCCAGGAGAUGGGCAAACCAUUGCCACACAGUUUGACGGUCAUCAACAGGGUGCUACACCAUAUAUUGUGCUCUAUCUUUCUACCACGAAGUGGACAUUGAGAUGAGGUCUCUUAUUAUGAGGCAUUCCUUAUUGACUCCAUUCUAACGGAGAGACGAAUUCAUCUACUAUGUCAUCAUUCACUAAGCCUCCUCACAGUGACAUACCACCUCAUCAGGCACCUCUUGCUCCUGACCAUGCUCCAUUGAUGGAUUUAUUUACUCAUAUUAGCUCUCUAGGCACUCGCAUGAAGGAGUUUGUUGUAGUUAGUGAUACAUGGUUCUACUCCAUAGAGGAUCGCAUGGAUCAGUAUCAGACUGGCUUCACGUCACAGUUUGAGUAUCUCCAAUAGAGGAUUGAGCAUAUUGAGGAUCACUUGAGCAUGAGAAGAUGAUGGCUUUUCUAUGCUCUGUGUUUCCACCUCCACCUCGUCAACCUUGAUUUCUUAGAGACCCAUUGUUUUCAUUUUGUAAUGUUGCCAAAAGGGGGAGAUAUUUAGGAUCUAGGACUCUAUAGGAGACUUACAUGCAUAUCAUUUUCAUAUCAUUGUUUGGAUCGUACAUAUUGGAUAGUGAUACUUUUUACUUAUAUAUGAUAUGCCUAUAUGUUUCAUGUCUUACAUUGUUUCUUAUUGCAAAUUAUCUCUAACAUGUCUUGAUUAUCUUUUUUUUAACUUCAUAAAUUUUGAUUGUUAACCCAUGAUUGGUUUGAGGGGAAGAUUCUUCUUCUCCUAGAUAACCAAGGUUUGUCAUCAUAAAAAAAUUGGAGAUUGUUAGCCCAAGGGUUCUCCUAAUCAUGUUUUGAUGAUAACAAACCAUGCUUAAGUUACUAAUUGGUUUGAAUUAUAAAGAAUUUCAAGUGUUAAUUUGAAAAUUCAUCAAAGAACCUAAUGGAUGCAAGAUCAAGAUUUUUGGAAGACCUUUAAUCAUAAGAAACAUAUGUAAGAUGAAUGCAUGGGUGCACUUAAGAUUUGCAUAUCAUUUCAUGCAUAUUUGGAAAACACGGUUUAUGCUUUAAAGUUACAUUUCCAUCAAAAUUUGAGAUCCAUCAAAUGAACCUUAGGAAAAAUGUUUUAAAAUUGGCAUAUAAUUUUACCUAAAGACCUUGCCUAAGUGUUAGAAGCAAAAGGACAAAAAAAAUAUAGGUUUUCUGGUCAAAAAUGGUGAACCAGUCAAGGCAUUGUCUAAAUCAGCUCAAUCGGCCAAGGUACCGGUCGAUCGGUUUCCCUUUCCCUGUCGAGAUCUAGUCAAGAGGUACAAAAAUCACAAUCUCUGUCUCUUUCUCUCUUUGUCUAUCUUCCAGUAGUCUUUCCUUCCCGGUCGAGGGAUUUGCCUUCCCGAUUGAGGUCCGAUUGAGAGUAAUAGUCACUUGCCAAAUAUUAAAUGCUCCAACAGUUAGUGAACUGGUCGACCCCCACCUUGCCCAGUUGAGGUUACUUUUUGGUUUUCUUGGCUCCCGAUGUUAGAAACCUAUAAAUAGAGAGUUCCACUUCAUUUAUGAGCAAGAGAACACUUGCAUUUAUUUGUUUACCUACUUGUUCUUGCCUUAAAAGCUCUCAUUUCUUUUCUUGGUGCAUUAAAUCUCCAUUUUGAUAUCCUUUAGUGCACCUUUGUGAUUCAUCUUAGCCUUGAGUUGUAUUUGAGCCCUUUUUUUAGCUAGGUUGAGAGUUUCAUACUUGUUAAUUGAGUGUUAAAGCCUUCAAGUGAGUUGAAACUUGUAGAGAUUAUGUGAGAGUCGAUUGGAGCCGAAAUCCAAGUGUAAAGGUGAUUAGAAGCUUGGUUGAAGCUUCAAGUUAGUGGAAUCCUCACUCAAUUAGGAGCUUGAGGAGAGUGGACGUAGCCAAGGAAGUGUCGAACCACUAUAAAAUUUGAGUUUGAUUUCUCUAACAUUGUCUCUUUAUAUUUGUUUAUCUUGUGCUUAAAUUUAUUGUGUUUAAAAAGAAUUUUUAAAUACCCAAUUCACCCCCCUCUUGGGUGUUUUUCUCUUUUAAAAUUAGCCUUUAUUUUCUCACAAACUAUUGUAGUAUAGUGGUUUUUAGGUGUCAUCCAUUAGGAUGAAUUGUUCUCGGUAAUUAAGGCGUGAAUGAGAGGAGAAUUAAUGAUUGUGAUUAAGUAAAAUUGAUUUGAAAAUUCAUGGUGAAAAAUCAAUUUAACAAUGGUUUCUAAUUGAGAAAAACAAUGAAAUGUGAAAUAAAAUAAAAUUAAUAGGAAAUGAAAUUCUCGAAGUUAGAAUUUUCUAAAAAACAAAUUCCAUGGUGAAUGGAUGUUGAGAUCUAAUUUUCAUCAAGUUAGAUUGAAAACCGAAAUUUUCAUAUAAACUGAUUUUUUAUUUAGUUUUAGGUCUAGAUUUAAUUUCCCUUAAAAUUAGGUUAUUUAAUCCAAGAAAUCAAUUCAAAUCAUAUAUUCAAUUCAUCUUAAAUUAUCUUCCAAUUAUUCACACAAUGCAACUAUUCAAUCUCAUCAAAUCUAGCUUUUAAGAAUUUAAUGAAUCUACCUAGUUUGCAUUGUAAUAGUCAUCCAUGACAAUUUGAAGAGAAAAAUAAUUCAAUUAAUCAAUCACUUGGAUCAAAUUACCUUUGCAAUUAAAGUUCAUUUCUCUAAUUCACCACAGAUUUUGUCUCUAGAUCCUCCUUUCUCAAAGAAAAAUGAGAUUUAGCCACACAUGAUUGGAGAUUUGGUCUCAUAAGGCAUGUUUAGCUAGUGAUAAAAUGAGAGAAAAUAAAGAAAAAUAGAGAAUUCGAUUAAGAAAGAAAAUCUAAAAAAUUCUACAAUUAGAAAUGUCCAAAAAGCUUUUUCAUGAGAAAAUCAAGUUUCUAUUUAUAGGCCAAGGUCAAGUGGACACUUGACAUCAUCUAAGAGGUCUUCCGGAAGCUUCUUCAUCAAGAAAUCUGGAGUUUAAUAAUAAAAUGGUCAUUUCACAAGAGCUCAAACAAUUUCGCAUGAUUAUGUGAAAUAAAAAAUGCAACAACAGCAAUUUACAUCUUCUUGGAGCAUUUCGCAUGACUGUGUGAAAUUUUCACAUGAUCAUGUGGAAUCGACUUGACAACUCUCAUUUAGCCUACAACAUAAUUCCACCUUUUGGUCCAUUUUUCAUAGUCAUGCGAAAUGGAAAUAUUUGAUUUUUAAGUUUUCUUUUGUCAUUUCUUUCAUUUCCUUCUCUUGAUUCCACUUCAACUACCUCCGAAUCCUGGUCCAAACCAAUUGCAUUACUUCUUUCAUUAUGCAUUUGGAUCAUCAUCAACAUUAUUUGUUCUCUUCAAUUUGAUUCAUCUCUUUUGUCACCAAUUUAUCAAAAUCAUACCUUGAAAUGACUCCAAAACUUCAUAAAACUUGUUAGUAACUCUUGCAAGGGCAACAACAUAUUAAUUAAGUGUUUUAGGCAUAGUUACUACUCAAAAGAUGCGAAACUCAUGAUAAUUAUUAUAUAAAAUAUGCUCUUUUUGAGUAGUAAUCAACUUUCUUGCAUAAGCAGACCUUUUAGGGUGGAGUACUAAAGACCAAUAUGCUUGUCCUUGUUGUAAUAAAGAAACUUGCUCUUAUUGAUUGCACCAUGGGAGAAAAUUUUGCUACAUGAGUUAUCAUCAAUUUCUUCCCACCAAUCAUAGAUUUAGACGUGACAAGAGGCCUCUUAAUGGCAAGGAGGAACUGACACUCACACUUAUACAAUUAUCGGGCAUUGAUGUGUUGCAACAAUUAGAAUAACUUACACCAAUUAUGUUGGGGAAGUCACAAAAGGCAAACAUGAAAACUAAAAGGAAAAAAGAAAAAUGUUACAUAUCACCACAACUGGAAAGAAAAAAGUAUUUACUUUCAUUUGCCAUAUUGGAAAGCACUUAUUUUACAUCAUAAUAAUUUAGACAUAAUGCAUAUUGAGAAAAAUGUGUGACAAUAUAAUUGAGACAUUGUUCAGUAUUGACGAAGAAACAAGGACAACCUAAAUAGUCAUCUCGAUUUACAAGCUCUAACUAUUAGAAAUGAGAUUCACCCAAUAGAAAGCAGGACCAAAUUUAUUUUGCUUGCAACAUGCUACUCACUCACCCCAAAUGAGAUUAAGGAAUUUUGCAAGUUUUUGAAAUCAAUAAAGGUCCCCAAUGGCUAUUCUUUCAAUAUCUCUCGUUAUGUGCAACUCAAUGAAAGGAAGAUAUAUGAGCUCAAAUUGUAUGAUUGUCAUGUCCUAAUGCAACAACUUCUCUCACUUGUAGUUCGUGGAGUUCUACAUAAGAAUGUUUGUGGAGUUAUCAUAGAAUUGCGUAAUUUUUUCAAGCAAUUGUGCUCAAAGGUGUUAGAAACAAAUCACUUACACCAACUUGAGAACAAUAUUAUUGUCAUACUAUGUAAAAUGGAGCAAAUAUUUCUUCCAUCAUUCUUUGAUAUUAUGGUGCAUUUACUUGUGCAUCUAGUAAGGCAAAGGUUGCAAGACUUGUGCAAUAUUGUUGGAUGUACCUAAUUGAACGAUAUUGUUAUAAUUUCAUAUGAAUCAUUUAAUUUUAUUUUAUAUUAUGUUCAGUUCAUUAACAUGUACAUUGGUCUACAUAUGGAUGAUGAUAGGUACCUAAGCACUUUAAAGUCAUAUGUGCGUAAUAGAACUUUUCUAGAAGGUUCUAUUGUAGAAAGGUACCUUGCAAAAGAAUGUACAACAUUUUAUUCUAGGUACUUGAAUGAUGUGGAAAUAAAGUAUAAUCACAAUGAUAGAAACUUUGUUGGUUUCAACACUAGAGGAGAUGAAAGGGGUUAUCUUUAAACAUAUUGGACAUGCAUUGGGAAAGCCCAUAUUUCAUUAACUUAGUUCAAAAGAGUGGUCACAAGCACAUUUAUAUGUGUUGACAAAUUGCGAAGAUGUCAUACCAUUCAUUGAGUAAAAAAUUUAUUUGAAUUUUAAUUAAAGCUCUAGUUUAUAUCCUUAAUCAAUGUUUUUUAAAUUCACAAGGAGCACAAGCAAACCAUCAAGGCUAGACCACAUAUACGUGUUUGAGACGUAGAUUUAAUUCAUAACAAGGAAUUUAUCAAGUGGUUUGAAAGACAUGUAAGUAUAUUCCUUAUUAUAAGGGAUUUAUUUCACAUUAUGUUUAUAUUGAAUCCAAACCUAUUAUUGAAUUGUAGGUUGAACAAUUACAUAAUGAAGGUCAUAUAUCUGAACACCUUCUCACAUUAUCAUGUGUUCCAAAUUCAUUAGUUACAUGCUUCAAAUGAUAUAUUGUCAAUGGAUUUAGAUCCCACAUUAAAGAACGUGAUAAAAAAGUUUUUAAAAAAAGACUCAGAAUAAUGGAAUUGUUGUAGUUGCAAAAACGUCAAGCUUUACAAGUGCAUGUGAUAUGAGUCCAAUUAUUAGUGAUGCUCUCUACUAUGGUGUUCUAACUAAAGUUGUUGAGUUACAUUAUCUUGGUGAAAAUAAGGUUGUUUUAUUCGAGUUUGAUUGGUGGGAUGUUACAAAUAUUGGAAAAUUGAUAAAAGAUGAUGAGUACAAUUACACAUUUGUUAACUUUGCAUGAAUUCUAACCACGAACGAACGAUUUGUACUUGCAUCUCCAGCAAAGUAAGUGUUCUAUGUGAAGAAUGCGAAUGAAUCAGAUUGGCAUACUAUCAUGGAGAUGCAACCUCAAGACCUCUAUAAGAUGAACGGGAUAGGAUCCAAUGGUGAUUUUGAACCAUUUCAACAAAGUGAACUACAUGAUCACUAAUAUAUCUCAGAUUUAGUUGAUGAAGAUAUAAUCAAGUGGAACAAAAGUGAUGUUUUAGGACUAAUCAUCCUAAAAAAUAUUGUAGUUUCUUAAAAAAAAAAUGAAAAUGAAGAAGAUAAUUGAACCUUUGUCAUACUUUAAAAAGCAACUAUGCAUUGUUCAUUUUGUAUGUUUUGGUUUUCUUCAUUUAAUUUCCUGAUUUUUGUGAUUCAAUGUCAUAUUAUUGAUCUUGAAAUAUUUUUCUAAUUUUUCAUUCUACGAUGGUUUCAACAAGGAUGACAUCAAGUCAAAAAAGGAAAUGUGGUCCCACACACAAUAUUGCAUUACAGGGAUUAAGGUCAGGGAAGAAGGUAAAAGUUGCAUUUAAUGAGUACAAUCAAUUGGUUAAACAGAAAAAUGGAAAACACUUAUCGAGCUACAUAGGGACACUUGUAUCUAACCAACACAAUGUACCUCUCCAAGCUAGUGAUUGGAAAAAUGUUCCAAAUGAUGCAAAAGAGAAAGUAUGGCCUUUGUUUUGGUAUGUUGUAUUUCUCACUAUAUGAUGUCAUUUCACUGUUAUUCUAUUUUGUGACUAACGUUUGAAUCAUAUGUAAGAAAAAUUUGAAGUAGAUAAAGACUGAAAAGAUUACAUGUUGGGUAUAGCCUCAAAUAAAUAUAGAAGCUAUAAAAAUAUGAUGAAUGCAAAAUACUAUGACCCUUGGCAUAAGGAUGCAUGAGGAGAGGUUAAUACAUAAAUCACCAUUUGUCUCUGAUGUUGAUUGGAAGUGGCUUGUCUCUGAUGCAUAAACCAAAUCCCCCACUGAAUGUUUGAUAUUUGAUAGCAGGAAAAACACACCCGCAGCUAUACACCUCCAUCAUUCAGAUAAUUAUAGUGGGGGAGAUGAUUCAUGGUUGCCCUUAUACCCUUUAUUUGCACCAUCUAUUGAGAUUCUUUAUCAUGGCCAGGUUUUACUGCAGCAAUAAGAUAUGGUGGCAACAAUUUUAUCUAUAGGUGCGGUUCCAGACCGCCUCCAUAGGUGCGGUUCCUGACUGCCUCCAUAGGUGCCUCUUCUUGUAAUGUUUGUUCUGGGAAUUACACUUGAAAGCCUUAUCGUGAUAAGGGAUUACAAACACUAGUUCAGAGGACAGCCAUGUUAAACUUCCACUAUGUUUGUGUCACAUUAUCAGCAGCCUAGUGUUUAUUGGUCAUGCUAUCUGCAACUAAUAUAACCCGGUGAACUUCAAUCUAAAUUCUGAAAGUACUCAUGUGACAGAUGGUGCCUUUCAGCAGAUAUCAUCAAUUUAAAAGUAGUGUGUGUGCCUAUAGGUGGGAAGGCCUUGGCAAAUGUUCAGUAUUCCGGUAAUUCAAGAAGGAUAUAUCUAAAAUAGAUUUUCUUCUUGCCCAUUUCAAUAGUUAAAAUUUGAGAAGAUUGUGUCCACAUCACACAAAUAUUAUUGGUCCUUCUGUUGCAAUUUACCUCUGAACAUGUCUUCCAAUUCCCACGGUCCUGUUACUCCAGGAAAACUAUUUCGGUCAUAUUGAAAAAAAAAAUAUUAAAGAAGGUACACAUGCUUUUAAGUGGACUGGGGCAUUCAUAUCAGGUGGUCUGUAUCCACAUAUGCCACUUCGUGAAAGGUGGAACAGCCUAAUCACUAGGCUAUUUAGUGUGGCCCAGCCACGUUAAUCAAGCACAAGUCUUCAUACUUAAAGUCAAAUGGUGUCUUUAGUCUCAUUACACAUCGCUAUUUGAAGAUUAACUCAUCACUAGUGUAAUGCGAUUAAGACAGUCCUAACUCAAUAUUUGUUCUAGUUUUGGAUGCAAAUGCUUGCUGGUUUCAUCAUUGGAUGGGAUAAAGGUGCAAUCAGGACUAUGAAUACGUGCAGUAAUACUUCAUUCUCUUUUUUCUCAAUGAGACUUCUUGGCACAAUUUUGCUGCUCAGCAACCUACCUUUCCAUGGAAAAUCAGUUGUGACUGAUAGUAAUGGAUAUAUUCUAGAAAGCUAAACAUAGAUAGCAUUCAAUAUUAUCGAUAUAACAUUAACAGCGUAUGUCUCAAUGCUCAUCAGCUACAAGCAAUGGACAAACACUUUGAGUAACUCACAGCAGUCAAAAUUCCUAAACAGGACAGACGUGACAGAUCUAUAUAUAGAACACUGCAUAUGAGUCACAGGAAAAGAUAAUACGGGUACAUAGAAGCUCUUAUUUUACAUAUUACUCAUACUGAUCAAAGUCGCUCAGUUGGGAUGGAUGGGAGAAGGAGGUUUGAGGGGUGGCUUGUGCGGGGAAGUUGGCAGCUUCUUUCCGGGAGCUGGUUGCUUCUUUGCUGGAGUUGAAGGAGGCUUAAUCUUCCGAGGUGGCUUGUAUGAGUCUUCAGCAUUCUCAGCAGGAGGGUGACCAGGGUUGUGACCAUAAUGUGGUGGCUUCUCUCCCUUAGGUGGUUUGCCAACUGGGGUUGGUGGCUUGUUUUCUGGGAGUGGCUUCUCUCCCUUGGGUGGUUUGCCAACUGGGGUUGGUGGCUUGUGUUCUGGGAGUGGCUUCUCCCCCUUGGGAGGUUUUUCGAAUGGGGUGGGUUUGUGUCCUGGUGGUGGCUUCUCUCCCUUGGGAGGUUUACCAAUUGGGGUCGGUGGCUUGUGUUCUGGGAGGGGCUUCUCUCCCUGGGGAGGUUUAGUGGGUGGCUUGUGUUCUGGAGGUGGCUUCUCCACCGGAGGCUUAUGCUCUGGUGGUGGCUUCUCGAAGGGGGGAUGCUCAGGGUAAUCACCAAGUGAGGGGGUGGUGAGAACCACCAUGCCAAGCAACAACACUAGCAAGUAUGUAGUAGACAUCUUUGGGUUUGGACUCAGACAGUGCAAAACUACGAGAAAUCGCUAGCCCUUUAUAGCGGCUCGGACCUAAUACUGACAUAAUAUAAAAUAAAUAUUAUAUUUUAUCAAGAGAGAACAGAGUGUAAUUUUAUCAUUAAUACCGAUCGAGGCCAAAGAAAGAAGACCCAUAAUCCAUUUCCCACAAGCAUACACAAUGCAGCUGUAAUUUUAUCAUUUACUUUUAUCCCUUGGACCACUGCAUUUUUGUUGAGAGACACAAUAACACAUUUUUAUCUGUCAUUCAACAUUUACAGUAAAGAGAGGGCACAAAACGCAAUUAGAUAAAUUAUGUUUUGCCUGCUAAAAAGAGGCAAAUAACUUUAUUUGCAACAUAAUUAUUUUGGUUUCUAGUGACCCCGGGGCCUUUCGGUUGGUUUGGGAUCGGAAAAUGAACAUCAUAGGGGGGGUUGUGCCCUUAUGGGCAUAUAUAUCUGAUAGCUUCAACUGGCCUUGUUCCUAGAAAGAAAUUGCCAAAGAUAUAAACUUAUUCCAGGCUGAAAGUAGAUGAGAGUCAUAAUGAACAUCAACCUUUGUUCAGUUUGAUUCAAUGCCCCCAUAGUGUUCAUUUCACAGAUCUGAAUGAUUAUAUCCGUUGAAUACAUAAAUUAAUGAAGACAAAUAUGAAACCCAAGAUACAUCUCUGCAUAACAACCCCAACCCUGGUUGCUAUGUUUCCCUUCUUCUAUUCACAUGAGGAUACUGGUUAUAAUUGUCAAACUUGCAACAAGCCCUUUGACACCUAACGUCAAUGGACGAAUUAAAAGUCUCCUUCAAACGUCUAUUUCACAGCAUGAAGCUUAUAAAGGAUGCUGACAACCUUCAGAGUUAGCGACAAAAGAUAAUUAUCAAGGAGAGAUAGUUCCAUGAGAAUUCCAAGGAGUCUGAAUCAAAGACAAAUUGCUCACUCAAGGGUUCUUAUUUUCUUUUAGGUACAAAUCUCUUGAGUGUUGUUAAAGAAACACGUCACUGUCAUUUUGAUUUGCAUUUAACAUUUCACUUUUGUUCUGGAAGGUUUGUUCCGGAAACAUAUCAAAUGAGCAUCAUUUUCUUCUUCGGUGACACAUGGUCGCGAGUACGUGGGUCCAUUUUCAUGCCACUUAGUUGAAAAGUUGGAAAGAAAAAACAUGCCAACAAGAAGAUAGUGAGAGAAGGGGCACUUCAAGCCUUUAACAUGAACAAACAGUAAAUAAAAGAUGUUUCUCCACUCAUAAAAGUGUGUUAGAUAGCAAUAUAACGAAUCACAUCCAAAAUCUUUACUAGGCUCAAACAUAAAGAAGACUCAUUUUUAAGAAAAGAUAAAAAUGGCAUUGUCUGAUAGUAUCCAAUACACGAGAUGGCACUUAAUUUGUACAAGAUCUGUCAAUGCUGACGCACAUUUUCUGAUUAAAAAAAAACUGAUCAGUCAAAAGCAAUGAAGAGAAGUGAUGACAAUGAAUGAUGCUUCCAAUAUUUUCACCCCUUAUAGUGUUCUUCAUGAUUCAGAUAUAUAAUUGGAAAUAGAACAACCCUAUGCCAUACAUUCGUCUAAGUAUGGUGUCUAAUUUUUUGUGUCAGCGGUUGCGAAUGGAGCGUGCAAAAGUCCAAAUUGGCGUCUCUCCAUUUCCACAUAGGAAGGUGACCUUUAUUGACAAAUACCCAAUAUUUGUAGACAUUCCUUAAAUAUCAUAACUUCUUGUUGAUUUGAAAAUCAUUUUUCAACUACCAUGUUUUAAUAAAUAUUUUUUAAAAUGUAUUUUUAUCAAAGUCCACCAUGAUGGAUAAUAUUCACCAUGCAAUAAUUAAUAAAGUACAAACUAAGCGAAAUGAAAAGCAUUUUCUUUGCUUUGAGUUGAUUUUGGUUGCAUUGAGUUGAUUUUGGUUUCAUGGUUUUUUCAACUCUUAUUUUGAUUGGAAGAUGUCAAGAAAAGAAAACAUAAAGAAAAAUUAAAAGGGAAAAAAGAAGAAAAAUAAAAAAAAAUAGAUUUAAAAGUUAAUAAAUUAUUUUUUAUAUUUAUUUUAAUUCAUUUCACUUAUUUUUCUUUUACUAUAUAAAAUUUAAAUAAUUUAAAUUUUAUAAUUAAUUUAAUUACAUUUCAUUUUCUUCUAUAUUUAAAUAUUGGAAAAAUAUUUUACUUAAUAUUUUUUUCUUUAAUUUCUUUGGCAUUUUGGGAACCAAACUUAGCCUUUAAAAUAAAAAACAAAAAAAAAAUGAAAAUAAGGAGGGAAAAGUGAGAAAAGAUAAAAACAAUAUGUAAAGGAUUUGAAAAGUAUUAGUUUGUAAUUACUAUUUGGAUUUCAAUAGUAUUUUAUUUGUCUUUCUAUAUUUCAUGUAAGAGAGAAUUUAAGAUAUUCCCCAAGGCAAAGCAUUAGUUACCUGCAAUCAGUGGUGAUAAGGCUCCAAGCCAAUUUUGGGCCCCAUAUCUUAAGACAGUACAAUUUCCAUUUCAACAUUUCUGAUUUCUCAGAUGUUUCACAUACCACAGAAGAACAUUGUUUGUGAAAAUAUGCAUUUAUGUUGGAUUUUGUAUGCUGUGGGGACUGGGGCAAGGAUCAUAUGGAAGAGUGGUUGACUUUUUCUGUACUUUAACGGUUGAAAUAGGAUAAGCACGGGCAUUUGUGAGGCUUAAUUGAUUUUGAAGCCUGAAAUUGCGUUUCUGUCAUUUUGUCAAAAAAAUGGCAGAUUCCAUACUCAUAUGUUUGGCCUGUGGCCAUGUACAGAUGCCAUUUAGUGACCAGUUUGUAACUGUCAAUCGUUGCGUUUUGACUCUGCCUCAACAACAUCUGCCAUUGACGGGUUUUCAUACUUGCAAAUCAAAUAGUCUUUCGUCCCAUCAGGAAUUUCGGUUUAAAUAUUAUUAAGCAUACGUUUGGCUGACAAUCAUUAUCCAGUUCAUGAUUUGGUUUCUUACCCUUAAUCAAUGGUUUCUAAGUGAAUAUAUGUAGAAGGAAAUCCGAAGUGUAGACAGUAGUAUCGAUAACUCUCAAUAUUCUCUAUAUAAUAGAAUAAACAGCGUCAUAGUGAUCGUCGCCUACAAGCAAGGUACAAAUACCAAAACGAGUGACUCACAUAGACAUCUCCCAACAAGAUGUAGUAGUGACUGACACAUGGACACAAUUAACUCGUAGAAAAGGAUAAGACCAUUGCACAGCAGCUCUUAUUUUACAUACUACUUAUGCUAACCAAAGUCAAUUAGUUGGGAUGGGUGGGAGAUGGAGGUUUGUGCGGUGGCUUGUGGGGCGGAGUUGAUGGCUUCUUUCCAGGAGCUUCUGGCUUUUUCAUCGGAGCUGAAGGAGGCUCAAUCUUAUGAGGCGGCUUGUAUGAGUCUUCUUUACUCUCGACAGGAGGGUGGCCAGGGUUGUGAUCAUAAUGUGGUGGCUUCUCUCCCUUAGGUGGCUUGCCAACUGGGGUUGGUGGCUUGUGUUCAGGAAGUGGUUUCUCUCCCAUGGGAGGUUUAGCAAUUGGGGUUGGUGGCUUGUGUUCUGGGAGUGGCUUCUCUCCCUUGGGAGGUUUAGUAGGUGACUUGUGUUCUGGAGGUGGCUUCUCCACCGGAGGCUUGUGCUCCGGUGGUGGCUUCUUGGUUGGAGGGGGCUUGGGGUAAUCAGCAAGAGAUGGGGUGGUGAGAACCACCAGUCCAAGGAACAACACUAGCAAGUAUGUGGGAGACAUUUUUGAGUUUGGGCUGAUCAGAUGAUGCAAAACUAAAGCAUUACGUGACCUUUUAUAGCAUGUAGCUCCCAAUACCCACUAAGUAUUGUGGGGUCCAUUUGUGCCCUACGGGGUUGAAAACUUAGACAAUUGGGCAAGGACCCACCUGACUAUGGAGGACUAGUGAGGUGUGAUCAUAGCUUUAGGAUUUUUCUUCCUCUGCAGCCGUCGUGCCGUUGGCAUGAUUUUCUUAAUCUUAAAUAAAGGCAUAGUUAUAGAGUUGUUUAAUCUCUAAAUGGGAUUUUAUAUAUAUCUUCAGAUAGCCAUUAAUAUAUUUGAUGAAGAAAGAAAGACAAGUGCAUACAACAUGUAUACGACUAGCUUUCAUGGAGUUCAUUUAUGAUCAGUUUUCCUGUACAUGUAAACCAGGAUCAUAUAUAUGUUUCUGUUCCACAACUAUUUUGGAAUCUUGUUUAUCAGUUUUUAUCAUUAUAAUGUCACAUAGGCUGCCAACUUGGGCGCUAAAAGAACCAGUUGGGCUAGUUCGUUUCAGAAUUUCAAUGUGGAUUCAGGAAUUGUUUUGUAAGAUAUGCGAAAUAGUAGAGGGAUGAAUAGUGUUUCAUUAAUAAAAGUGUCCUGUAAAUUAGAAGGUGUCAUAGAAACUAUAAUCAAUAAAUAACUUUUUUUCCCCACGGGUGGUGUUUCUUGUGGGGAUCAGUGACUGGUUUAGGUUCACCCAAAAUGAGUUCAGACUAAAAUUGGUUUGAGUCAAUGCCGUGUCUCUUUUUUCCAGAAAUCAACUAUUUUAUGCAUUGAAUAAAUCAUACAAAGAAAAUAUGAACGCCCGCAAAACCUAAACCCUGGUUGCUAACUUUCUAUGUUUCAGUUCUAUUCACGCAAGAAUAUUAGUUUAAGUUUGGGAAAAAUGGCAACUUACCUAGUGAUUACUUGGUUUUGGUUUGCGACUAUUUACGCAACCAACCAUGAGUUUGACUUUAACGUCAUGGGUUGAAGCCUCCUACAGGAAGGGAGAAAGCUCCACAGCUAGCUCCAAAAGAGAAUUAUCACAUUGAUAGCUCCAGAGAUUCCCAAGGGGACUGAAUCAAAGACAAGUUCCUCACUUUUUCUUCUUUUGAGGCCAAAUAUGAACCAAGGAUCACACAACCUCAUUCAACUUCAUAAGUUUGAUUUCAUGCAGUUGAACACUGGGUGAAGGCCAUGACAAGAAUUGAUUCAAAAAUUCUAUCACUCUUUUAAGUAAUGGAAGAUUAUUAUCUCUGAUUGGCAUCACAACAGCACAUGCUCCUAGAUCUUUCUAGACACUCCAUGCAAUGAAAGCACAAUGGAUCUUGUAACGAUAGAAACUAAGCCAUGCUACAGUACUAGAUGAUGAGGUAAAACUAGUAGACACGGGUGGCAGCCUAUAUGGGAGGGACACAAGUCUAAUUGAUUUGCAUUUCAGCAUUAUAGAUAGGUAUGUUUUGGAAGAUUUGUUCUGGAAAUACCGCACCAAGUAGGAUUCUUUUUCUCUUUAGUGGGUCCACUUGCAUGCCAAUUAACGAGUUGAAAAGUAUGAGCACCUACCUCGUGCUCGUGGAACCGAAGGUCAGUGAAGUGGGGCUCCUUUUGGCCUCGUGUAAACUUGAUUCAGAAGUGAAGUUAAUAGUCUUCCAUUCAGAUGGAUACAUGGGAAUUUUUCUCUUUUAUUUAUUUAUUUAUUUUUUUUUUGUGUGUGUAUGUCAAAGGAUAAUGAAUGAAGCGCGUUAGCUUGUUUUCUGACUGGAACCGCAGAUGUCCAAAUUGGAGUUCCUUCAUUUCUUACUUAGGAUUGUUACAUGUAUAAACAAGGUAUAAGAAAUAUGCCAACGUGUCUUGAGGAGUUAUUGAUUAGAAAUAACAAGUCACCCGACUGUAGAGUUCCAAGAUUUGAAUCUUCAGACCCUAUAGCAGCCUCUGGGGUACGUGGCAUCCUAUAGCAUAUUAAUGAAGGCUUUUUCGAUUUAGACUUCACAAUACCAAUUAAUAUGUAUGCACAAAAUGGAGAUGACCCCAAAAAAAACAGAAUCGCCAUAGUUUAUGAGGUUAAGGUGAUUCUCCACUUAAUAUCUACAUUAGCUAAUUAUGUAAAUCAAAUGAACUUCUAUUUUUCCUUUUUUUUUUUGGUUUAUGUCAAAUAGUAGCCCAUAAUUAACCCAACCAUUAGCCUGUUUGAAUUGAUUUCACAUGCACAAUGUUGUAGUAGUUCAUAUUUUGAAUUUUAUUUUUACAAAGGUAGUUAAGGAAAAUGAAGUAUAAUAAUUAUAAAAGCAGACUAUAUACACUACAAUAAUUGUUAGAAUGGUAUCUCAAAUUCUAAUUUAAAAUAUUAUUUUUUGUAAAAGAAAUAUUAUAUAGAAUAUUUCCUAAUUUUAUAAAUGAUUAUAAUUAGAUCUUUAUAAAAUAAGGAAAGUUGGUAAGAAUAUCUUUAUAAAUAUUUUAGGUCAUGAGAGAAAGAAAUGGGAUAAAAAUGUGAUGAAGAGGUGAAAUAAGAGAGUUGAUUAGGAUAUAGAUGUGAAGAAGAAAGGGAUUCAAUAUAUAUAUAUCUUUCAAUUACCACAUUAAAACCCUGUGAACCUUUUAUAUGGUUUACUUUAUUUUUAUAUUCCUCCUUUAAUAUAUUUACAUUAAUGCUUCCAUUGGCACAACAAUAACGAAUUACAAAUACAAGCAACAAGUCCCAUGUUUUAUUACCAAAAGCAGGUAAAAUCCACCUAAUAUAUUACAAUAUAUUCAUCCAAUAUUUUAGACCAAUUCUUCACCAUAAAUAUCAUAAUGUGGCUUUUGUUCUUUCUUAAAUUUAAAUUGAAUUGUCUUAUAUCAAUUUGUUUGUGAUUUUUUCAUUAACUUCACUUUCAUUUGGUUAUCUUUGGUUUUUGAAAAGUAUUAAGGAAUUAAUUAACAAAAUAAUGUUAAGAAAAAUAAUUUUCUCUCUUUUGAUUUUGAUUUUGUAGUAGAAAAAUAUAAUUAAAAUUAUUUAAAAAGUAUGUAAUUUUAAAUUAUUUAAUAUUUAGAUAAAAAAAAUAAGUCUAAUGAGUUUAAAAUAACAUAUAAAAAUAAUUUAUUUAUUUUAAAUUUAUUUUUUAUUUUCCAUUAUGUUCUCUUUCUCUUUUACUUUUUCAUAUUUUUUCUUACGAAGAAUCAAACACAACCUCAUAUUAUAUGUCAAGUGUUUGUCUAUAUUUGAGCAAUGUUAGAUACGGCCAUGGAUUCAUCAAACUAAACUGAUUUUAAUAGAUACUUCACAAAUUGAUUUAUACACUAAAUCAUUGGAUAGCAAUGAUGCAUUGGAAUUAAACGUAGGAUGAAGCUCGAAGAACACUGUUUGUGUAACAACAUAUUUAUGAAAUUAUGCAAAGGAUGAGCUUCGGGGUAGUAGUACAAGGUCAUUAAUGGAGAGCCGUGUUAAACCUUGAUUGUGAUUGGAUUCCGUUAUCAGCAACAGCAACCUUGUUUGUAACCUUGAAAGUCAUUCUGUCCACAUCGAAACUCCAAUUUGACGUUUGUAAUUACCAUUCCUGGAGUGUUCCUUGAUUGAAAUUUAAAUAAUAAUUGCGGCCCACAAGGAAUAUUUUCGAUUCUGUGGGAAUUUGACAAGGUUUGUUAGAGAAGACUGGUGACAUGUUGACUUCAAUGGUUCAAAUAGGAGACGUAUGUGGAUUUGGGGGGUUUAAUUGAAACUGAGUCCCUAUGGCUUUUUAAUAUUUGCAUUGAGCAGUCUCCAUGUGACUUCCUAAUUCCCACCAACCCUCCUGUCCAUGCUGUGAAACUAAAUUGUAAUUUAUCAGCCUUUGUCAAUGGUUUCUAAAUUAAAGAUAUAGACCAUGCAUGUACUUUAAUAAAAGCAAAUCUAAAGUGUAGAUAGCAGCAAUGGUGACACCCAAUAUUCUCCAUAAAAUAGAAUUAGAAUAAGCAGUGUUACAUUGUUCAUGAUCACCUACAAGCAUACAAGAACUUCCAUGAAUAACUCAUAGCAAUUGCCAACAGGGCGUCGUAGAGACUCAUACAUAGAACACUAUCCACCCAGAGGAAAGGACAAGACCAGUGCGCUGCAGCUCUUAUUUUUCACAUGUAUACCACCACUCGUAAUAACCAAAUUCACUCAGUUGGGAUAGGUGGGAGAUGGUGGUUUGUGGGGUGGCUUGUGGGGAGGAGUUGGAGGAGGCUUUAUUUUCUGAGGCGGCUUGUAUGAGUGUGCAGGAGGAUGCCCGGGAGUGUGACCAUAAUGUGGUGGCUUCUCUCCCGUAGGUGGUUUGCCAAAUGGGCUUGGUGGCUUCUCUCCCUUAGGAGGUUUACCAAUUGGGGUUGGUGGCUUGUGUUCUGGGAGUGGUUUCUCUCCCUUGGUAGGUUUGCCAAUUGGGGUUGGCGGCUUAUGUUCUGGGAGUGGCUUCUCUCCCUUGGGAGGUUUGCUAAUUGGGGUUGGCGGCUUAUGUUCUGGGGGCGGCUUCUCUCCCUUGGGAGGUUUGCCAAUUGGAGUUGGCGGCUUAUGUUCUGGGAGUGGCUUUUCUCCCUUGGGAGGCUUGCCAAUUGGGGUUGGCGGCUUAUGUUCUGGGGGUGGCUUCUCUCCUUUAGGAGGUUUGCCAAUUGGAGUCGGCGGCUUAUGUUCUGGAAGUGGCUUUUUUCCCUUGGGAGGUUUGCCAAUUGGGGUUGGCGGCUUAUGUUCUGGGGGUGGCUUCUCUCCCUUGGGAGGUUUGCCAAUUGGAGUCGGCGGCUUAUGUUCUGGGAGUGGCUUCUCUCCCUUGGGAGGUUUUGUUGGUGGCUUGUGUUCUGGAGAUGGCUUCUCCCCUGGAGGCUUGUGCUCCGGAGGUGGCUUCUGAAAUGGCGGGGGCUUGGGGUAAUGAGCAAGAGAUGGAGUACUGGUGAGAACCACCAUUCCAAGCAACAAUACUAGCAAGCAUGUGGGAGACAUCUUUGAGUAGUUGUAGCUAAGAUGGCGCAACACUGUAGGCAUUGGGUGGCCUUUUAUAAAGGGCUGGACCCAACAGCCAUAUGACACGUGUCAUGAUGACAAAUGAAGUUGAGGGGAUCCAGAUGGGUCCUACUGAGUCGAAAACUUGCACUAAUUGAUCUGGUGAGAUGACUAUUUCUGUCCUUUUGCCCUUCUCGGCCACCCUGUGCUGUUUUCCUUUUGCACGAUUUUCGUUGCCAAACAAGCAAAUAAUAUUUCGCCAAGAAAGAGGAGAGUGAAUGUGGAAUGCAUCAAGUCCCAUCAAGGAUGGCAGAGAAGAAAUAGAAGAUUGCCCAACUGUGAUAAACAUAGCAUACACGUAGCACCAGGAACUUCAUUUACUUCCAUCUAAUGGAACAUAACAAUCUUCUAAAGUUUUUGCAUGAUUUUGUUAUAUGUCUCUUAGCCUAAAGUUGGAAAUGCGCAACAAAUUUUGUCACUUCUCUAUUUCCCACUGAUGAUGUUAAUUAGCCUUCAUAGAUAUCAUCCUUUCUACAAAGUGCUUCAUUUGUGUGUUAUUGUAAAGUGUAAGAAAAGUAAUUGAACAUGUUCUUUUUCCUUUCAUAGAUGACUUUUGAUGUGCAUUUUAAAAGCAGCGCUGUGAGUCGGUGACCUUGAUUCACACGGAAACUAAGGCUCCUAUAGGACCCACUUUUAGCUGGUUAGGGGUGAAGAAAAUAUCAACUUUUCAGAGUGAUUUAAGUCAAGGCCAAGCCUCACUGUGUCAUUACUCGUGUGAAUUUUAUAUGCACAUACAUACAUAAAUAAAGUAUGAGACCCAAAUAACACCUUCCCUUUACAAACUUAACCCCAGCCGCUCUCUUUCAAUUCUUUUCACACAAGGGUAUUGACUCUAUAAAGGUCAAGAAAAUCAUAAUUUCCUAGGGUUUACAAGGUAAUUGGCUUAAUGCUAAUGUGAAAACAUAAAAGAUAAUAGUAUAUUGUAAGCUAACGAAUAUUCUAUAGUUAUAAUUAUUUGUGAUGUGCAUAAAUAAAUCUUCAUAUAUAUAAUGGAACAAUGAAUAAAGAACCAAUGAAAAAAUACUAUAUAUCAUUGCUUGGCAUUUAAACCGUAUAUGCUGCUCUUUCUAGCUACUCCAUCCACUGAAAGACAACAAGGUAAUCCAUGUUAUAAUGAUAGAAGAUACUGUCUCUAGGCUUUUUGUGAUGAAAAAUAUAAGAUAUGGGUAGGGUUGACCCUUGUAUGUUUGUCCUAUAAACACUUCAAAGUAACAUAUUUUUCUUCUUUAGCAACUCAUAAUGAUGGGGUUCAUUUGCAUGUCACUGAGUUGAAAAGUUGGACAAUUGCCCAUGUCGCCUUCCUCCUAGAUUCCGUAGUUCACGGGAAGGUAACUCAAGUUUGACAUAUUUUGAAUUCUUUUCACUCGGACGUCUUCAUAACCUGACAAAACAAAAAUGAAAAACAGAGGAUUGGUAUAUUAUUCAUGGUAAGCCUCAAAUUAUAGUAGUAUGAGAAAGGAGAAAAAGAUUUUGGGAACUCCAAUCUGGAUAAUUCUCGUUUCUUCUCUUGAAUAAAAAUUUCACUUACCUAACUUCGUUUGGAGAAAUGGCAUAUUUUAAUUUUGUACGUCAUUGCUAAUAAAUGGAGCAAUUUAGCAUGUUUUGUGACUGAAACUGCAAAUGUCCAAUUGGCAUUUCUUCAUUUCCCACUUAGGAUCUGAUCUUGUAGACCAUAUAACGAUAUGUAUCUGUGCAAGCAUUGAAAACUAAUGUGAACUAUGAGGAGUUACAAGCCACUGGACUGUAGAGCGAGUGCCAAGAUUUAAAUCUUCAGGCUCUAUCUGGGUAAGGGGAGGAUAGCGACCUAACCUUUUACCAAAGGCUUAGAAUUUAGACUUUUGGAAAAAAAUUUCUCAUGUUUUGGCUGGAUUUCUUGUGCUUGGCGCAAAAAGGAGAUGGCCUCAAGAAAUAGCAGACUCACUUUUGUUUUCAGCCCUUAAUAAUUCUCCACUGCUUUCCAUAACUACAUGGGUUAUACAUGCAGUCUGCUGCAAUAUUCCAGUUAUAUUUAUUAUUUCAAAGAGGGUGAAUGACUUCACAUGCAAUAUGUUGCAGUAACAACCCAAAUUUUGGCACACCAUCUUAAGAAUAGAAAAGUAUAAUAAAAGAAAUCAAUCAGAGAAUCACUUUGCAUGCAGUUCAUAGAGUUCGCCCAAAAUGGAGCCACAUGUACGGACAACCCCACAAUAGACAAUCUUCUCUAUACAGUAAUAAAAUACAGAAAUGGUUAAUGAAGCUCUGUAUUUCCUUAUCAUAUAUGACCGGUUGAAAACUCAGCAAGUCUUCCUCAAUCACAGACAGUUGGAGUUGCUUCAUCAAAAUCAUGCCUUCAUUACUGGCUUCAUUUUGGUUUCAAUGUCUGUUCUACCCUUAAAUUGGGUCUCUGCUUACUACCGGGAUAUCCUUUAGCGUCCUGCAAUUCUACUAGAUUAAAGAGAAUGACUUAAUUCUGCAUUCUGCCGUCCCUAGUCCAAGUGGUACUAGAAUUGAUGUUUCCUUUAGUGUCCUUUCUUCAUACUUUCAGGUUCUUCCCUUGUUUCAAUAAUGCUGUUUUCCUUCAUGUUUAACCUCUGUUGAACCACUUAAAACAACACAAUUUGCACACCAAUGUUUCUUUACAGAAAAGACUGUUUGCAAAAAUGCACAUGUUAUAAGGUUAAUGGAAGAAUUAAUUUGGGGAUAAGGGACUAGGAUUGGGCCAAUGAAGUUUGGUGUUAAAUUUUGAUUAUGAUUGCUUUUCAUUAUCAGGUACCUUAUAUUUGCUGAUGCUAUCUGGAACUAAAUUCAAAUCAGACAUUAUCCGAUUACUAACAGGACAUAUCAUGUCCCUCUGCAGAGUUUCUAAACUAACAUGUAUCGAAAUGUGGCCCCAAAAGGAAGGCUAGGAAGAUGGAGGAUUUUGUAGGAAUCGACCAGAAUCAGAUGGAAGAGAGAUAGUCCUGUUGACUUUAAUGGUUGUGAUAGGAACAUGCAUCAUUAUAUGAGAAGUUGCAUGAAUUUAUGUAUCCUGUUAUCGUUCCUUGACGAUUUCCCAAUGCAAUUUCACUGUCCACAAGACUAACCUCUCCAUGCAGUCAAAUGAAUUGUAAUUUCUCUAUUGGUACCAGUAGUACAUUUCAUACCAAACAUAUAGUAAAUAUAAAAUAUAAAUAGAUCAAGGAAAUCUGAAUUGUAGAUAGCACUGCAAGUAACACUCAAUAUUCUCUAUAUAUAAUAAAAUAAACAGUGUCACAAUACUCAUCACCCAGUGGCAAGGGAGAAAAACCUACAAUGAGUACUCAAAUCACCAUUCUCAAACAGAAACAUAGCAGUGACUGAUACAUAGAACCUAUAUGCUCACAGGGAAAGAAUAAGAUGACCAGUGCACAGCGGGCAGCAGCUCUUAUUUUACGUACAACUCAAAUCCCAAACUAACCAAAGUCGCUCAGUUGGGAUGGGUGGGAGAUGGUGGUUUGUGGGAUGGCUUCUGGGUAGGAGCUGGUGGCUUCUGUCCCUUUGGUGGUUUGCCUAAUGAGCUUGGUGGCUUGUGCUCCGGGAGUUGUUUCUCUCCCUCGAGUAGGUUUCGAGUCUUGUCAGAUGGCUUGUGUUCUGGUGGUGGCUUCUCUCCCUGGGGUGGUUUGCCGAAUGGGCUUGGUGGCUUGUGUUCGGGGAGUGGCUUCUCUCCCUGGAGAAGGUUACGAGUUUUGUCAUAUGGCUUUUGUUCUGGUGGUGGCUUCUCUCCCUGGGGUGGUUUGCCGAAUGGGCUUGGUGGCUUGUGUUCGGGGAGUGGCUUCUCUCCCUGGAGAAGGUUACGAGUUUUGUCAGAUGGCUUGUGUUCUGGUGGUGGCUUCUCUCCCUGGGGUGGUUUGCCGAAUGGGCUUGGUGGCUUGUGUUCGGGGAGUGGCUUCUCUCCCUGGAGAAGGUUACGAGUUUUGUCAGAUGGCUUUUGUUCUGGUGGCGGCUUCUCUCCCUGGGGUGGUUUGCCAAAUGGGCUUGGUGGCUUGUGUUCGGGAACUGGCUUCUCUCCCUUGGGAGGUUCAGUUGGUGGCUGCUGUUCCGUAGGUGGUUUCUUCACCGGCGGCUUGUGCUCCGGAAGCGGCUUCUCUACCUGGAGAAGCUUACGAGUUUUGUCCGAUGGCUUGUGUUGUGGUGGUGGCUUCUCUCCCUGGGGUGGUUUGCCAAAUGGAGUUGGUGGCUUGUGUUCGGGGAGUGGCUUCUCUCCAUUGGGAGGUUUAGUUGGUGAUUGGUGUUCCGUAGGUGGUUUCUGAAGUGGGGGAUGCUUGGGGUAGUCAGCAAGAGACGAGGUAGUGAGAACCACCAGUCCCAGCAGCAACACUAGCAAGCAUGUGGAAGACAUCUUUGAGUUCAGGCUGAGAUCUGUGCAAGGAUAACAGAAUUAGGUGGCCUUUUAUAGAGGCCUGGACCCAACACCCAUAUGACACGUGUCAUGCACUCAUGGUGACACAUAAUUCUAUGGGACCAUUUGGGUCCUACAGAAGUUGCAAAGUUGGACUACUGAGGUGUGAUCACAACUUUUGUCCUUAUUGCUUUCUCUGCGGCCAUUGCACGAUUUCCUUUAGCAUCAUUUUCUUGGCUAAAUAAGCGUAUUAUAUUUGUGGCAGACCGUCCACGUGUCAUAAACAGAUAUAUUAUAAUAAUGUAGUAUGCUUUUCUCCAAUGGAACAUGACACUCUUCUAAGUCUUGUUUUAAAUAUUGUGCAGGAUUACUUUAUACGUUGCAGUUCCAAGUCAAAAUUGGUGGGCAAACGUUGGCCUUUUUUCAUUUCACCUAAGAUUAAUGCUCACCUGGGAUAGGCACUACAUGACUUAUCUGCUCUUUUACUGUAAAGUUGCUUUGUGUAUGAGAUACACCUCCCCUGCACACCCUCAACAUUCGUUGCUCUGUUUUCCUUGUGUCCAGACGAGGAUAUUAAUUGGAGGCUGACAAAACGACUGCUAGCCCAGGAUUUACAAGGUCCUGGUUUGAGGCUUCGGUGAAAGUAUUUUUGAAAAGACACACAUAGAGAUAGUGCGUUUGGUGCAAUGCAGCACUGUGAGCCAUUCUGACGCGUUCUUAAUUUCAAAACUAAUGAAUGCUUCAAAAUUUUAAGAAGUGACAUUUCCAAAUAUUUGAGUUCGUUUAAUUGAACAUUGGAUAACUAGUGAUCAUAGAUUAUUAUCUGUGCUUGGCACUAUAAGAGGGUAUAUGCUUCUUUUUCUGGCCCCUCCUUCAAGGGAGGAGGGACAAUGUGAUCUGUAACGUUAGAAGCUAUUCCAUGUCAUCUUUGGGCUCAGUUCAAAACUAAAAGAUAAUGGGGGGGGGGGGGGGGGGCAUAUCAUUUUAUAUUUCUUCUAGAAGGUUUGUUCUGGAAAUAUUUCACAGGAGCAUAUCUUUUUCUUCUAUUACGUCAUCCGCAGCCUCCAAUAGGUCGGUUAACAAGCCACCGAGUUGAAAAGUUGGAAAAAUGGGAACACAGCCCGCCUCUUGUAUUCAGUAGUUAAAUAAAAGGUCACUAGAAGUGAGAUCCCUUUUGGCGUCUUGAUUUUCAAUCCAGCACCUCUGUGACCUGACAAACCAAAAAAACUAAAAAAUAAAAAACAGUACGUGGGUUGGUGUUAAGCAUCAAGACAUGUUAAUGAAAGAAGGUAGAGAAUAGGAUAUUGAAAUCCCAAUCCUGAUAACAUGAUUUUCUUUGCUAACAACCAUAUUAUAUUUUAUCAAGAAAGAGUAAUGCAUGUGGCGUCCAUCAAGACCCAUUAGAGUUCCGCUAAAGCUAUAGUUCUGUCAACGUUAUCAUUUACGUUUCCUCUAGAUAAUGGCAUUUUCCUCUAAAGCUCUUGCACCAUUAGGCUUCAAGUCAAAAUUUCACAUGUGAACUUUGGAAAUUUUCUCCAUUUGCCCCUAAGGAUACAGUUAGAAUUGACUUAAAAUCCUGAUUGAUAUGUACUAUUAACCAAAGAAUAUUGUAUAUAAUAAUUGAAAUAUUGUUGAUUCAUCGUGGAAAUACAUUUUGUAAGGAAAGUUGUUGAGAAUUUAGUAUGCUAUAUGGAGAAAAAAGUCAUGACUUAAGGUUGUGUAUGUAUAUUCUAUAUCAAAUAUUAGGUAGGAAUGUGGGAAAGAGCAGAGUGUAAUGAUAAGAAACAAAGAAAUAUAAGAUAUUCUUGAAAGUGGAAAAUAUAAAAUGGCUAACGAGUCAAAUUUAUGAUGCGUAAGGGGGAUCAUGUCACAUAAGAAAACCAUGGCAUACUAAAGACGUACGUGUGGUAUGGAGUAAUAAUUUUGUUAAAAUAAGUUUCUUGUUGGAGUACAUUAGGUGACUAUUCAUAACGUAUCAAAUUAAAGAGUCAAGUGCAUCAAUGAAGGCAUAUGUAGAAAAUUUGUUUGUGACAUGUACCAUAAAGAUAAGAUUGACUUGAUAGAAUUUAGUCUAAGUAGGAGUUGUUAAAGGUGUCUUAAAUUUCUAAUUGAUGUAUAUUUUUUUCUAAAAAAAUAUUAUAUAGAUAUUUUAAUAAAUGAUUAAUUCUUUGUAAAAAUACUUACAUAAUAAAAAACAUCAUUAAAAAUAUCUUUAUAAAUAUUUUAAGUUACAAGAAGGAAAAAAACCACUGUGAGAUAAUGAUGAACAUGCAACACUGUACCAAGUAAAUAAAAAUGUGAUAAAAAAAAAAGAGAAACACUCGAUAAAGGAAGGCUCGUAUAUAAAGAGUAAUAUUUUUAAUCAUAUGAUAGAAUGAUUUUCUCUCAUUCAUGAAUAUAGGCAAGAUUGGGGAACCAUUAUAAAAUUUUGUACACCUCGUGUAAAUUGAUGUUUGUCUUCAUAUUUUACACCAACAAAUGACAUUGAAGUUGUCAUUGAUAAAAGGGAAAAGGCAUGCCUCCACACCAUGUGCUUGAUUCGAAUGGUUCAAGUUUGAAGAAUUUUCUCCGGAAGAUCUAAAACAUUUUCGCCUUUAAAUUUCAUUUGAUUAUUAAUAUCCGAAAAAAUAGUUAAAUACUCUUUCUAUUUUUGAGUUGUUGAAUUUUUUGAAAGUUUUUAUAUUUGUUAUCAAGAAUUUCUAUUUUAUUAAGGGUGAAUAUUUAUAAAUAAGAUAUUAUAUAAUAUUUGGAUAAGAGAGAAUGGUGGAAUAUAAUAAAGUUUUAAUCCUUCCCAAUUUUGAACCUUUUUUUUUUUUUUUGAUAUAAUCGCCUUUCUCUUGCAAUCCUAUUAUCAGGUACCUUAUAUUUGCUGAUGCUAUCUGGAACUAAAUUCCAAUCAGGCAUUGUCCAAUUACUAAUAGGACAGAUCAUAUCUCUCUGUUUCUAAACUAACAUGUAUCGUAAUGUGACCUCAUAAGGAAGGCUAGGAAGAUGGAGGAUUUUGUGGGAAGCGACCAGAAUCAGAUGGAAGAGAGAUAGCCCUGUUGACCUAAUGGCUGUAAUAGGAGAAGCGUGUGGUUUUAUGGGACUUAACUGAUACUAAACCUGUAUGAUGCUUGGAGUGGUGUUUCUUUCAUUUUGUUAAGAAAAUAUGGCAGCAUACAUGCUUUCAACUGAGUGCAUCAGAGCAUCCAUAACAGAUGGUCUGCAACCCUAGGUGCAUGCCACUUUCUGACUGAUAAUGAAAUUGUCAGGUACCUGGCCUUGACUAAGCUCAACAGCAUCACAUAAAGAGAAGCUUUCAUACUUAGAUUACUGUUUAAAGUUUUUGCUUAUUUGAUUUCUUAAUGCCAUUAUGACAUUAUUGAUUCAAUUCUGCUUCCGAUUUUCGAAGUUCUGGGCAUCUACUGAUUGCAUCAUUAUAUGAGAAGUUGCAUGAGUUUAUGUAUCCUGUUAUUGUUCCUUUGCGAUUUCACUGCUCACGGGACUAACCUCUCCAUUCAGUCGAAAUGAAUUGUAAUUUCUUUACUGGUAGCAGUAGUACUUUUCAUAGCAAAGAUAAUAGAAAAUAUGAAAUAUAAAUAGAAGGAAAUCUGGAUUGUAGAUAGCACCAUAAGUAACACUCAAUAUUCACUACAUAAUAAAUAGACAGUGUUACAUAGGUAGAGAAACCUACAAUGAGUACUCAUCACCAUUCUCAAACAGAAACAUAGCAGCGACUUAUACAUAGAACCUAUAGGCUCGCAGGGAAAGAGUAACAUGAUAAGUUCACAGCGGGUAGCAGCUCUUAUUUUACGUAUUACUCAAAAUCUCAAACUAACCAAAGUCACUCAGUUGGGAUGGGUAGGAGAUGGUGGUUUGUGGGGUGGCUUCUGGGUAGGAGCUGGUGGCUUCUUUGUUGGAGUUGAAGGAGGCAUAUUCUUCUGAGGUGGCUUGUAUGACUCUUCGGCACUCUCUGCAGGAGGGUGCCCAGGGUUGUGACCAGAAGGAGGUGGCUUCUGUCCCUUUGGUGGUUUGCCUAAUGGGCUUGGUGGCUUGUGCUCCGGGAGUUGUUUCUCUCCCUCGAGUAGGUUUCGAGUUUUGUCAGAUGGCUUGUGUUCUGGUGGUGGCUUCUCUCCCUGGGGUGGUUUGCCGAAUGGGCUUGGUGGCUUGUGUUCGGGGAGUGGCUUCUCUCCCUGGAGAAGGUUACGAGUUUUGUCAGAUGGCUUUUGUUCUGGUGGCGGCUUCUCUCCCUGGGGUGGUUUGCCAAAUGGGCUUGGUGGCUUGUGUUCGGGAACUGGCUUCUCUCCCUUGGGAGGUUCAUUUGGUGGCUGGUGUUCCGUAGGUGGUUCCUUCACCGGCGGCUUGUGCUCCGGAAGCGGCUUCUCUACCUGGAGAAGCUUACGAGUUUUGUCAGAUGGCUUGUGUUGUGGUGGUGGCUUCUCUCCCGGGGGUGGUUUGCCAAAUGGACUUGGUGGCUUGUGUUCGGGGAGUGGCUUCUCUCCAUGGGGAGGUUUAGUUGGUGGUUGGUGUUGCGUAGGUGGUUUCUGAAGUGGGGGAUGCUUGGGGUAGUCAGCAAUAGACGAGGUAGUGAGAACCACCAGUCCCAACAGCAACACUAGCAAGGAUGUUGAAGACAUCUUUGAGUUCAGGCUGAGAUCUGUGCAAGGAUAAAAGAUUUAGGUGGCCUUUUAUAGAGGGCUGGACCCAACACCCAUAUGACACGUGUCAUGCACUCAUGGUGACACAUAAUUCUAUGGGACCAUUUGGGUCCUACAGAAGUUGCAAAGUUGGACUAUUGAGGUGUGAUCACAACUUUUGUCCUACUUGCUUUCUCUGCGGCCAUUGCACGAUUUCCUUUAGCAUCAUUUUCUUGUCUAAAUAAGCGUAUUAUAUUUGUGGCAGACCGUCCACGUGUCAUAAACAGAUAUAUUAUAAUAAUGUAGUAUGCUUUUCUUCAACGGAACUUGACACUCUUCUAAGUCUUGUUUUAAAUACUGUGCAGGAUUACGUCAUAAGUUGCUUGUUCCAAGUCAAAAUUGGUGGGCAAACGUUGGCCUUUUUUCAUUUUCCCUAAUAUUAAUGCUCACCUGGGAUAGGCACUACAUGAUUUAUCUGCUCUUUUACUGUGAAGUUGCUUUGUGCAUGAGUUACACCUCCCCUGCACACCCUCAACAUUUGUUGCUCUGUUUUUCUUGUGUCCAGACGAGGAUAUUAAUUGGAGGCUGACAAAACGACUGCUAGCCAAGGAUUUACAAGGUCCUGGUUUGAGGCUUUCACGAAAGUAUUUUUGAAAAGAUACACAUAGAGAUUGCGCGUUCGGUGCAAUGCAACAAUGUGAGCCAUUCUGAAGUCUUAAAUUUCAGAUUAAUGAAUGCUACAAAAUUCUAAGAAGGGCCGUUUCCAAAUAUUUGAGUUCAUUCAUCCGAACAUCGGGUAUAUGCUUCUUUCUCUAGCCCCUCCUUGAAGGGAGGAGGGACAAUGUGAUCUGUAUCGUUAGAAGCUAUUCCAUGUCGUCAUCUUUGGGCUCAGUUCAAUACUAAAAGAUAUGGGCGGGGCCCUUAUCAUUUUAUAUUUCUUCUAGAAGGUUUAUUCUGGAAAUCUUUCACAGAAACAUAUCUUUUUCUUCUCUACGUGAUCCGUGGUUUGAAAGUUGGAAAAAUGGGUCCGUUAACAAGCCACCGAGUUGAAAAGUUGGAAAAAUGGCAACACCGCCAACCUCUUGUAUUCGAUAGUUAAAUAAAAGGUCACUGGAAGUGAGAUCCCUUUUGGCCUCUUGAUUUUCAUUCCAGCAUCUCUAUGGCCUGAUAAAUUAAAAAACUAAAAAAAAAGACAGUACGUGGGUUGGUGUUAAGCAUCAAGAGUCAAGACAUGAUAAUGGAGAGAAAGGAUAUUCAAAUUCCAGUUCUGACAACAUGAUUUUCUUUGCUGAACUACCAUAUUAUAUUUGAUCAAGAAAGAGUAGUGCAUGUGGCCAGGAUCAAGACAUACAUUAAUUUCCACAUGAUGAAGACAGUUUCUGAGAGUUUCUUCUAAAGCUCUUGCGCGAGUAGGCUUCAAGUCAAAAUCUCCCAUGUAAACACUGGUUUUUCUUUCAUUGCCACUAAGGAUGCAGUUAAUAUUGACUUAAGAUCCUACGUGAUAUAUUUUUUUAAAAGAGCUAUAUUGUAGAUAAUAUUUGAAAUAAUGUUGAUUCGUUGUGGAAAUAUAUUUGUAAGGAAAGUUGUUGACAAUUUAAUAUAGUAUAAGAAGAAAAAAGUUAUCAACUAGCUAGAGAUGAGUAUGUAAAGUGAGGCUCACGAUUCAACGCGUAAAUAUAAGAUAUUUUAAGGCUCAAUAGUUAUGAUAUCUAUUUUAUUUUUUGUAUCUCAUAUAUUCAAAGAUAUAGUAAAAUGAUUUUACAUAUAUAUAUAUAUAUAUAUAUGAACAUAACUAUUUGUGCCAAUUGAUUUUUAUCUUUAUUUUGUAUAUUAGUAAUUAUAUUAAAGUUUUUACUAAUAUAAUAACUAAUAUAAAAGCUUUUUCUAAAAGAGUCAACAGAGCAAAACACUUAUUAUAAAAAAUAAUUUUGAUUGAAGGUGGAGUCAAUUAUUCUUUAUUUAACAUGUAAUGCAUACGGCGUGUACUUCAUAACUAAAGUAUAUAAGUGUAACAUCUCUUAUAUAUUCUCAUUCAAUCUCGAAAGUGGAAAUUUUAAAAAGAUUAAACGGUUCAAAUUUGUCGUGCAUAAAGGGGAUCAUGUCACAUAAGCAAACCAUGGCAUACCAAAGACAUAGGUAUGGACUAAGAAUUUUUUUCAAAUAAGUUUCUUAUUAGGGUACAUUAAUAGGUGACUUUUUAUGACAUAUCAAAGGAGUCAAGUGCACCAAUAAAAACAUAUAUAGAAAAUUCAUGCAUGACAUGUAUCACUAAGAGAAGAUUGACUUGAUAGAGUUUAAUCCAAAUAGGAGAUUGUUAAAAGGUGUCUCAAAUUCUUGAUUGAUAUAUAUUUUUUUUAUUAAAAAGGUUAUUAUAUAGAUAUUUCAAUAGACUAUUAAUUCUUUGUAAAAAUAGUUAUAUAAUGAGGAUGGUGAUUAAAAAUAUCUCUAUCAAUAUUUUGGAUUAUAAAAAGAAAAAAAAUGAGAUAAUGAUAAACAUAUAAAACUUGUACAAGUAGAUAAAGAUGUGAUGAAAGACACUUGAUGAAUGAAGGCUUUGUAUUUCAAGAUAUAAAUAUAUGGAGCAAAACUCUUAAUUAUAUGAUCAAAUGAUUCUCUCAUAUUCAUGAAUAUAAGCAGGAUUGGGGAACCAUGAUAGAAUCUUAUAUGCCUCUCCAUGUAGAGUGAUCGAUGUUUAUCUUCAUAUUUUACACCAGUGAAUGACAUUGAAACUCUUAUUGAUAAAAGGGAAAAGGCAUGGCCUCCACCCCAAGAAAAACAAGUAACCUCGGUUUAAAUCACUAGUCUACACCCCGAAGAGAGAACUAGCCAAACCUACUAAAAGAGAAACUUAACAAUUUAGAAAGAAACCGUCCAUGAUAAAGGGCCCCUAAAGGUCCAAUUCAGUGAGGUCGUGAACAAAAACACUUUCAUGUCAAAACAGAGAUAGGUACCACCAAAAUGUAAAGGGAAAGAUGUAAACCACGUCGAACUUUGGUAAUCAAUGGUAAAGAUAGCAUGAUAGCUAAAAGCACUAAAGCUGUGCUUGGUAUGCAAAAAUGAAAAGUGGAAAUCAGCGUCUUAUUCUUUUUCACCUUUAUUCACAUAUUAGGAUAACUAAUAUCUAAUGUUUUUUAUGUCUCAAAUUCUAUUCCAUGUUAUGGUAAACUUUCAUCUUGUUUAGAUCACUUUUGUCUGGUUUGGGCUCAAGACGAUAAGCCUAUAGAGACUUCAUAUUGGGUUGAAUCGAUGCCCUUGAUCUGAUCUGUUCGUUAGAAAAAUCUGAAUUAUUAUAAGCAUUUAGAUAAAAAAUAAAUAAAUGUGAAACACAAACUACUCCCUGCACAACCUUGACCCUAGUUACUCAGUUUCACUGCUCACAGGACUAACCUCUCCAUUCAGUCGAAAUGAAUUGUAACAAGAAGAUUUUUGACAGGAGGACGGUAGUUUAAAAUAAUAAUUUCUAAAGUACUUUUGUGAAAAAAAAUAAUUCCAAACGUGGAUUUUAUCAAGUAAAAAGAAAAAAAAAAGUUAUUUUCUUUUAAAAUCUGUUCUUCUAAAGAUGAUAUAUAUACCAAAAAAAAAAAUUGUUUUCUGAAGGUAAAAUUUUUAAAAUUCAUUUUUAAAAAAAUUUACACACUAAAAUUAUCUUUUCAAGAGAAGAUUUUUUUAAUUUUAAAUAAUUAUUAAUUUAUAAUUAAUUUGUUAUUAAUUAUUUAUUAAUUUUUUUAUUUGAAAAAUGCAUUUAUAAAAAACAAAUUUGUUAUUAAUUUAUUAAAUAAUUUUUACAAAAUAAAUAAUUUUUUUUUAUUUUAAUUUUAAAAUUAAUUUUAUUAUAUAAAUUUUAAAAUUAAAAAUAUUAAUAUUUAAUUUAAAAUUUAACUAUAAAAGGAAUAAAAUAUAGAAAAAUAAAUUAAUUUAUUAUUCAAUAAAUUAAUUUUCAAUAAAAUUUUCAGCAUUAAGAGAUAAAUUUUUAAGUAUUAAUCAAUUUAAAAAGAAAUAAUGAUCAUUUGUAUAUUAAGAUAUUUUAUUUAGUAAUUAUGAAUGAUAAACAACUAAAGUAAUUUGAAAAAAUAAUAAAAUAUUUAAAAAAUAAUAAUUUAAUACACGUAAAAUUAGAAAUGAUUAACUAUUUUUUAUUAAGAAAAAAUUGAGGAAAUAUUUUGUUAUUUAAAAUUUUUUAUUUGUUUUCAAUUUUUAAUGUUAUAGGUUUCAAGAAAAUUGAUCAAAUAAAAAUUAAGAAGUCAUUUUUUCAAAAACUAUAUAUCUAAAUAAAAGCCUUGAAAUUCAAAUACACAAUAUCAUAAAUAUAAACACCAAGUCAAUCCUUAAUUAUCAAAUGUUUUUAAUAUUAAAGAAUCAAAAUCACCUACUAUCAUGAUAAUAAGAAAACCAAUAAUAUUGUUCAUAUAAAUACUAAAAAGCUAACAAAUAUCCCAAACAAUUAAUAAAGUAUCAAACAUGAUAAAAAGUCAAUUAUUAUCAUGAAUGCAAAAAAUCAAUAAUUUUGUUUAUAUGAACCAUCAACAAAGAAAAAAAAAAUCAAUAUCUAAAUAUUAAACAUAAUUUAUAUUUUUAUAAAUAUUAUUGUUGAUAAAUAUCUUAACAAUUAUAAUUUUAGUAAAUAAAAUUAAUUAAUUUUAGUUUAAGAAUUAUUUUUUUAUACUUUCGUAUUCUUAUCAAAAAUCCCCAUUUUGCAUGUCUCCUUUGGCAUGACUUUCUUACCUAAACAAGCAUAUAUAUAUAUAUAUAUAUAUAAAAUAUUUGGUUAAGAAAGAGUACUAAAGUUUAUAUGGCACACAUCAAGAUAGAAACAGAAGUGGAAGAUAAUCCAAAUGUAUGAACAGAUAUAUUAUAUCCAUGUAGUGGUAGUGACUUCAUUAUUUACUUUUAUCUAAUGGAGCAUGACACACUUCUUCUGAAUAUUUUGCACGAUUAUGUUAUGUGUCAGCUUGUUCUAAGUCAAAACUAGUGAUAAAAAUCGGUUUUUUUUGCAUUUCCUUCAUGAAGAUGGCACCUGGAUGGGGCACUACAUGAGUGGCAUAGCACGAAGUGAUUUAUCUGCUCCCUUUACUAUAAAGUGCUUUGUGUAUAAGUUACACCUCCCCUGCACUGCCUCAACAUUUGUUGUUCUGUCUUCCGUCUGUCCAAACGAGGACAAACGUAUGUUGUAGGUUGACAAAACCACAGCUAGCCUAGGAUUUGCAAGGAUCUAGUUUGAUUCGUAUGCAAAAGGAUUGGUGAAAAGAUUCACAAAGAUAAUGCUUUUUGCAAUGCAAUCUUGUUCUAAUUCAACAGUGUGGACCAUUUUCAUGUAAUGCUUCAACUAGAUGUCAGUUUCAUGAAUUUUUGUUCAUCUAAUUGAUCACUGGAUAGGCCAUAACCCGAAGAAAUUCAAAAUUCCCUUCAGUACUGUAGCUAAGGAAAGAUCCCUAUCUACCACUGGGAUUUUAAGAGGGUAAAAAUGUAGGUGGGUGCCUAUAUCAUUUGCACUUCACUAUAGGCCUCUUUGGGAAGAUUUCUUCUGAAGACAUUUCAAAGAAACAUAUUUUUCUCUUCUCUCCGUAAACGGCAGCUGCAAGUCAGUCCAUUCACAGGCCACCGAGUUGAAAAGGCUGGAAAAUUGGCCAAAGCACCCGCCUCCUGGAUUCCAUGGGUAAGGAAAAGGUCACUGGAGGUGUGAUCCCUGUUGGCCUCUUGAUUUCCAUUCCGCCAUCUAUAUGACCUGAUAACCCAAAAACACAGAAGGAAAACGUCACCUGGGUUCAUAGUAAGCAUCAAGUCAUGAUAGAGACCAGACAACAUGACCAACAAAGAGUAGCGAAUGGGGCCAACAUCAAGCCCCAUUACGGUUAGAAGAUGGAAGAAGUAGAAGACAAUCCAAUUCUGAUAGAUUCGGGCAAAUGUAGUGCUGUUCAAACUUAAUCAUUUACUAUUUCUUCAUGAAUCACGGCAUUUUUCUUCUGAAAAUUUUCCAAGAUUAGGCCUCUGAAGAAAAAUUUCAUAUGUAAAUUGGUAUAUUAAGGAAAAGGCGUUACAAAGGUGAAAAAAAACCAAUCAAAUCUUAUAUAUGACAUCUCAAAAAUAUGAACUUGCUAUAAAUAUUUAAAAUCAAAAUCUUGCACAUCACCUCGUAGUACGAACUUGCUAUAAAACUUGAAAAUCAAGAAGAAAGGGGCAGUAUUGGACGAGACUACUUAGCACAUAUUAUUAUGAUGUUUUUUCAUUUUCUUAAUGUUGUUUUUAUGUCUUAAAUUCUAUUAUUCUAUGUUACGGUAAACAUUCAUCUUGUUUGUGUGGAAUAGGAUCACUUUUCUCUGGGUUGAGUCGAUGCCCUUAGUUAAUUUGUUCAUUUGAAUAAACUAAAUUAUUAUAAGUAUUUAGAUAAGAAAAACGUGAUACAUAAAUUACGCCUCUCGGCACAACUUCAACACUGGUUACUCUGUUUCAGUUUCCUCACACAAGAUUAUUGGUUCUAGGGUUUAUUUGGUUUUGGUUUGAUUCUAAUUGCUAAACUUUCUCAAGGAAGAUGUUAUAUAGGGAGUGAGAAACCUUCACUCUUGGCUACCUCCAAGAGAAGAGCAAGUGGUCUGAAUCAAAGAUAUACUGCUCACUUUUUCUUCUUCUAAGGACAGCUAUGACCUUGCUUUAAGGUUCGAAUAGCCUAAUGCAACCUCCCAUUUCUCAAGUCAGCUGAUGAUGUAAGUCACCUUGGCUUUCCACAUUCAUACGGUGAGGACGUUUGUGGGUGUAAUUCUCUUAACAGUUUUCAUUUUAUAUGGAAAAAUUCAUAAUUAAGGGUAAUUACUGAUUCCAUUUGACAGUGACCAAGUUUAAAAUAUUAAUUCAUAUAUUAAAUGCACAUUAAAAAAUCAUGGAAUAAAUAUAUUUACUAAUAUAUAGUUCUUUUGCCAUGUUCUGUCACAGAAGCAUCGAACUUUCCCUAGAAAUUUUUGCAUGGUAUUCUACUUAUGAUUUUGAAAACUCUAGGCACCUGAGGCCACUAAUUGCAUGGUUGGAUGAGGAGCUGCAUGAGAUUAUGUAUCGUGUUGUUCCUUAACUACAAAUAUCAGUUUUAAGUAGCAUCUCCAUGUGACAUUUUCCUGAUGCAAUUUCGCUGUCCACCAACAAAUUUCACCAUGCAGCAAGAUGAAUUGUAAUUUCUUUAUUGUUAUCAACAGCUUUAAUUAAUCUUGAUAUAUAUAUAUAACUUAGUAGAAGUAUAUUAAUCUAGAUUGUAGUUGCACUAAGAUAAUAGGCAAUAUUAUAACAGUGCCACAAUGCUCAUCGCCAAAUAGAAAGGUAGAAAAACUACAAUGAGUAACUCACAACAUUCUCAAACAGGACAUAGCGGCGACUGAUACAUAGAACACUAUUGGCACUCAGGAAAUGAUAAGAUCAGUGCCCAGCAGGCAGCACGUCUUAUUUUACAUACUACUUAAAACUAACCAAAGUCAUUCAGUUGGGAUGGGUGGGAGAUGGUGGUUUGUGCGGUGGCUUUUGGGUAGUUGGUGGCUUCUUUCCUGGAACUGAUGGUUUUUUUGUUGGAGUUGAAGGAGGCUUAAUCGUCUGAGGUGGCUUGUAUGAGUCUUCAGCACUCUCUGCGGGAGGGUGCCCAGGGUUGUGACCAUAAUGGGGUGGCUUCUCUCCCUUAGUUGGUUUGCCAAGUGGGCUGGCUGGCUUGUGCUCCGGGAGCGGCUUCUCUCCCUUAGGUGGUUUGCCAAAUGGGCUUGCUGGCUUGUGCUCUGGGAGCGGCUUCUCUCCCUCAAGAAGUUUACGGGUUUUGUCAGAUGGCUUGUGUUCUGGUGGUGGCUUCUCUCCUUGGGGUGGUUUGCCAAAUGGACUUGGUGGCUUGUGUUCGGGGAGUGGCUCCUCUCCCUUGGGAGGUUUAGUUGGUGGCUGGUGUUCCAUAGGUGGUUUCUCAACCGGGGGCUUGUUCUCCGUUGGUGGUUUAUGAACUGGGGGAUGCUUGGGGUAGUCAGCAAGAGACGGGGUGGUGAGAACCACCAGUCCCAGCAGCAACACUAGCAAGUAUGUGGAAGAGUACAUCUUUGAGUUCAGGCUGAGAUUUGUGCGAGACUUGAAGAAUUAGGUGGCCUUUUAUAGCUGGCUGCACCCAACACUCACAUGACACGUAUCAUGGUGACACAUGUGCUAUGGGUCCAUUUGGGUCCUACAGAAGCUGAAAACUUUUGACUAUUGAGGUGUGGUCACAACUUUUGUCCCUAUUGCUUUCUCCGCAACCGUUUUACAUGUUUCCUUUGGCAUAAUUUUCUAAGCUAAACAAGCAUAUAUCAUAUUUGGUUAAGAAAGAGUAAAGUGUAUAUGGCACACAUCAAGGAAGAGAAACAGAAAAAGUGGGAGACAAUCAAUUGUGAUAAACAGAUAUAUUAUAUUCAUGUAGUACUAGUGACUUUAUCAUUUACUUUUAUCCAAUAGAUCAUCACUCUUUCUUCUAAAUAUUUUGGAGGAUAAUGGUACAUGUUGCUUGUUUCCAAGUCAAAAUUGGUGGCAAAAAUCGGCAUGAUACGAAAGGAUUGGUGAAAAGAUUCACAUAGAUGGUGCUUUGUGCAAUGCAGUCUUGCUCUAAUUCAACAGAGUGGACCAUGGUGAUGUAUUUUAAAUUUUAAAUUUUAAAUUAAUGCAUGCUUCAAAGUUUUAACUAGAUGUCACUUCCAUGGAUUUUUGUUCAUUUAAUUGAGCACAGGAUAGGCUAUCAAACUUGAAGUAAUAUAAAAAUCCCUUCAUUACUGUAACUAAUGAAAGAUCAUUAUCUGCGCUUGGUAUUUUGCCAAGGUAUUUGCUGCUCUUUCUAGCCCUGUCUUACAGUUAAGGACAAUGUGAUCUAGUUAACCUUAGAAGCUAUUCCAUGUCAGAUACAAGAGAUCAAGCACAUUAUCUUUGGGCUCAGUUCAAAACUAUAAUAUAUGGGUGGGGUGGAGGCCCAUAUCAUUUGCAUAUCACCACUAUUGGUUUAGUUUGGAAGGUUUCUUCUGGAAGAUUGCUGCUUUCUGGAAUCAUUUCAAAGAAAUAUAUCUUUUUGUUCUCUUGGUGACGAGCAGCGGCAAUCAAGUCUGUUGACAAACAACCGAGUUGAAAAGUUUGAAAAUUGGUCACAGCCCACGUCCAUGGUUAAGGAAAAGGUCACUGGAAGUGAUCCCUUCUGGGCCUCUUGAUUUCCAUUCUGACAUCUAUAUGACCUGAUAAAUAGAAAGAAAAAAAAACAGAAGAAAAGCGGCACCCGGGUUCAUAGUAAGCAUCAAGACAGGAUACUGAAAGAAGGGAGAAAGGAGAUUGCAAGUCCAAUCCUGAUAAAAUGAUCAACAAAGAGUAUCAAAAUGGGGCCAACAUAAAGACCCAUUGAGGUUAGCAGAUGGCAUGGCAUUUUUCUCCUUAAGUUUUCCAUGAUUAGACUUGAAGUCAAAAUUUCACAUGUAAAUUUGUAUUUCUACAUUUCCCACUGACGACACCCAACUUCAACUUGAGUUAGAAUAACAUUGUGUGAACUUAUCUGGCCCUCAAAAUUUACUGUGAAGUGCUUUCUGCGUGUGAAGAUUCAGAAAAGCACCAAGGGAACAUGUAUGGUCUGCCUUUUUCUGAUGUUAUGUUUGUCUCUAAUUCUGUUCCAUGUCAUGGUAAAUGUUCACAUUGCUUGUAUGGAACACACCAGGAUCACUUUUUCGGGUUUAUUUUGAGGCUUCAUAUUGGGUUCAUAUUGGGUUCAAUGCUUUUAAUGUGUUCAUUAGACAAAUCUGAAUUAUCAUAUGCAUUUAGAUAAGAACAAUAAUGUGAAACCCUAGUUACACCUCCCCUGCAUAACCCCAACCCUGCUUACUCUAUUUCAGUUUACUCACACAAGUUUUACCGGUUCUUAUAAGUCAAGAAAAGGCAACUGAUGUUGGAUUGACUCUCUUCCAUGUAUAAAAAGCAACUUUUAUAUAUACAUAAAAUAACUUCUUCCCCUCACCAAUGUGGGAUAUCAUGGAUUUAUUCUGGAAACACAUCAAAGGAACAUCUUUUCUCUUGGGUGACCCUAAGUGGUGAGUCAGACCAUUUGCAUGCCAUUGAGUUGCACAGUUGGAUAAAUGCACCUACCUCCUGGGCUCCAGAGUUAAAAGGGUGGAUCCCUGGAUCGCAACCCUCUUGGCAUCUUGGUUUCCAUUCCAACAUCCACAUGACUUGACAAAACAAAAAACAGAAUAAAAUCAUCACUAUUUUCAUGCUAAGCACCAAUACAUGAUGGAAAUCAUUGCUUAAAGAUUUGGGGUCAUUUAGGUUUUGACUGCCUCCUAACACCUCACCUAAUCACAAGUUUUUAUGCUUACAAAUCAAAUAUCGUUCUUCAUUAUAUUAAAAUCAUUUUAAGAUUUCAGAUCCAUCUGCUAAUUAUGAUUAUGAUAACAUUAAUUCACCUGUGCUUCUCAUUUUCGACACACAAGGCAUCUAGGUUUGCAGGAUUUCCUUAUUAGAUGAGAUAAAUGAGUACGCAUGGUUAUGUAUGCAGCAUUCAUUAACCAUGGUAUGUGACAUUUAGAAUUAAGAUAGCAAGCAAACUUUCCCUGCAGCUUGAGUAAAUUGUGAUUUCUUAGCCUCUAUGAGUGGUUCCCAAAUCAAAUUAACAUAGUGAAAUAUACGUAGUCCAGUGAAAGGAAAUGUAAAUUAUAAACUAACAGCACUACACUACUGGUAACACUCGAUACUCUCUAUAUAAUGCAAUGAAAUAUACGUUAUACGUUGCUUGUUCCAAGUCAAAAUUUGUGGCCAAACGUUGGCCUUUUUUCAUUUUCCCUAAGAUUAAUGCUCACCUGGGAUAGGCACUACAUGAUUUAUCUGCUCUUUUACUGUAAAGUUGCUUUGUGUAUGAGUUACACCUCCCCUGCACACCCUCAACAUUUGUUGCUCUGUUUUCCUUGUGUCCAGACGAGGAUAUUAAGUGGGGGCUGACAAAACGACUGCUAGCCAAGGAUUUACAAGGUCCUGGUUUGACGCUUCCGCGAAAGUAUUUUUGAAAAUAUACACAUAGAGAUUGCGCGUUCGGUGCAAUGCAACAAUGUGAGCCAUUCUGAAGUUUUUAAUUUCAGAUUAAUGAAUGCUACAAAAUUCUAAGAAGGGCCGUUUCCAAAUAUUUGAGUUCAUUUAUCCGAACAUCGGAUAAGUAAUGAUCAUAGAUUAUUAUUAUUAUCUGACGUUCUUAUAAUGGUUGGCAUUAUAAGAGGGUAUAUGCUUCUUUCUCUAGCCCCUCCUUCAAGGGAGGGACAAUGUGAUCUGUAUCGUUAGAAGCUAUUCCAUGUCGUCAUCUUUUGGCUUAAGUCAAUACUAAAAUAUAUGGGCGGGGCCCCUGUCAUUUUAUAUUUCUUCUAGAAGGUUUGUUCUGGAAAUCUUUCACCGAAACAUAUCUUUUUCUUCUCUACGUGAUCCGUGGUUGGAAAGUUAGAAAAAUGGGUCCGUUCACAAGCCACCGAGUUGAAAAGUUGGAAAAAUGGCAACACCGCCAACCUCUUGUAUUCGAUAGUUAAAUAAAAGGUCACUGGAAGUGAGAUCCCUUUUGGCCUCUUGAUUUUCAUCCCAGCAUCUCUAUGUCCUGAUAAACUAAAAAACUAAAAAAAAAACAGUACGUGGGUUGGUGUUAAGCAUCAAGAGUCAAGACAUGAUAAUGGAGAGAAAGGAUAUUCAAAUUCCAGUUCUGACAACAUGAUUUUCUUUCCUGAACAACCAUGUUAUAUUUGAUCAAGAAAGAGUAGUGCAUGUGGCCAGGAUCAAGACAUACAUUAAUUUCCACAUGAUGAAGACAGUUUCUGAGAGUUUCUUCUAAAGCUCUUGCGCUAGUAGGCUUCAAGUCAAAAUUUCCCAUGUAAACACUGGAUUUUCUUUAAUUGCCACUAAGGAUACAGUUAAAAUUGACUUAAAAUCCUACGUGAUAUAUAUCUUUAACAAAAGUAUAUUGUAUAUAAUAUUUGAAAUAAUGUUGAUUCGUUGUGGAAAUAUGUUUGUAAGGAAAGUUGUUGACAAUUUAAUAUAGUAUAAGAAGAAAAAAGUUAUCAACUAGAGAUGAGUAUGUAAAGUGAGGCUCACGAUUCAACGCGUAAAUAUAAGAUAUUUUAAGGCUCAAUAGUUAUGAUAUCUAUUUUAUUUUUUGUAUCCCAUAUAUUCAAAGAUACAGUAAAAUGAUUUUAUAUAUAUGAACAUAGCCGAUAGUAUCAUGUUAAAACCUUAUAUGACUCUUUGUGCCAAUUGAUUUUUAUCUUUAUUUUGUGUAUUAGUAAUUAGUAUUAAAGUUUUUACUAACAUAAUAAUUGAUAUAAAAGCUUUUUCCAAAAGAGUCAAACAGAGCAAAACACUUAUUAUAAAAAGAAUUUUGAUUGAAGGUGGAGUCAAUUAUUCUUUAUUCAACAUGUGAUGCAUACAGCGGGUACUUCAUAACUAAAGUAUAUAAGUGCAACAUCUCUUAUACAUUCUCAUUCAAUCUCGAAAGUGGAAAAUUUUAAAAGAUUAAAUGGUUCAAAUUUUCCGUGCAUAAAGGGGAUCAUGUCACAUAACCAAACCAUGGCAUACCAAAGCCAUGAUAUGGACUAAGAAUUUUGUUAAAAUAAGUUUCUUAUUAGGGCACAUUAUGUGACUAUUUAUGACAUAUCAAAGGAGUCAAGUGCAUCAAUAAAGACAUAGAAAAUUCAUGCAUCACAUGUACCACUAAGAGAAAAUUGACUUGAUAGAGUUUAGUCCAAAUAGGAGAUUGUUAAAAGGUGCAUCAAAUUCUUGAUUGAUAUAUAUUUUUUUUAUUAGAAAGGUUAUUAUAUAGAUAUUUCAAUAGACUAUUAAUCCUUUGUAAAAAUAGUUAUAUAAUGAGGAUGGUGAUUAAAAAUAUCUCUAUCAAUAUUUUGGAUUAUAAAAAGAAAAAAAAUAUGAGAAAAUGAUAAACAUAUAAAACUUGUACAAGUAGAUAGAGAUGUGAUGAAAGACACUUGAUGAAUGGAGGCCUUGUAUUUCAAGAUGUAAAUAUAUGGAGCAAAACUCUUAAUUAUAUGAUCAAAUGAUUCUCUCAUAUUCAUGAACAUAAGCAGGAUUGGGGAACCAUGAUAGAAUCUUAUAUGCCUCUCCAUGUAGAUUGAUCGAUGUUUAUCUUCAUAUUUUACACCAAUGAAUGACAUUGAAACUCUGAUUGAUAAAAGGGAAAAAGCAUGGCCUCCACCACAAGAAAAACAAGUAACCUCGGUCUAAAUCACUAGUCUACACCCCGAAGAGAGAACUAGCCAAACCUACUAAAAGAGAAACUUACCAAUUUAGAAAGAAAUCUUCCAUGAUAAAGGGCCCCUAAAAGUCCAAUUCAGUCAGGUUGUGAACAAAAACACCUUCAUGUCAAAACAGGAAUAGGUACCACCAAAAUGUAAAGGGAAAGAUGUAAACCAAGUCGAACUUUGGUAAACAAUGGUAAAGAUAGCAUGAUAGCUAAAAGCACUAAAGCUGUGCUUGGUAUGCAAAAAUGAAAAGUGGAAAUCAGCGUCUUAUUCUUUUUCUCCUUUAUUCACAUAUUAGGAUAACUAAUAUCUAAUGUUUUUUUUAUGUCUCAAAUUCUAUUCCAUGUUAUGGUAAACUUUCAUCUUGUUUAAGUGGAAGAGUAGGAUCACUUUUGUCUGGUUUGGGCUCAAGACGAUAAGCCUAUAGAGACUUCAUAUUGGGUUGAAUUGAUGCCCUUGAUCCGAUCAGUUCGUUAGAAAAAUCUGAAUUAUUAUAAGCAUUUAGAUAAAAUAAAUAAAUAAAUGUGAAACAGAGACUAUUCUCUGCACAACCUUGACCCUAGUUACUCAGUUUCACUGCUCACGGGACUAACCUCUCCAUUCAGUCGAAAUGAAUUGUAAUUUCUUUACUGGUAGCAGUAGUACUUUUCAUAGCAAAGAUAAUAGUAAAUAUGAAAUAUAAAUAUAUAGAAGGAAAUCUGGAUUGUAGAUAGCACCAUAAGUAACACUCAAUAUUUACUACAUAAUAAAAGAGAUAGUGUUACAAAGGUAGAGAAACCUACAAUGAGUACUCAUCACCAUUCUCAAACAGAAACAUAGCAGUGACUUAUACAUAGAACCUAUAGGCUCGCAGGGAAAGAGUAACAUGAUAAGUGCACAGCGGGUAGCAGCUCUUAUUUUACGUAUUACUCAAAAUCUCAAACUAACCAAAGUCACUCAGUUGGGAUGGGUAGGAGAUGGUGGUUUGUGGGGUGGCUUCUGGGUAGGAGCUGGUGGCUUCUUUGUUGGAGUUGAAGGAGGCGUAAUCUUCUGAGGUGGCUUGUAUGAGUCUUUGGCACUCUCUGCAGGAGGGUGCCCAGGGUUGUGACCGGAAGGAGGUGGCUUCUGUCCCUUUGGUGGUUUGCCUAAUGGGCUUGGUGGCUUGUGCUCCGGGAGUUGUUUCUCUCCCUCGAGUAGGUUUCGAGUUUUGUCAGAUGGCUUGUGUUCUGGUGGUGGCUUCUCUCCCUGGGGUGGUUUGCCGAAUGGGCUUGGUGGCUUGUGUUCGGGGAGUGGCUUCUCUCCCUUGGCAGGUUCAGUUGGUGGCUGGUGCUCCGUAGGUGGUUUCUUCACCGCCGGCUUCUCUCCCUGGAGAAGGUUACGAGUUUUGUCAGAUGGCUUCUGUUCUGGUGGCGGCUUCUCUCCCUGGGGUGGUUUGCCAAAUGGGCUUGGUGGCUUGUGUUCGGGAACUGGCUUCUCUCCCUUGGCAGGUUCAGUUAGUGGCUGGUGUUCCGUAGGUGGUUUCUUCACCGGCGGCUUGUGCUCCGGAAGCGGCUUCUCUACCUGGAGAAGCUUACGAGUUUUGUCAGAUGGCUUGUGUUGUGGUGGUGGCUUCUCUCCCUGGGGUGGUUUGCCAAAUGGACUUGGUGGCUUGUGUUCGGGGAGUGGCUUCUCUCCAUUGGGAGGUUUAGUUGGUGGUUGGUGUUCCGUAGGUGGUUUCUGAAGUGGGGGAUGCUUGGGGUAGUCAGCAAGAGACGAGGUAGUGAGAACCACCAGUCCCAGCAGCAAUACUAGCAAGGAUGUGGAAGACAUCUUUGAGUUCAGGCUGAGAUUUGUGCAAGGCUAGAAGAAUUAGGUGGCCUUUUAUAGCGGGCUGGACCCAACAACCAAAUGACACGUAUCAUGAUACACAUAUGUGUUAUAAGAUCCUUGUGGGUCCUACAGAAGUUGAAAACUUUGACAAUUGAGGUGUGAUUACAACUUUUGUCCCUAUUGCUUUCUCGUCAGCCGUUUUGCAAGAUUUUUGACAGGAGGACGGUAGUUUAAAAUAAUAAUUUCUAAAGUACUUUUGUGAAAAAAAAUAAUUCCAAACGUGGAUUUUAUCAAGUAAAAAAAACAAAAAAAAGUUAUUUUCUUUUAAAAUCUUUUCUUCAUGAUUCAUAUACCAAAAAAAGAAUUGUUUUCUGUAGGUAAAAUUUUUAAAAUUCAUUUUUAAAAAAAAAAAAUUACACACUAAAAUUAUCUCUUCAAGAAAAUAUUUUUUAAAUUUUAAAUAAUUAUUAAUUUAUAAUUAAUUUUUUAUUAAUUAUUUAUUAAAUUUAUAUGUGAAAAAUGCAUUUAUAAAAAACAAAUUUUUUAUUAAUUUAUUAAAUAAUUAUUUACAAAAUAAAUAAUUUUGCUUUAUUUUAAUUUUAAAAUUAAUUUUAUUAUAUAAAUUUUAAAAUUAAAAAUAUUAAUAUUUAAUUUAAAAUUUAACUAUAAAAGGAAUAAAAUAUAGAAAAAUAAAUUAAUUUAUUAUUCAAUAAAUUAAUUUUCAAUAAAAUUUUCAGCAUUAAGAGAUAAAUUUUUAAGUAUUAAUCAAUUUAAAAAAUAAUAAUAAUCAUUUGUAUACUAAGAUAUUUUAUUUAGUAAUUAUGAAUGAUAAACAACUAAAGUAAUUUGAAAAAAUAAUAAAAUAUUUAAAAAUAAUAAUUUAAUACACUUAAAAUUAGAAAUGAUUAACUAUUUUUUAUUAAGAAAAAAUUGAAGAAAUAUUUUGUUAUUUAAAAUUUUUUAUUUGUUUUCAAUUUUAAAUGUUAUAGGUUUCAAGAAAAUUGAUCAAAUAAAAAUUAAGAAGUCAUUUUUUCAAAAACUAUAUAUCUAAAUAAAAGCCUUGAAAUUCAAAUACACAAUAUCAUAAAUAUAAACACCAAGUCAAUCCUUAAUUAUCAAAUGUUUUUAAUAUUAAAGAAUCAAAAUCACCUACUAUCAUGAUAAUAAGAAAACCAAUAAUAUUGUUCAUAUAAAUACUAAAAAGCUAACAAAUAUCCCAAACAAUUAAUAAAGUAUCAAACAUGAUAAAAAGUCAAUUAUUAUCAUGAAUGCAAAAAAUCAAUAAUUUUGUUUAUAUGAACCAUCAACAAAGAAAAAAAAAAUCAAUAUCUAAAUAUUAAACAUAAUUUAUAUUUUUAUAAAUAUUAUUGUUGAUAAAUAUCUUAAUAAUUAUAAUUUUUUAUAUAUUAAAUUUAGUAAAUAAAAUUAAUUAAUUUUAUAAUAUAAGAUAUAUAUAAUAAUUAAGAGACUAUUUGUCCCAAACAAUUUAUUUAUUUUUUUUUUAGGAAAUUGUCUCUUCAAGAGACGACUUCUCCCAACAUUUUUAAAAAAAAAAAAAAAAACAUCUAUUCAAAAGACGAUUUCUCCUCAUUUUUUAAAAAUGAAUUUUAGAAAUCAUAUUUUCAAAAAUGAAUUUUAGAAAUCAUAUUUUCAAAAGACGAUUUUUUUUUAUAUAAAUUAUUUUUUAAAAUGACGAUUUUAAAAGGAAAUAACGAUCUCUCUCCUACUUGGCAAAAACUAUGGUAAAUUUGGAAUUAUUUCUUCCACAACCAUAGUUUAAGAAUUAUUUUUUUAUACUUUCGUAGACUUAUCAAAAAUCCCUAUUUUGCAUGUCUCAUUUGGCAUGACUUUCUUACCUAAACAAGCAUAUAUAUAUAUAUAUAUAUAUAUAUCACUUUUGUCUGGGUUGAGUCAAUGCCCUUAACUAAUUUGUUCAUUUGAAUAGUCUAAAUUAUUAUAAGCUUUUAGUUAAGAAAAAUGUGAAACAUAAAUUACACCUCUCGGCACAACUUCGACACUGGUUACUCUGUUUCAGUUUAUUCACACAAGAUUAUUGGUUCUAGGGUUUAUUUGGUUUUGGUUUGAUUCUAAUUGCUAAACUUUCUCAAGGAAGAUGUUAUAUAGGGAGUGAGAAACCUUCACUCCUGGCUACCUCCAAGAGAAGAGCAAGUGGUCUGAAUCAAAGAUAUACUGCUCACUUUUUCUUCUUCUAAGGACAGCUAUGACCUUGCUUUAAAAUGUUCGAAUAGCCUAAUGCAACCUCCCAUUUCUCAAGUCAGCUGAUGAUGUAAGUCACCUUGGCUUUCCACAUUCAUACGGUGAGGACGUUUGUGGGUGUAAUUCUCUUAACAGUUUUCAUUUUAUAUGGAAAAAUUCAUAAUUAAGGGUAAUUACUGAUUCCAUUUGACAGUGACCAAGUUUAAAAUAUUAACUCAUGUAUUAAAUGCACAUUAAAAAAUCAUGGAAUAAAUAUAUUUACUAAUAUAUAGUUCUUUUGUCAUGUUCUGUCACAGAAGCAUCGAACUUUCCCUAGAAAUUUUUGCAUGGUAUUCUGCUUAUGAUUUUGAAAACUCUAGGCACCUAAGGCCACUGAUUGCAUGGUUGGAUGAGGAGCUGCAUGAGAUUAUGUAUCCUGUUGCUCCUUAACUACAAAUAUCAGUUUUAAGUAGCAUCUCCAUGUGACAUUUUCCUGAUGCAAUUUCGCUGUCCACCAACAAAUGUCUCCAUGCAGCUAGAUGAAUUGUAAUUUCUUUGUUGUUAUCAACAGCUUUAAUUAAUCUUGAUAUAUAUAUAACUUAGUAGAAGUAAUUAAUCUAGAUUGUAGUUGCACUAAGAUAAUAGGCAAUAUUAUAACAGUGCCACAAUGCUCAUCGCCAAAUAGAAAGGUAGAAAAACUACAAUGAGUAACUCACACAACAUUCUCAAACAGGACAUAGCGGCGACUGAUACAUAGAACACUAUUGGCACUCAGGAAAUGAUAAGAUCAGUGCCCAGCAGGCAGCACGUCUUAUUUUACAUACUACUUAAAACUAACCAAAGUCAUUCAGUUGGGAUGGGUGGGAGAUGGUGGUUUGUGCGGUGGCUUCUUUCCUGGAACUGGUGGUUUUUUUGUUGGAGUUGAAGGAGGCUUAAUCGUCUGAGGUGGCUUGUAUGAGUCUUCAGCACUCUCUGCAAGAGGGUGCCCAGGGUUGUGACCAUAAUGAGGUGGCUUCUCUCCCUUAGGUGGUUUGCCAAGUGGGCUGGCUGGCUUGUGCUCCGGGAGCGGCUUCUCUCCCUUAGGUGGUUUGCCAAAUGGGCUUGCUGGCUUGUGCUCUGGGAGCGGCUUCUCUCCCCCAAGAAGUUUGCGGGUUUUGUCAGAUGGCUUGUGUUCUGGUGGUGGCUUCUCUCCUUGGG
rnacentral:lncRNA from 1 species